rnacentral:lncRNA from 1 species
GUAUGGAUUCCCAUCAUAUCCUUGCAUGCGGGAACAUCGAUAACCAUUUGAAUCAUCAUGGCAAUAGCUGUUGUUACUCUUACAUGCAUAUGCAGUCGAGUUUCUCUUAGCUAUUUCACAUUUUUCUUCACCAACUGCCCAAUCUAGCACAAGAGGAAGCUUCUUCGUGUUCUGCAAACUGCUGAGGUAACUCUUAGAAAAGUCGAAAGUAGCUUGAUCGACCACAAAAGCAUAGCUGCAACUAAGGUCAUUUUUCAUAUCAGUUUCAUUAUAAUUAUAAUAGCUGCUUAGUGUUAUGGUGACAUUCCAUGCUCCCUUAGGGAUGGAUGUCUGGCAACAACCAACCCCAGAACAUGAGUUUUUAUCACCAUUAACAGCAUCAUCAAUACUAUUGCACAUGGACAUGCAUCCUGUUAUGUAGGAGGGAUACUCGAUUUUAGCUCCAAACUUGGUAUAAUAACCCUGAACAAUAGCAUAUGUGUCACAGCCAACCGCAAUGAACCUAUUGGAGGUGUCGUUCACAGUUAGCAACGACGGUAAUGCUAUGAAUGACUUAAUCUUAUUCGUGCUUAUCCCAGCACCAUAACAAUCUGUGGAUAUGAACUGUAAGACGUUAAGUUGCCCAGCGAGAGAUAUGCUUGUGAUUUCAAUACUGCUGUUUUCUAAAAAAGGCUGGGGAGGAUUUAAGGAGUAAUCACAAGUGACAAGGAACUGAUCGCGUAGAGUGCAAUCUCGGGACAUACCAAAUGGGAAAGGGAUGUUGACAUUGCCACAACUUUCAUUGCAGUUAGAUUUGGUUAUGAGAUUGUUGUGUGUUGGUAACAUAGCAUCAUCACCAAAACAUAGUGAAAAGCAAAUAAAUGUUAUCAGAGCAACUAUCAUCACAUAAUUAGGAGCCAUUGUUAAAGGAGACUAGGGAUGUAAGUAUUAUGUGUUUGAUUCUCCAGCCCAUCACAGUUCCAUUUAUAGGUACUUAAUUUCAUUGGAAUAGAGGGUCAACUAUGUUAGAAUUUUAAUGUGGACUAUGUCAACGAGAAUUGAUAAUUUUAUAUAUUGACAAUCUUUUACUCCCUCCGUCCAUCUUUAUUUAUCCACUAUACUAAAAAUAGUUAUUCAAUAAUACUUGUCCAGUUUGGAAGCCAAGAGAUAAUUUACCCUUUAUGUAUUUUACUCUUGCUAUUAAAUACUAUUCAAUAUCUAAUACAUUUACAAAAGCCUUAAAUUUAAUAUAUUGAAAGGGAAAUAUAGUAAUAUUACUCCUAUUAUUUAUUGAUUUUUAAGAUGUGUGUCAAGUUAAUAGUAGACAACUCUUGUUUGAAUGAAAAAGUAGUACAUUGGAAUAGAGUGUCAACUACUUUAGAAUUUUAAUAUGGACUAUGUCAACGAGAAUUGACGACUUUAAGCAGCCACUUAAAAUACGAGUGAGGAUGAGCAAGUGCUGUCAUUCUCAUGCUUUGUCUUUAAUGACAGAGAGUAGUUUUUUUGAAAUUAUUGAUGAGGGGUCAUAUUUAAUGAGGGGUCUUUGAAAAGGUCAGGGAGUAGGACAGAAAUUGGAUGAAAAUUAACCUCAUUUUCUUUGAAAUUCACUACUAAAAAAUGCUUCAAAAAUGACGGGUCUUUAUUUUGGUAAAAAAUGAUAAAAAGGCCAUGUAGUCACUUCCGUCGUUUUUCAAAAAGGAUACGUGUGUCUACGUGUUCAAUUUUAUACAAGUUUAAGUGCCUACUUGUGUACACCCAAAGUUGGAGGGCAUAAUUGUCCGUUGAAGUCAAGUUAAGAGUCAUCUUUAUGUAUUAUGCCAAUAAUUAAUGGGUAUAAGAGGUGGGGAGUUAGAAAUCAGUACUCAAUUGAAGAAACUCGAUAAACCCUUUUGAAAUCGCCAAAGCCGGGGCUCUCAAAUCACAAAAAUGGUGAAAUAGAGAUAAAACCCAAUUUUUGGAAAGACGUAUUUUUCAGGCAAAAUUGCUCAUCACGAUUGCGACCCAAGGCCCUGCGAUCACGAUAAGUAAACAAGUCAUCUUAUUUAAUUUGACCAUCGCAACUGGGCCUCGUGCGAUCGCAAUAACUAGAAAAAAGACACUUAUGUGAUUGGGAUGAGGGUCACGCGAUCGUGAAGCAUGCAAAAACAACUCCAUGCAAUUGCACGAGAAGGUCUCGUGGUCGCGAUGAACAAAAUACCUAGCACCAGAAAAUAGAAACCAACAAUAAUCACACAAGGCGCAUAAAGUUUCCGAAUGGACUCUCGGGAUUCGUUCGGAACCCCGAGUACUAGAAACAAGAUAUGAUACCUAAAUAAACUCAAUGCUCCAGAUUUUAAUGAAACCAUCGAAAUAUGAAUUCCAUAUCUCCUUGACUUGAAACCCGUGAGAGUCGCAAUAAACUAGCAUAACGCCUAAAAGGGCCAAAUUAAGCUCGAAACCUUUGAAAAUUCAAUCAAGACCUCUCCUAGGCCUCUAAUCAUCCUCAUAAUCUAAUGGAACCGUCGAAAAUCCUAUCUAAGCAACCAAACUUCAAAUGUUUUCCAAAGUCAACUCAAAGUGCUAAAAUCACAUCAACUUCCAACUUAAUACCUCGAAUCAAUAAAGCAACUCCGAAUCUGAAAUUGACGACUACUCUAGACAAUAUUCCACAUUUCGGAGCUGAUGAAACUGGUGGAAUUCCAUUUGGAGUCUCAAAACUCUGGUAGAUACCAAAAACCACCUUUAAACAACUUAAGCCUCUAAAAAGUCAAAACUUCCAAAAAUCACAAUCUUUUGCUCAAAUUUCAAAACCAACACCACAAACUAAUUAGAAAUAACUCAAGGAAACUAUCAGGAGGGAUAAAACAUUAAUUUUUCUAAAAAUUUCCAAAAAUGACCUUCCGGGUCAUUAUUUCCCCAAUUCUUUUUCCUGAAAAACUAUAUAAUUUUAGACAACAAUCAAGUAAUAUUUAAUCAACUCUAUUUAAAUCUAUGAAUUAGAAGUUUAAAUUUAGGAAACUUAGCAUGUCUCUCGUUAGUGUUUCAACGCUCUUCGCACCCUCAGUGUGCAAUGAGUCAUCCUUAACAUUGUUUCUAGUUUUCUUGGCUUGUUCAGACAAAGUCUUGAAUUCAUAUGUGCCUCAAUAUCGAGACAAUCCCUCAAAGACAUUUGGAAAAAGCCAAGUUUCACUUGUCUCUAAAUCCUGAGCUUUUUUAGCCAGCUAGACAAUUUGGCACUGGCCCUCCUCUCAAAAGUGAUCACAAUGAACAUAUUGUACUUUCAAUUCCAAGUAUACACAGUCUGAAAAUAAAGUGAGUAGCAUUAGAUGAUUAAUAAAUUAUACUAAAUAGUAUCAAACUUAACAAGAAAAAUAUAUGACUAAUUACAUACCGUAAACUCAUUAAAUAUGGCAUACCAUAUCCCCUCUGAAAUCUCACUCCAAGAGUGAUAAGGCUCCGUAAAAAGCCUCCUAACACUCUCAUGUAAAGCCAUAGAAGCAUCAUUUGAGGGAUUUCACCUACAAAACACAUAAUAAACAUGUGACUAGCUUUCUUGGCUUGUUCGGACAAAGUCUUGAAUUCAUCUGUGCCUCAAUAUUGAGACAAUGCCUCAAAGACAUUUGGCAAAAGCCAAGUUUCACUUGUCUCUAAAUCCUGAACUUUUUUUUAGCCAGCUAGACAAUCUGGCACUGGCCCUCCUCUCAAAAGUGAUCACAAUGAACAUAUUGUACUUUCAAUUCCAAGUAUACACAGUCUGAAAAUAAAGUGAGUAGCAUUAGAUGAUUAAUAAAUUAUACUAAAUAGUAUCAAACUUAACAAGAAAAAUAUAUGACUAAUUACAUACCGUAAACUCAUUAAAUAUGGCAUACCAUAUCCCCUCUGAAAUCUCACUCCAAGAGUGAUAAGGCUCCGUAAAAAGCCUCCUAACACUCUCAUGUAAAGCCAUAGAAGCAUCAUUUGAGGGAUUUCACCUACAAAACACAUAAUAAACAUGUGAAUUCAUGAAUAAUUAAUGUAGAAAAAAUUAAUUAAUUAAUAUUUAACUAAAUAAACUUAUGAUAAUCCAUUAGGCUCAAUCAUCACUCUAUCAGACCUGACCCUCUCUCCAGCUGCUAGCUCAAGCGGAUCCUCCUCCUCAUCGAGUGUAGCAACAACUGAAAGUGAGGGUUUAGGUGAUACUCUCAAAUGUAUAUAACGUUGAUUCAAAUGAUGGAGUACCAUCCAUAACAUCAAACUCAGAACUGAAAUCUCUAAGUCUACUCAAACUUGAUAGGUUGGGGGAUAUAGCGGUGGGAGAUGAGGUAUAAGAUGAUAUUCUAUUAGAUGAUAAGGGUUGUGCAUGAGGAAUGAUGUUUGUAGGUAGGUAAGUGUGCCACAAUAGAGGUAAGGAUUGGGAAAAAGAAGAAACUCCACGUGGCCAACAGUAUGCACAAUGAUACUCUAAGGGAUCCCUAGUUCCAAAUGAGAUAUAAGAAAUGUGUGUAGAAAAGUGUUGCUCUAGCUCAGAUGGGACCUAUCCUGGAAUAUCCUCAGGAUCUAUAGGCCUCCUACUCUUACUAGAAUGAUUAAUCCUAAGAUGAUAGGAUUUAUCACCAUCACCACCCGAUGAUAGCUGCAUGGAAAUUUACAUUACAAUAUAUAAAAUUAUAAGUAUUGAAUACAAUUAGUGCUAGCAAAAUAAACUUACAUACUAGCUAUAGUAUAUAAUCUCUGACUCUUUCUCCUCGCUUGUUUUAUUUCCAUUAUUAUCUCAUUCUUCCUCCUCGGGUUUCAUUGUUAUCAUCUCAUUCAUCCUCUCAAAAUGAUUCAUUUUUCUCAUUUAUUUAUUUCUCAACAUUUGUCAUUAUCUCAUCAUCAUAAAUUUCCUUUUAAUAUGCAUUAAUGAUGUUUUAAAGUGAUUUCUAAUUCAACAUCAACUUGUUGUUGAACAAUUGCAAUAUCAUUUUAGUACGUCACAUCUAACAUAUUCCCAAUACAAUCUUUCCCACAUGCUUAGUCUUUAUAACAACUCACCAAUCGACCUUACCUCUAUGCAACAAAUAUGGAACGUUAUACACUUGCUUAGCAUUUUGUGUAAUGAUAAAAGGAUCAUAAAUUUCAUAUUUUCUCGUGUGCUUAACUUCAAUUAUAUUAUGUUGUUGAUUCAUUCUUGUGCAUCUAUGUGAUGGGUCAAACAACGUACACUGAAACAAUAUUAUUUUUUUAGACCAACAUGAAUAUCUUACUUCAAUAAUCUCAUCAAUGACACCACAAUAUCAAGAGUUUGGCCAUUACCAUUGAUAUCACCUUGAACGCGUACACUGCUACUAUUAGUUUUCUUAUACCUAGAAGCUUCUUCAAUUUGGAACAUGAAAUCAUUCAUACAACACUUAUUUAUUUUCUAAAUUUGAGAUUCAGGUCCAAGUGCAACUUCUGUCACCAAUUGCAGAUGUUCAACAUUUGUGUGUUCAUCAUAAACCUACAUAUUGUUAUUCAAAAAUAUACAUUUUUUAAAUGAAUAUAUAUACUUAUUAGUUCAAUAUAACCUUUCAGGCUUAAAUAUUCUUUUAGCCAUUUGAAAAAACUCGUAUAUAUAACUUCAUGUCAUGUCCCGAGACUAUUCACUAGACGUGAUACAGUGCUAAGAUCCACAAGUGACCCCAAGCUAAUCUCAUGACCUGACACUAAGAUUUGCAUAAAACCAAAGAAAAACUGGAAAGUAAGCACAAAAGCUAAAUCUGAAAUGUCUAAAUAAAGCUCAUAAUACUGAGAUAGACUAACAUCUAAAAGAUGUGAUAUAAGCGGAAUCUAUAUCUAAAUAUCUAAAAUCCUCUACUAAUAUGAGUUUCUAGGACAAACCCCUUGCUGCUAACUCCAAUUAUCUGAAAUUGAAAGUGCAAUACUACGAAUCAAAGAUAAAGGGUUCAUUCUUGGGUAAUGAGGACGCACCAAAAGCUGCUGCAACGCUGACUAGAUCUGUUAUAAUUGUGGGCUAGAUAUUGAGCGUCAGAACAUAUAUUAUCAAACAAUAUAUGCAUAUAGUAUGUCGUCGACACUUUGAAUGUAUAUCGUAUGGGGAAUAUUCAUAAUAAACGUGAUAUCUAAGCAUAUUAAAUUUGUAAAAUAUGUUGAUGCAAUGACCAAGUAAAAUAACAUGAAGCUGAGAUAUAUUGAUCUCAAAUGCAUAUGUAAAAGAUCAUGCAAUAACUGAAAACUUUAUUUUGGAAAAUACUAAAAUUGACAUAAAUCAUGUGAGCUACUACAUGAAAUUCAGUGUACUUCCCCCAUAACGAAAAGAAAGUGUCCAAUACUUGCCAUCGUAAGGGACCUGAUAACUGAGCUAAGGUGGAUCCACUAGCUAAUGUCUAUCUAUGACAAAUACUAUGGGUGACACAUGUUGACACCCAAUUUUGACCCUAUGCAAUUCGAGUUAACUAUCGAACUUCUUCAAUUUCAAACAAUUUGAAAUAACCGUCUUUGAAAAAUCCUAAAAAAUAUAUAUUUUAAAAUCUCUUUCUAUUUAGUUUUGGUUAGUAUUUUUCAGAAAUAAUUAUAUAAUUUUACAUGUUGUUUAUAUAAUUUUCAUCUUUUAUAUAAAUAUUUAAUAAAUAGCCUAAAAAUAAUGUUUAUCAUAAUUACUCAUUUAUUUCUUUGAAUUAGUGAAUUUUAUAAUUUUGUAUAAUUAGUUCUCUAUUUUAAGUAAUGAAUAAGUCUUGAUAAUUAUUUUGUCUUGUUUAAAUUAAGAAGCUCAAAUAAUUAAUCGAUAAUUAUUCAUCUUAUUUUAAUUUUGACCGAAUUAGUUAUUUGAUUCAACUUUGUCAUAUACAAAUCUAAUUUGAUUAGAAUAGAAACUAAAUGGUCAAAUUUUAAAUAUAAUGGGCCAUCCUUUUAAUUCUUGCACAUCUUCAAAUAUUCAUAUAAUUGCAUAUUCUCCCACGUUCCUUUCUUUUUAUUCUUUUCCAACCAAAGACACACCCCUCUCCCUUUCUUUCUCCAAAGCGCAAAAGUCAAUACCAAGAACCCUAAUUUCUUCACCAUUGAAAGUGCCUACCUGUAAAUUUCAAAGAUUGUAGACUUUGGGUUAGAUUUGUUGACUUUGGCUUAGAUAAAAUAUCAUCCGAAUCGGAAGACAUCACAUCGAAUCUGGAUUUUUGGGGGCAUGUUCUUCUCUUACUCGUUUUCUCCUCCAUUAUUUUCAAUCAAUCUCUCAUCUCCCGCUCAAACGACUAUUUGAAUUCAAGCCUUUAUUUUUCCUAUAAAUACAUGGUAUUGAUGCCAUUUGGAGAGGAGGGACCCCAAAAAAAAAAAUCACAUAAAAAAUCCCCAAGGGUUCAUCAUCUAAAAGAGAGCAACUUUCAGUUUUUAUCUUGAAAUUCAAAGUUUUUUUUUGCACUCUGGAGCUCAUCGGAAACGGGUAACAGUGGUGAAAACUCCUCGUGGUCAAGCUCGUCGUCUUGGUUUGCUGCUUCGAAGAAGGUAUUAAGGUAUUAUCUUUUCCGUUCUUUAUUUUUUAGUUUAAUCCUAAUGAUGAUUUCUAGUCCUAGUUUUCUCCACUAAGAGCUAAAAUUCACUAUGCAGUAAGAUUAGUACAUAGUGUUAUAAUCAUGUUUAGCACUUGAGCUCUUCCAGUAACUUUGAACAUGUUGAAUAAGAUAUUGUUUUAGCUUGUAGGUUUAAGCUUAUGUAUCUAAGAAGUUGUCAAGUUUGUUUGAAUCCCAAUGACACUAAAUGUCUCUCAUAAUUAUUUAAUAUGCCAUUUUCUUUCAUUAGAGUCAAGUCGGCAUUUUGGUUGGUAGACUAGUAUCAUUUCAAUGCUCAUAUCUAGUAUUGUUUGCUGCUUAUGUGCAAUUUGGUAUAGUUUGGGUAUGAUACAAUGCAAGAAUAGUGAAGUCUUUUAAAAAAAAUAUAUAUAUUGGUUGUUUAUCGUCGCAAUAGCUUGCAUAAUGAUAGUAUUUUUAUUUAUUUUUCCUCACUGUUUUGGCCAAUUUUUAUCUCCUGGACAUAUCUUGUUGGUUUAGGUUUGUUUCAACACUAGUAAUGGUCAUUAGUCUUACUAUUGGUACUUUAUCACUUCAUGUUAGUGAAAUUAAUUUUAAUUGUUAGUAUUCAUGUUUUCUUUAGAAUUACUAGUUGCUUAUUUUGCUAAGAAUGCAUGUGUAUUAUUAUAAAUAAUUCGGGCGUGUUUAUUUAUUAUCAAAUGAGAAGAUUGUUGUUACAUCCAAAUAAAAUUGUUUAAUGUUGGUAAAGUCUUAUCUUGAUCUGUCAUUAACUUUUAUCUCCUUUUGUGCAUGAACCUCCUCGUCCGAGUUCAUUUUGAACUCCAUUCGAGUCCGUUUUGGACUCCCUCUUUGCAUAUCCUCGGGUUUAAGUUCGAGCUUGCCUCGUCGAUCCAACAAAGUUGAAAGGGAAGCAAUUAUGCAGCUUUCGGAAGAAAAAAUGCAGGGAAAGGGCUGAAUACAUGUUGAUAUACAUUGAUAUAUGCCGAGUGUAUACAGUGAAUAUACACAGUAAAAGGGGGCUAAACUCAUGAAUUUAAGAAUUGGGCCAAAGCCCAAAAUGAUUCAACAGUAUCAGCAGCCUGGAAAGGCUAACAUGGGCCCAAGUCCAUUACCUCUUUACUUAUUUGAUUGCAUUUAUUUAUUUGUUUGAUUUGUUUAACUCUAACCCUUUUAUUUAAUUUGGUUUAACUUAAUUAAAUCCCCAAAAGACGGACCAUAUUCUUUAUGUUAGUUUAUUUAAUAUAAAUCAUUUUUUAUCAACUCUUAUACUUUUUAUUAAAUAUAUUAAGACCGAACCUUUUUACUUAUUUUUCCAUUAAUUUAAAAUGGUUUUCUAAAAUGAUUCAUAUAAUUUAUAAUUAAUUUAGUUAAAAUCCUAAUCACUUGUAUUUAAAUUCAGAUACUUUAAUUAAGGUUUCCCUUUCCAAAAAUAAAAAAUGUUCAUUAUUUAACUAUUUUCUCAAAGUUAAUUGAAUAUUGUAAAUUAUUUUUUUAAUCAUUUUCCUAAAAAUAUUCAAAAUAUAUUUAAUCUAAGUCGUUGGAUAACCGCAUGUUAGCGGAUACUUCAAAUGCUUUAAAAACCUUCUUGAAGUGUAAAUGAGAACCUCUUACCCAUUUUCUCUAAAUUUAUAAAGGUUUAUUUGUUAAAAUCUUUUUAAAUUAAGUUGUCUUCAUUUCUUUAAAAAAUUAAGUGGCGACUCUUCUCUAAGUAUUUUUCUCAAAUUGUUUUAUACUUAGAACAUUUCAAAAAGUGAUUUUUCUAAAGGUUAGUAAAAUUACGGCAUAACAACACAUAGUUUUGGGACUUAGAGAUUGCUAAUAAAGGUCCAUGGACGCUGACUAAAAACAUUCAUCCCUAAAGUCUGUUUGGCGCUAAGUAUUACUCCCAACAAAAACAUGCAUAAUCUAGAAACAAUGAUAAUCUGAUAAUAGUGAUAACUGAUACAUACUGAGUAGCUCAUAAAUCAUGAUAACUAAAACUAUACUAAGAGAUACUUUAUAUGAAAGCAUUUUAUGUCAUGGUAUCUAAAAAUAAUCUGGAAUAUACUUUAUCUCGAAGCAUCUAAAUCAUGAAAAUCUGAGAUAUGCACCUGAAUUAAUCUAAUUCCGAGUCAUGAAAAUACUUGAAUGUUAUGGGUUCAUGAAAUUAUCAUUGAAAACAUGAAAUUAUGAUUGAAAUCGUGAUAUCCAUGGGUAAAACAUGCAUUUAGGACUGAUCAUGAAGAAAACUAAUUAACAAUGAAAACCCAUGAAGAUCAUAGAAAGUUAUAGCUUGUAGGAAUCAUAAACUUGAAAAUUGAGGUUUUCUUGGGACUCAAUGGGUGAAGGGAUACCCAUUGAUGAAAUUACACAUACCUGGAGUAAAAUCCUUGGCUUGAUUCAUGGAAUGAGGACUUGAAGCUUAGAACCCUAGUUCUUGUAAGGGAGGGUUUAGGCUAACAAGAGUCCUCUAAUCCCACUUAGAAUAAGUCAAAACAACAUAGUAUAGGAAUUUAAAAAAAAGUGAAAAGAGACCAAAAUAACUCUAACUUAAAAACUAAAGGAGGCAUUUCACGGAAGCCUUCCAUGGACCGUAUAAUCCUCCACGAUCCAUACAAGUGCCCGUAAAACACAAGAUUUUUGAGUUCUGAGGGCUUGGUUCACGGAUCAGUAUAUGGCCCUCCAAUCUUUCAUGGUCCAUAAACAAGUCCGUGAAACUCUCUUCCAAAUUUCCCAAUUUUUGAGCUUUGGUCUACAUAUCCCCUCAAGGCCCCUGGUUUAUUUCACGGUCCGUGAAAGGGCCAUAGUCCGUACAAACUCUUUUAUGUUGAUGUUAGUUUUUCUAAUCAUUACAAGGUCUGAUUUGGGCUUAUGAACUUUUGGGGUGUUAUAUUGUCACAACCCAGACCAUUGUGAGUGGCAUCCACACUAACCCUCUGGUGGAAGAACCAUUACUACAACCCAAACUAAUAAACUCAACCAAAAUUCUAAGGCAUUUAAAGAUACAGAAGCAAGUUUAAAUACUAAGGAAAGAAAUAGGGAGCUCUCAUAAACUCCAAACAAAAGUCUAACAACCAAAACAAAUGCAGAAUAAUACCUAGAACCUGAAAGUCAAUGUACCAAAACAUCUAAACCUCAACCAGUCUAAGAAAAUGGGUACAUCCCAAUUAAACAUAAGAAGUCCUAAGUACUAGUCUAAGACCGCUAUGUGGACAUAGUCGAAAAGAGAACUCAUGGAAGCCCGAAAGAACUAGCUCACCCUUGAAUUCGAUGAUGAUCACGGAUCUUCUAAACGAGGUCUGUCAGUAGCCGCUUGAAGAUGCCCUGUACUCAACAAUGAAAGAGCAAGUGUAGUAUCAAUACACAACCACAGUGUACUGGUAGGAUCACACGGCUAUCCCACUAUGUGCAACAUACAUAAGCCAUUACAACAUAAUAAUAACAUGCAUGCACCAAACAUAUACAAUAUCAAUAUCAUUUACGAACAACGUACAAUUUCACAAUUCUCAAGAUAUACAAUUAUGUCAAGUAAUGGUCCUCUCAUGGAACCCACACACAAACUAUUAGUGUACCGGUAUGUGGUACCCGUUCCAAGUUAGUGUGUUAGAUCAUGACACCCGUUCCAAUGUUUAUGCCGGUACGUGGCAACCGAUCCCAGUUAGUAUGUCGGAACGCAAUACCCGAUCUAUUCAACAAGCCACAAUCAUAUGUAUAUUCUCAUAAUCAUAUAAUCAAGUAAUGAUUCAUGGCAUUCAAUUAUCCUCAUUUACAAUUAGUGUGAUCAAUAAUGCAACAAUCACAUACAUAUAUGCAUCAUAAUGAAGCAAAAACAAACAUAUAUCACACAACAUGAAAUUACAACCAUCACGUACCUCAAACAAAGCUUGAAUCCCCUAAGAAACUUGAUUCUUCCCUCUCAGGAUUCUUUCCGUUUGUUCUUGGUCUAUAAAUAAUCAUAAUAACACAGAAAUCAAUAAACGAUGUCUAAUUACCCGGAUUAAAGCCAACACUAUCAACCCUAAAUCAAACCCUUGAUCCCCAUACCCAGAUUAGGAUUUUCCCAUCAUCCAAACAGUUCCAAAACCCUUCCACAAUAAUAAUCACCCAAGAACCUAAGUUCUACAGAUCGAAAAACGGAUACGGGGAGUGAACACCUUACCUUUAGCCUCAAGAAUGGUGGAAAACUGUCAAGAAAACACUUGGGGUCGUUCCUUAGCUCUUAAAGUUGAAAAGUGCAGAAUAAAAUGUUUUUGGGGUUUAUUUCCGACAUAUGUCGCAUCUCUCCCGCCAUGGCAGUACUCACUCCGCUAUAGAAUCCCCGCCCUAGCGGCACAAAAUCCCUCCAUAGCGGUUUUCAUGGAACAGAGAGCUAAAUAAAGAAUUUCCAAACCCCCAUUUCACAACAUACCUUCGUCCCAUGACACUCAGAAACUAUCCUCUCACGCUACGAUCGAUUUCGGGAGUUCUACUUGCCGAAUUCAAUUCCAUAAAGUCGUACGGGUUUCUUAGCGUCUUAGCUAUCUACUAAUAUGAUCAAAUUCAUAAUUAGAUCUCCCAAUUGUUACCAGAUUUCCCUAGACUUCACUAACUAUGAUUUCAACCAAAUCUGGACUAGGUUGGGAAAUUUCAAGUUACUACCAAAAAGUUUUUCGGCCCAAAAUAUUUCCCCGUUGGCUUUUCUAUAAAGACAAAAACAGGUCAUUACAAUAGAUACCAAUUUAUCCAUCACUCGUCCCCGAGUAACAAACUAGGAAAAAUAGGCUAAAGCAAGAGUGGAGUAGUACCUGAAUCGCCGAACAACUGGGGAUACUUGUCUUGCAUGUCUUUCUUGGUUUCCCAAGUAGCUUCCUCAACCAGACGAUGUUUCCAUUAAACUUUCACGGACUUAAUAGCUUUGAUCCUCAGCUUCCGGACAUCACGAUCAAUAAUUGAAAUCGUUUCCUCCUUAUACUGAAGGUCUUUGUCUAACACCACUGAGUCUCAUUUUAUGAUGUAAUUUCCAUCGCCAUGAUAUCUCCUCAACACAGACACAUGAAAUACCAUAAGAACUCCCGAUAGGUUAAGAGGUAAAGCCAAUCUAUAAGCCACUGGCCCUACACAUUAGAGAACCUCAAAGGGACCAAUGUAUCGCGGACUUAGCUUGCCCUUCUUGCCAAAUCUCAUCACCCCUUUCAUGGGUGAUACCUUAAGAAGAACUUUCUCACUAGUCUGAAAUGUCAUGUCUCUUACCUUAUGGUCAACAUACCUCUUUUGUCUACUCUAGGCCAUUAAAAUCUUAGCUUGGAUGCUCCUCACCUUAUCUUGAGCAUCCUUCACUAAAUCAACCCCCAAUGGUUUCACAUCUCCAGCCUCGAACCAUUCUAUGGGUGAUCUACAUCCCCUCCCAUAAAGUGCCUCAAAUAGUGCUAUAUCUAUGCUGGAGUGAUAACUAUAUUGUAGGAGAGCUCACACAACUGUAGGAACUUAUCCCAAUUCCCUCCAAAAUCAAUCACACAUGCCCUCAAUAUGUCUUGUAACACUUGAAUAGUCCUUUCUGAUUGUCUGUCUAUCUGCGGAUGGAAAGUUGUAUUAAAAGUGAGUUGUGUACCCAAUUCCUUAUGUAAUUUCCUCCAAAACUUGGAGGUGAAUUGUGUACCACGGUCUGAGAUGAUAGAAAGGGACACCCCAUGCAGCCUCACUAUCUCCUUCACAUAAACCUUAGCCAAUUGCUGAGCAUUAUAAUCUAUUAUGACCGAAAUAAAAUGGGCUGACUUAGUCAAUCUGUCAACCACUACCCAAAUAGAAUCGAACUUCCCCAAAGUCUUGGGAAGACCAAACAAAAAAUCCAUGGCUAUCCUUUCCCACUUCUAUUCAGGAAUUGGAAUUCUCUGAAGCAAACUUGUAGGCCUUUGAUGUUCAUACUUUACUUGUUGGCAAUUUUGACACUUAUCCAUAAACUCCGCUAUGUCUUUCUUCAUGCCAGACCACUAAUAAAUUUGCUUCAAAUCUCGAUAUAUCUUGGUCACACCCGAAUGAAUGGAAUAUGGCGAACCAUGGGACUCUGUCAACAAUUUCUGAAUCAAGUCAUCAACUCGAGGAACACAAAUCCUUCCUUUAAAACUAAGCACACCUUCCACAUCAAGAGUGGUCUCUUGUGCCUUACCAAUCACAGUCUUCUUCUUAAGCUUGUUCAAAUUUUUAUCCUCGAACUAUUUGGCCUUGAUCUCCUUAAUGAAUGUGGCCCUAAUCUCAAUGUUAGCUAACACCCCACCUUUUUCUAAGAUGCCCAACUGCAUGAAUUUAGACUCCAAGGUCUGGAUUUCCUUAGCCAAAGGUCGCUUAGUUGCAUUCAAACAAGCCAAACUACCUAUACUCAUCGCUUUUCAACUUAGUGCAUCCGCCACUACAUUAGCCUUACCCGAAUGAUAUUGGAUGGUCACAUCAUAAUCCUUGAGUAACUCCAUCCAUCUUCGCUGUCUCAAAUUCAGAUCCUUUUGAGUGAAUAUAUGUUGUAGACUGUGAUGAUCAGUAACCUCACACUUUACACCAUAAAGAUAAUGCCGCCAGAUCUUAAGAGCAAAUAUUACCGCUGCCAACUCCAAAUUAUGCAUUGGAUAAUUCCUCUCAUGCACCUUCAACUGUCACAAUGCAUAGGCUAUGACAUUCUUAUCCUGCAUCAACACCGCACCCAAACCAGAAUGUCAAGCAUCACAAUAAACUAUACAAUCUUUACCUUCCACCGAUAGUACUAGAAUAUGUGUUGUUGUUAGGAGAGUCUUGACCUUUUGAAAGUUCACGUCACAUUUUCAGUCUAUUCAAAAGGUACCUCCGUUUUGGUCAAAUUUGUCAGAUGUGUGGCAAUAGCAGCAAAGUUUUUCACAAACCAACGAUAGUAGCUAGCGAGCCCUACAAAACUCUUAACUUUCGUCAUAGAGCUAGGCCAAACCCAAUUCUCAACCGCCUCAAUCAUUUGGGGAUCUACCAUUACCCCUUCCUUCGAAACUACAUGCCCCAAAAAGGCAACCGAAGUCAACCAAAAUUUUCACUUAGAGAAUUUUGCAUACAACCUUUGUUUCCCAAGAACACCCAGAACAAUACGAAGAUGGUCGGCAUGCUCUUCCUCACUUUUCGAAUGGACAAAAAUAUCAUCAAUAAAUACUAUAACAAACGAAUCAAGAAAUGGUUUGAACACACCAUUCAUCAAACUCAUGAAAGCUGCAGGCGCAUUUGUUAACCCAAACGACAUAACUAGAAACUCAUAGUGUCCAUAGCAGGUUCUAAACCUCGUCUUGGGCACAUCCUCAGGCCUAAUUUUUAACUAAUGGUAACCAAACCUUAGAUCAAUCUUCGAGAAAACUGAUGCACCUUGCAAUUGGUCAAAAAGAUUAUCUAUUCGAGGCAAUGGAUACUUGUUUCAAAUGGUGACCCUAUUCAAUUGCUGGUAAUCUGUACACAUCCUCAUACUACUAUCCUUUUUCUUAACAAACAAGACUGGGCACCCCACGAGAAAGCACUAGGACGAAUAAAUCCUUUAUCAAGAAGUUCUUGGAUUUGAGCCUUAAGCUCCCUUAAUUCUGUUGGAGCCAUGCGAUAUAGAGGGAUAGAAAUGGGGCGGGUGCCAGGUUCUAAAUCAAUACAUAAAUUUAUAUCUCUGUCCGGAGGCAUACCAGGCAAAUCAGUAGGAAACACUUCUCUAAAUUCUGACACCACCGGAGUAGACUCAAUAGACGGAGACUCAACCUCAUCAUCCUUAAUAUGAGCCAAAUAAGCCAAACAACCCUGCCCUACAAGUUUUCUAGCCCGAAUGAAGGAUAUGAUCUUAGCAUGCUUAGGCUUGUACACCCCUUCCCACUCCAACUUUUCCCCUCCUGGAAUUUCUAGAGUUAUAGGCUUGGUAUUACAAUUAAACACAACAUAAUAGGGGGACAACCAAGUCAUGCUUAAGAUUAUAUCAAAAUCAAUCAUAUCCAAAAUCAAUCCAAGUCUGAAGACCCAUAAAUAAAAUAUGAUAAGCACGACAAAUAUGGGUGACUAUGACAGACUCUCCAACUGGGGUAGAAACAUGAAUGAGGGCAUCAAGUAUAUCAUAAAUCAUAGCAAAUUCUGAGGAAAAUCGCACGGACACAUAAGAAUAAGUAGAAUCCGGAUCAAAUAACAUAUUAGCCAUUCGGUCACAUACAAGAAUAGUACCUAUGAUCACUACGUCAGACGCCUCUGCCUCGAUCUUACCCAGAAAGACAUAACAUUGAGCCCUGUCAUCAUGACAGGCGACUUCCCUGCCUGGCUGCAUUGUACCCCUGCUUGCAUUACCAUUUCCUCUACCUCCACGGCCUCGUUGAUUUCCUUUUUUCCCACCUUGUGGACGCCCUCGACCAUUAUUACCAUUUCCCGCGGGUACCACUGCUCUAGUCUGCGGCUGCGCGAAAUCCAUUAUGUGCGGGUGGGGAGAAUAUCUCCUCAUAUGCCCAGGUUCUCCCACUACAAGAAAUCAGUUGUUUAGUGGCGACUAAAAUCGCCACAAUAAGCCAGAUAGUUGCCACUAAUGACCUUUAGUGGCGACAAUAGCACCGUGGCAAGUACUUCCAUAACUAAAGGUUUCUUGUGACGACCUUCUUAUAGCGCCACAAAAAAUUAUAUUUGUGGCGACUUUUCUCGCUGCAAAAAUUGAACAAACACGCCACAAAAUAAGGUUCCAAAACAUAGAUGCUACGUUAGUCGCCACUGAAAAUUGACUUUCAAUGGCGACAAGGGUCGCCACAAUAGUUAUAUAUGUUUAGUGGCAUCUCUUAUCGCCACUGAAAAUGUCAUUUAGUGGCGACCGUGUUGCCACAAUAGCAUUUUAUAUUUAGUGGCAGCUCUUUUUGCUGCAAUAGCAUGAGCUUUAGGAACAACUAUUGUCUCCACUAAACGUGUUAUAUCUUCAGUAGCAACUUUUAUUGCCACUACAACUUAUUUCUUCAACAAUUGCAAUAUACAAUAUUUUAAUUAAUUUCUGUUGCCACCUAAUGUCUGAAAUAUAUAUACAUGUACACACCAAUAAACUGCUAACCAAUAUUAAAUGCAUUCGAUAUAUUCAAUAAACAUAUAAUUCUCAUGUUGAAUAAUUCAAAUACUUUCAUGACAAAAAGGUCAAUUAAAUAUUUUACCCAAUAGUAGAUUGUUCAAUGUCAAUUUACAUAUAUGAUUAAAAGAAAACAUUAAAGGUCUUCAAAUCAUCCUUCCUCGACGCUUUUUGCAUUCUAGAAACUUGUCCCCUGUAAUUAAGAGGGGGAAAUAGGAUUUACUUUGACAAUUCUCAUAAUCUAAUACUAAAACAAAAGAGGUAACCUUGGAAUAAAAUAUUGCAAAAAGCAUUUAAGAAAUCAAAGCAAUAAAUGACCGAAGAUAAUUGUACAACAUAGUUUUAUCCUAGCAUAAUAAGCUCAAAUCAUUAAGAAAAUGGUAGAAUACCUAUAACAUAGAUCUUUAAGUGUUAGAAAAAACUUCAACCCAAUAAAAUGAAUAGUAUUUCCUGUUUAUCUUUGCAAUGUAUUGUUGUCAUAGUCUAUACUAAACAGUAUACGCCAAGUAUCGUAGGCAAUGUCAAACUAUUUAGAGUAUACCAAAAGCAAAGAAGUAGGUACGCUUGAACCAGAACAAGGAAUUUUCAUUUUUUGUGAUAAGUAGGAUCAUGUAGAGCUCACCCAAAGUGCAAAUGUCAUCUUGCAAUCACAGUUGUGACUAAGUUCAUAGCAUAUGAUACCUUCAAACUCAAAUUUUGAGUUGAAUCUAAAAUAAUUGAUAAUCUAUUUAUGUAGCCACGGAAAGAUAUUGAAGAGAAACUAGAAAGAAUGUAGGACACUCAUUGUCAUUUCUUUUUGUCAUAAUAAAGUGUGAGCAAUAUGGUUCUAAGGAGAAUUUAACUAAGAGAGGAAAUAAAUUUAUCAGGAAAAUCAUAGAUAGCUAGGAGGGAUGUGCUUUCCACUAAGAAGGUCUAGAAAAAGUGUCCCAAUGCUAAAUAUCACACUCUCUGAGGUGAUUCUUGCUGCAAAAAAAUUUAAAAGAACUUAGUGAAUUAAAACAAUUUCAAUGUGAACUAAAACAAUAUCAAUAAUACAUGAAAUAUAAAUGCAAUUAAAACCAUGAAUUCACUGAAGCCUACACAUUGUAUGGAUUGGAAAAAAAUCCUACAAGGCUACACCAAUGCUAUAAUAGUCAAUGUGGCUCCUUUCAGUUUGUUAAGUCGCAAAAAAAUCCUACAAGGCUACACCAAUGCUACAAUAGUCAAAGUGGCUCCUUUCAUUUUGUUAAGUCAAAGUAGCUCAAAGAAAGCAUUCCAAUUUAAUAUUGUAAUAUUAGAAAGUGCCUUAAGAUGGCCGUGUUUGUUUAUUAGGAUAGUUCUUACCUUCCGGGAGGGGUAAAUGCCAAGUUUGUGCUGUAACUUUUUCCAUCUCGAUUGUUCUUCAUCAAACCAAAGCAAGAGAAUCGGGGAUCACCAUCCUGUGAAAUAGACGGAGGAGGCCAUUAAAUGCAUUUAAGUACUUGAACUACAAAAUUUAACAAUACCAAUGAACAUACUGAAGAGGUAGCUAUCUACUUACUUCUCCGAAUAAUAUUCUAUAAGGAUUAAAUCAUGAUAAAGAGCACGUCCUUUGCCUGUACAAUAUUCAAGAGCUUGUGCAAUAUACAAUGCCACUCUGAACCGCAUUACCCACUUUAUUGGUUGUGUGUCCCCUGAGAUAAGCUCUCAAAAAUAAGUACUAUUAUAUGAAUCAUUAUUGAAGAAAUAUGUUAUCUUUCUAAGUAAAUUCAUGAUUUUUUAGUCUUCCUUAAAGCAGUUAAAUCAAAUAGGGAGCCAAUAUCAUAUAAUCUCAUUUUUACUUUCUCAUAGUUACUCUCUAGGUAAAGUAAGUUGAUGGUCAGUAUAAUGUAGUCUCUGUAUAAUGAACUAUGUGUAUGGACUUGCUAGCAAACACUCACAAUGUCAUUUCUGAUAAGCAACUAUAUCUGAGAACAAAAUUAGAAAUCUAGGCUUUGUUUGGAAAAUCACUCUAAAAUGGAACAAUGCAGGAACCCAAGGCUUUGUUUGGGGAAUAUCAGAACAAGAUUGCAGAUUGAAUCUGCUCUUGCUUUCUUGUUAGAAAUUAGAAUUUAUAGAUCAAAUUGUAGUCUCAUCCAGUUUGUAUUUAUCAGUUCAACCAAAAUCACUUCAACAAAAUUAGUUUUGCAAUUCUAGUAUUCAAUAUUUAUAUCACUAUAGCAUAUCAUCAGGACACGAACAAAUAGAGAAAGUGAAGAAAAUAAAAACAAUUAAAUAACCAGUAUCUCGCAACUGGCAAACGAACUAAAUCCUAAUUAGUUUCACUACAAUUUGCUUCCUUCGCCACUUUGGUGUGAAAAAAUAAAAUAAGCAGCUAGGAAAGGCAUCCUAGUACAAUCACACACAGUUAAAGUAGAUUAAACAUAAAGAAAAUAACAUGGCAUAUGGACCUUUGGGUUGCUCAUUAUCACUUUAAACGAAAAUAAAAACACAUCAGGAAACAAGAGUUUUUUGGCACAAAACAUCACUAACGUAUAAUUUCAUAAUCUUUCUGAUAAUUUUCUGCAAUUUAUUCACCUUAUAGAGUAGAUCUGAUGUUGUCCACACCAACAUUGAUUUCAAACUAUCAAGAAAAGGAAUGGUUUCAUCCUUGACACUUCCUAUUGAACUUUGAAAUUGUGAAAAGCCGCACAAUUUUAUACAAAUAAAGUCCUCUCACCAAGUUUACCAUAUUUACACUUACAUCGGAAGAGAAUUGAGGCAGAGAAUGUGUGAAGCGGGAUGUGAAUUUGGGAGGCAGAGCGGAGGAGAAAUUUUGGGGAGAAAUGGGAGAUGGAAAAAUGAGAUUUAGGGCUUCUAUAAUUCUAUUUAAUUAUUUUGGGUUUCUUUAGUUUUUUGCCUAUUUAAUUUUUUGAAUUAUCUAAAUUAAGAAAUUAAAAAUGACCUUACAAACUAAAAGCAAUAAGAAUAAAAGACGUGUCUCAAAAACUAUUUAGUUUUGUAGGGUGCAAAGAGUUUCAAUAUUUCAGUACUUAUUUAAACUAUGUUUCAUGAAAUUAUGAAAUCACUUGGAGUAUUUAUUAAAAUAUUCUAAAAUUGUUAAUACUUUUCUAAUAUUUGAGUGUUUAUAUUAAAAAUAUUUGUUUAGAUAUAUGGAAUUACUAUAAGUAGGGGUGGGCAUUCUAUAUUGGUUCAAUUUUCGAUUCGAAAUAAGUUAAAAAAUGAGACCGAACCAAAAUCAAUUUGAUUUGGUUAGAUUUUUCGAAAUUUGAUUUGGUUUAUAUCGAUUUGGUUUUUAGAUUUUGAAAAUUUUCAUGAAAGAUUUCUUGAAUGUGUAAUAAUUGAGUUUGUAUUAUUCAACAAAAAAUUGUUGCAUUUUAUAAUUAUUAAUAAUUUUUAAUACAUAAGUUUUUUAUAUUAAAAAUAUAUGUUUCUCCUUUUAUAAGAUAUUGCAAUAUCCAAUUCCACGAGGUAAAUGAGAUUAGAGAAAACUUAUGUAUGUAUAAGUUUGAUUAUUCGAUUUUAUAAAUUUAUAUUUUUGAAAACCAAAAAUGGAAUUGAAUAAUCGAAAUCUGAAAACUAUAAUAGACUUGAAAAUUUUAAAACACAAGAAAAAAAAUGCAAUCGAUUUUUCCGUUUCUCACCGAUUUAUGCCCACCCAUAACAACAGGCACUUAUUUAUUACUAAUAAAGGAUCAAACAUAGUCUAACUUUUUGACUUGUAUUAACAAAAAAUGGAUUAUGUACAAAAUUAUAUUAAUACAAAAUAAAAGAUUUUGUGGCGACACAUGAGGCUGCCACUGAAGUUUCACCUUUAGUGGCGGUAAGGUCGCUGCGAAAGGAACUUUUGUAGCGACUCUUACUGAUCGUAACAAAUACUUUUUUUCAAUUAUAUUUUAUUAGAAGAUUAAUUCAUAUUUGGGGCAACUUCUGAAUUGUCGCCACUAAAAAGGACACAUUUAGUGGCGACUUUACUAGUCGCCAGUAAAACUAUAAUCUUUUGUGGCAACCUUUUGAUGUCGCCACUAUAGCUCUCACUUUUGUGGCACCUAGACGUGUUGCCACUAAAAGUUGUCGCAAAAUUUGGUUUUUAGAUUUUGAAAAUUUUCAUGAAAGAUUUCUUGAAUGUGUAAUAAUUGAGUUUGUAUUAUUCAACAAAAAAUUGUUGCAUUUUAUAAUUAUUAAUAAGUUUUAAUACACAAGAAACAAAAUUCAAUCGAUUUUUCCAUUUCUCACCGAUUUAUGCCCACCCAUAACAACAUGCACUUAUUUAUUACUAAUAAAGGAUCAAACAUAGUCUAACUUUUUGACUUGUAUUAACAAAAAAUGGAUUAUGUACAAAAUUAUAUUAAUACAAAAUAAAAGAUUUUGUGGCAACACAUGAGGCUGCCACUGAAGUUUCACCUUUAGUGGCGAUAAGGUCGCUGCGAAAGGAACUUUUGUAGCGACUCUUACUGAUCGUAACAAAUACUUUUUUUCAAUUAUAUUUUAUUAGAAGAUUAAUUCAUAUUUGGGGCAACUUCUGAAUUGUCGCCACUAAAAAGGACACAUUUAGUGGCGACUUUACUAGUCGCCAGUAAAACUAUAAUCUUUUGUGGCAACCUUUUGAUGUCGCCACUAUAGCUCUCACUUUUGUGGCACCUAGACGUGUUGCCACUAAAAGUUGUCGCAAAAAAUCACAUAUCUUGUAGUGUCCAUAGUUAUAGCAAGUACGAUCAAAAGAUGACCUACUACCCGCUGAAGGUACGACUCCCUGGCUAUCCUGAAUUAAAUUAUGAGGUGGAGUUCCGGAGUAAUUACCUGUAGAAGCGGGCAUAUCGGAUUGAAUUGGUCGGGCUGCAAGUGUCGGCCUCUCUGAACCUCUGGAGUAAGAACUCUGAAAGUUGCCUAAAUUCUUGGUUUUCUUAGCCAAUGCCUUAGCCUGACCGUCUCGCCUCAUCCCCUCCACUUUCUUCACAAAAUUCAUUACCCCAUUAAAGCUUUUUCCUACAGAGGUCAUACAGACAAAUAAUACCUGCAAUUCAGAAUUUAGUCCCUUAACAAAUAGGCGGAUCCUUUCUUCCUCAGUAGUCACCAAUUGCGUAGCAUAUCUAGACAAAGCAUGAAACUUGGCCUCAUAAGCAGCCACAAUCAUACCACCUUGCUCCAAAGCCAUGAACUCAUCCUUUUUACGAUCUCUCAAAGUUUGAGGCACAUACCUCUCCAAGAACAGAGCAUGAAACUGGGUCCAAGUAAGUGGGGGUAAAACUGAAGAUCUGCAUUCCACAUAAGCUCUCUACUACUACUUAGCCUCACCCUGAAGUUGAAAGGUCAUAAACUCCACGCCAUGUUGGUGGACAAUUCCCAACUUCUGACGCCUCUCGUAGAAAUCUAGGAUGAACUCAUAUGCAUCCUCACUCUUGGAACCAUGGAAGACAUGCGGUUUCAACUUCAAGAAGUUAAUCAACAUAUCAUGCUCAUUACCAGUCAUAACAGGACCCAACAAAGGAUGGAAGAAAACAUCAUUACCUACAGUUCCACCCACCUUGGGGACAGUGAUAGCAAUAGGGGGAUUGGCGGGAGCUUGAGUUGCUUGAACAGAGGGAAGCACUCCAGGACCAACCAAUCCUUUCAAGAAUGACAUAAUCUCUUAAGCUAACAUUCUCCUCAUCAUCAACCUCAACAUUCUCCUCUAUCUCUUCAUGAUGCGUAGGAAGGGCCUCAUUUCUAGGAGCAUCUCAAAGCGAUGCUCCAUCCCUAGUAGGUGUCACCCUUCCUCGGCCUCUACCCCUAGCUCUUCCUCUACCCCUGCCUCGACCGCGACCUCUUGAUGUGGAUUCCUCAGCUAGCGCGUUGACCGGAACUAUGGGUCAGACGUCGUUGAAUCUAGUGUUAACCAUUUGCAGACAUAAGAGUGAAGGAGAUUAGAUACCAAUUCGAAUCACCAGAUACAAAUUGGAAUCAAGUUAUAGCACGAAAGGAGACACCAGAAAAACAGAGAGGUUUCCUAAAGUCCUAUAGCCUCUCGAAGAAAAUUACAGAUGUCUCCGUACCGUUUUGCAAGACUCUACUAGACUCGUUUUGGUACAUCGAGAUCAACGAACCAAGGCUCUAAUACCAACUUUGUCACGACCCAGACCGUCGUGAGUGGCACCACACUAACCCUCCGGUGGGAGAACCAUUACAACGACCCAAACUAAUAAACUCAACCAAAAUUCUAAGGCAUUUAAAGAUACGGAAGCAGGUUUAAAUGCUAAGGAAAGAAAUAGGGAGUUCCCAUAUGCUCCAAACAAAAGUCUAACAACCAAAACAAAUGCGGAAUAAUACCUAGAACCUGAAUGUCAAUGUACCAAAACAUCUAAAGCUCAACCAGUCUAAGAAAAUGGGUACAACCCAAUUAAACAUAAGAAAUCCUAAGUACUAGUCUAAGCCCAAAAUAUGGACAUAGAUGAAAAGAGAACUCAUGGCAGCCCGGAAGAACUGGCUCACCCUUGAAUUUGAUGACGAUCACUGAUCUUCUAAACGAGGUUUGUCAGUAGCCGCUUGAAGAUGUCAUGUACUCAACAAUGAAAUAGCAAGUGUAGUAUCACUACACAAUCACAAUGUACGGGUAGGAUCACACAGCUAUCCCACAAAGUGCAACAAACAUACGCAAUUACAACAUAAUAAUAACAUGCAUACACCGAACACAUACAAUAUCGACAUCAUUUAUGAACAACAUACAAUUUCAUAAUUCUCAAGAUAUACAGUUAUGUCAAGUCAAUGGUCCUCUCAUGGAACCCACACCCAAACUGUUAGUGUACCGGUACGUGGUACCCGUUCCAAGUUAGUGUGUCGGAUCGUGACACCUGUUCUAAUGUUUAUGCCGAUAAGUGGCAACCGAUCUCAGUUAGUGUGUCGGAACGCAACACCCGAUCUAUUCAUGUAUAUUCUCAUAAUCAUACAAUCAAGUCAUGAUUCAUGGCAUUCAAUUAUCCUCAUUUACAAUUAGUGUGAUCAAUAAUGCAACAUUCACAUACAUACAAGCAUCAUAAUGAAGCAAAAACAAACAUAUUUCACACAACAUGAAAUUACAACCAUUACCUACCUCAAACAAACCUUGAAUCCCCUAAGAAACUUGAUUCUUCCCUCUUCAAAUUCUUUCUGCAUGUUCUUGGUUUACAAACAAUCAUAAUAACACGGGAAUCAAUAAACGAUGUCUAAUUACCCGGAUUAAAGCCAACACUAUCAACCCUAAAACAAACCCUUGAUCCCAAUACCCAGAUUAGGUCUUUUCCCACCAUCCAAAUAGUUCCAAAACCCUUCCCCACUAAUAAUCACCCAAGAAACUAAGUUCUACGGAUCGAAAAAUGGAUUCGGGGAGUGAAAAUCUUACCUUUAGCCUCAAGAAUGGUGGAAAACUGUCAAGAAAACACUUGGGGUCGUUCCUUAGCUCUUAAAGUCGAAAAGUGUAGAAUAAAAUAUUUUUGGGGUUCAUUUUUGACUUAAGUUGCGUCUGUCCUGCCACAGGGGUACUCACCCCGCUACAGUGGCCCCGCCCUGGUGGCAUAAAAUCCUAGUAUAACGUCCUGCAUGGAACAGAGAGCUAAAUAAAGAAUUUCCAAACCCCCAUUUCACAACACACCUUCUUCCCAUGACACUCAGAAACUACCCUUUCACGGUUAGAUCGAUUUCGGGAGUUCUACUUGCCCGAAUUCAAUUCUGUAAAGUCGUACAGGUUCCUUAGCGUCUUGCUAUCUACUCACAUGAUCAAAUUGAUAAUUAGAUUCCCAAUUGUUACCAGAUUUCCCUAGACCUCACUGACUCCGAUUUCGUCCGAAUCUGGACUAGGUUGGGAAACUUCAAGUUACUACCAAAAAGUUUUUUGGCCCAAAUUUUUUCCUGUUGGCUUUUCUAUAACGACGGAAACCGGUUGUUACAUAUACUUCAUUACCCAAUGUACUUUCGACGAAGCAGAUAAUUGUACAUUGAGAUAUUUUGUUAGUUAAUAAAUACUUAGUAAGUAAUUUGAUAAUCUAAUUUAACACUUACUUAAGAUAUGGUUGAAUUUUGAGAUAAUUAAGCAAAAUAUAUGUCAAAGUUGAUUGUCUUUCAAUUUUAGUGAAACCUCACCUUUCACGUUUUUUAGUUCCUCGACCAUUUUGAUUAAAAAUGGAUUUUGAUGGAAACAUAGGAUCAUUAUCACCUUCACAGUUGCGAUUGAGCUUGUUUAUCUUACAUGACACUUCAUUCCCAAAGUAAUAAGAAUAAAAAUGACGAAAUUUCACUCGCAAUAUGAUCUUAAACAACCGAUCCUUCAAUCUUUCCCCUUUGCUUAAUAGUUUGUUUGCAACUAUCAAUUUUUCUAUAUGGAUAAUUCCAUAUAUAGCUAGUAAUUAUAUAAGAAAAUAACUUAAUAAAUAAUAUAAAAACGUUAGCUCUCAAAGGGAUACAUCCACCGCGUUUGAACUGGACCUCCAAGGCAGGCCUCUUGUACAAGGUGAAUUGGAAGAUGCUCUAUCAAAUCAAAAGAAAUUACAUGAAAAGAUCUUCUCCAACUUAUAAGUAGUAGUGACAAGAAUAAUUUCCUCCUUCCUAGCUAAACUACUCUCCAACGACUUUCGUGAAAACAAUUCCUUAAAUGAUAUCUUUUUAUUUUUUGAAAUUUGAGUUUUAAAUAAAAAUGUCAUGUUACCAAAUUUUAUUGAAAAAAAUAAUUAAAUAGGUUGAGUGACUUCGUAAGUAAAAUAAUUAUAGUUGAGUGACUUUUGAGUUACAAAUUAAAGUUGAGUGACUUUGUGCAUAAAAAAUUCUUAAUUGAGUGGCUUUUGAAUUAAAAAAUCAAAGUUGAAUGACUUUCUAUGAAAAGAACCCAUAAUUGAAAGUGACCAUAUGAGAUAUUGUCCCGGUCAAUAAUAUAUGGACAAUAUUUUAAUACAUUGUAAUAAAAGGUCACCAUGUCAACAAGAGCUGACUACUUGAUGGUGCUAAUUAUAUAUCGACAAUCUUUUAGUACAUACAAAAAUUUUCACAAAAUGAGCAAGUUGAAUUUUCUUUGAAAUUAUUGAUGAGAGGUCAUAUUUAAUGAAGGGUCUUUGGAAAGUUCAAAGACUAUGAGGAGAGAAAUUGGCUGAAAUUUAAUGGAUUUGACCUCAUUUUCUUUGAACUUAUUGAAGAGUGGUCAUAUUUAAAAUUUUAGGAAGUUAUCGCAAAACAAGUUUUACGGAUCUACGAUUUUGAUAUGUGAAACUUGUUUUAAAAAAUAAAAAAUGUAAAGAAAAAGAGAAGCUGAAAAAUCAUUAAUCUUUAAAUGUAAAAAUAUAAUAAUUAAAUUAAAAGAAAUUAGUAUUUCUAAAAAGAAACUGUCAGUGAAGAGAAGUUAAUCCACGAUCCAUACAAGUGCCCGUAAAACACAUGAUUAUUGAGUUCCGAGGUCUUGGUUCACAGAUCAGUAUAUGGCCCUCCAAUCUUUCACGGUCCGUAAACAAGUCCGUGAAACUCUCUUCCAAAUUUCCCAAUUUUUGAGCUUUGGUCUACAGAUCCCCUCAAGGCCCCUAGUUUCUUUCACAGUCUGUGAAAGGGUCCGUACAAACUCUUUUAUGUUGAUGUCAAUUUUUCUAAUCAUUCCAAGGUUUGAUCUGGGCUUAUGAACUUUUGGGGUGUUAUACUUCAUUACCCCAUGUACUUACGAACACGCUGAUAAUUGUACAUUGAGAUAUUUUGUUAGUUAAUAAUUACUUAGUAUGUAAUUUGAUAAUCUACUUUAACACUUACUUAAGAUAUGGUUGAAUUUUGAGAUAAUUAAGAAAAAUAUAUGUCAGAGUUGAUUGUCUUUCAAUUUUAGUGAAACCUCACCUUUCACGUUUUUUAGUUCCUCGACCAUUUUGAUUAAAAAUGGAUUUUGAUGGAAACAUAGGAUCAUUAUCACCUUCACAGUUGCGAUUGAGCUUGUUUAUCUUACAUGACACUUCAUUCCCAAAGUAAUAAGAAUAAAAAUGACGAAAUUUCACUCGCAAUAUGAUCUUAAACAACCGAUCCUUCAAUCUUUCCCCUUUGCUUAAUAGUUUGUUUGCAACUAUCAAUUUUUCUAUAUGGAUAAUUCCAUAUAUAGCUAGUAAUUAUAUAAGAAAAUAACUUAAUAAAUAAUAUAAAAACGUUAGCUCUCAAAGGGAUACAUCCACCGCGUUUGAACUGGACCUCCAAGGCAGGCCUCUUGUACAAGGUGAAUUGGAAGAUGCUCUAUCAAAUAAAAAAAAAUCACAUGAAAAGAUCUUCUACAACUUAUAAGUAGUAAUAACAAGAAUAUUUUCCUCCUUCCUAGCUAAACUACUCUCCAACAUCUUUCGUGAACACAACUCUUUAAAUGAUAUCUUUUUAUUUUUUGAAAUUUGAGUUUUAAAUAAAAAUGUCAUGUCACCAAAUUUUAUUGACUACUUGAUGAUGCUAAUUAUAUAUCGACAAUCUUUUAGUACAUACAAAAUUUUCCACAAAAUGAGCAAGUUUAAUUUUCUUUGAAAUUAUUGAUGAGAGGUCAUAUUUAAUGAGGGGUCUUUGGAAAGGUCAAAGACUAUGAGGAGAGAAAUUGUCUAAAGAUUUAAUGGAUUUGACCUCAUUUUCUUUGAACUUAUUAAUGAGGGGUCGUACUUAAAAUUUUAGGAAGUUAUCGCAAAACAAGUUUUACGGAUCUAAGAUUUAGAUCUGUGAAACUUGUUUUAAAAAAUAAAAAAUGUAAAGAAAAAGAGAAGCUGAGAAAUUAUUAAUCUUUAAAUGUAAAAAUAUAAUAAUUAAAUUAAAAGAAAUUAAUAUUUCUAAAAAGGAACUGAUAGUGUAAUUUUGUUGUCCACUGUCAGUGGAGAGAAGUUAAUCUCGAGCGCGGAUUAAUUAUACAAAAAUGACAUUUUAUUAAUCAAGAUAAUGUAGUCAAAGUUCCAACAUCUAAAUAAUUCGUUUUGUACUGAUACUAUUUUAUAUAUUUUUUAGUAUUAUAAUGAUAUACAUGAAUUGACUAUAUAGGAUAUUUCGGUAUGAUAUUCAGUAUAUUUUUUAAAAGUAUCAAGUACAAUUUGUUGUUAAAAUACAUACAAAAUACUAAAAUACUGAAAUAGCGGUGGUAUUCUGGGCCUCCUAAUAACUCACCUGAGUUAUGCCUAAUUUUUACUUUACCUCUUUCUUAUACCUUGUUAACAACUAUGAGUUGUAGUAAAGUACGAACAUGGUGUGUUACGUGGGAAACACCGAUUCUCAAAUAGCUCUUGCCUAUUUGCUUGAAUUCUACCUUUAGUUUAUUAUGUUAGUGAUUAUGUAAGUGUGUAAUCUUCUUCUAUGAAAGAGUAGUUUAUUUAUACACGCAAGUCAUCAGAGUAUAGUUGUUCACAAACACAUUGUGAACUACAACUUUUUUUUAUCGCAGUGUUUAAGAUGAAGGUUGCUUCUUCAUAUCUACACAUCCUGGUUAACUUAUCCUAUUAGAGUCCACCUUUAAUAAUCUUCCAACUUCUUUGACUUUAGUGCAAGUUCCCAUGUUUUGGAGCCUUUGAAACUUGAACGUUUGACUUCUAUCAAAAGUUCAAAAAGAUAGCCUCAAAAUGCAAUUUUGACGGUUCCAUAAGAGCCGAAAGGGCCAUUUUGGGAUAGGUGAUUGUUGGUCCGGGCCUUAAGACUUUCGAUGUGAGUUUAUGUCGUUAAGAGUUUUAACUUUGAAAGCUUUGGUCAAGAGUUGACUUCGGUCAAUGUUCUUGGUAAUCAUGCUCGGAUGAGAAUUCCGUCAGCACAGUUAGCUCUAGAAUGUCGAGUUUGGUCAAGAAUGACAUUUUGUGCGGUUCUCGAGGUUUCUAAUUUCGAAUCCUCUUGUAGAUUUUAGCUUUAAAAGGAAGUUGGGUGUGGGACCCACUUUUCAUUGAGAGAACAUCAGACGAAAGUUUUGAUGGUUUCAUUUAGGGGUGUUCGUGGUUUGGUUUUGAUCGGUUAUUGGUUAAAACCAAAAUCAAACCAAUCUAGUCGGUUAUCUAAAACCAAACCAAACGAAAAAAAUAACCGUCGGUUUGGUUAUUGACGGUUAGGUUCGAUUUGGUUCAGUUUUUCCAGUUUUUUCAGUUUGAAAGUAAUAAAUUUCUGAGGACAUACGUAUAGAUCUUGAUAGACACAAACACCUAGUACAUGAGCAAUCCACUAAAAAGCUAUUGUCGGUUCAAUUAAACAAUUAAACAAUACUAAAGUUAUCAUUACACGAACAAAGUAAUUCAAUUAAGAGAAGGUGCAACUAUCUUAUCAAAGGUAUGGUCGGUAAAGACUAAAGUAAUGAAUUUUGAUGGACUUGGACUUAUGAUUGUAAUAGAUGGAAUUAAAUUUAAGUGUUGGGCAUGAGAAAAUGGUAAAGUUAAAGACUAAAGUUACUUAAAAUUUAACAAAAUAUUUAUAUUUUAUUUAUGAAUGAUAUAUAAAUAAUUAUAACAUAUAUAUAUAUAUAUAUAUAUAAUUUAUCGAUUCUGUUUGGUUAUUUUUACAGUUAUUUUUUAGUAAAACCAAAACCAAACCAAAUAGUAUCGAUUUUUCAAAAUUUAAAACGAAACCUAACCAAAUCAAACCAAAUAUCAGUAUUUUUAAUCAGUUUGAUUCGGAUCGUGGUUCGGUUUGGUUUUUUUAACCAUAACCAUGAACAACCCUAGUUUCAUUGGACCCAGAAUGUAAAAUUUGAUGGGAUUGAAUAUUUUGUUUGCCUGCACGGGCGUCUGAACGAAUCCUAGGCACCCGAUAGAGAUUUCCUAGUUGAGCAAACUAGCUGAUAUGCAUCAGUUGGUGCAGCUCGAUUUGCUCAUCACGUUCCCGAGCCCUAAGGGCUGCAUUCGUGGAGCUUAAUUAUCUGGACUAGCACGAUCAUGAGGCCUAUGGUCGCAAUCGCGAGGGAAUGAGGUCCAGUCCCUCUAUGUUUGUGAAAAAGUCCUCCAUGUUCGCAAAGGUGUUUUUUGGUAAGGGUCGUGACCUCGAACCUUGGGCUUCGCGAUUGCGAUGGCUUGUGAAGUCUGGUCUUUGAUUAAGACCAACAAUUAUUUCAGCCUGAGGUCAUUUGUCGUUUUUGUGAUUUUGGGAGCUAGGAGAUUCCAAAUUGAGAGAUUUCAAGUGUUGGAUGUUCAUAUAGUUUGUGGAUACGUGUUAGAAGGUUCGGAGAAGGUCAGUGAGCUUCAGUUUGAGGUAAUUCUCACCUCGAAGGGGCAGCCUUGUCUCUUUAAAUGACAAAUUUUGUUCAUGUAUUCUUUUGGGAUGUUUUGGGCAUCAAAUUAAGUCCUAUUUUGGUACACACGCUUGGUAAGUCAUUUAGGACCUUUUCACAGAGUCAAUUUUGGGAUUCCUGGUGUGGGGGUCCCAUAUUCUCAUUUUGACUAAAUUUUGGGCCCAUCUCCAGUUAUUCCAAAUGUAGUGUCUAAAUGUCCAUUUUAACAUUGUGAUCAACAAUUUGAUAGUGUGGCAGUAUUCAAAGUCGUUUCAGAAGUGGAUAGCUUUUAUGUGGUGGAUUUGGAGUGCAUGUGACCUACCUCGAGGUAGACUUCAGACUACUUUCUUGCUUGGGAAAUUUAGAUAAUGUUUAGUAUGAAUUACAUGUGAUUUAGGACUGUAUUUUUUGGGUAUUAGCCUCAUUCUGUUAUUCUAUCAUUUUUGGACUCCAAUAGGAACGUUAGACUUAUGUUGUCGGGAUUGGGAUCCUUAGUUUAGGUUCUAGCGUUGCUUGUAGUAUGCCUUAGCACGCGAAUCCUUAUUCGGUAUGACUUGAUUUUGGAUUGUUGAUCAUCUAUUCGUGUUUGAGACUUUGGAGGCUCGUCAUAGCCGUAAGUUGGCACUAGUUGUGCUCAAUCAUAGACUGGAGAAAUGUGAAUGAGUUAAGGUGUCAUUCCUUGUUCUUUGGUGCAGGUGCACUAGCAGAUGGUGGUGCAGUCCCAUUCGGUCUUUGUUGAAAAGAUGAUCGGUUCGCAUUGCCCUUCUGCUGCCCGGACUCAUUACCUGUCGUCUUAGCCUUGUUGUUUCAGAACUCUUCUCUAUCUCUCAAAUUAUAUUCCUCAACCUGUUGCACAUGGAUCAUACGCCUUGCUAUGUCCACUUCCUCUAUCAACAUCGCAGUCUUACCCACUUUGCUUGACAGACGAGACAACCCAGACACAAAUAGACUCAUCCUGCUCUUCAUAUCAACAACUAUCUCCGAAGCAUAACGGGAAAGUUGAGUGAAGUUGAGGCUGUAAUCAUGCACACUCAUGGAUUCCUGCUUAAGAGUGAGAAAUUCUCUUACCUUUGCCUCUCUCAACUCAUGGGGAAAGAAACGCUCUAUGAAGGCACUUUCAAACACAACCCAAAUCACAAUUGGUGCCCCUUCAGCUCUGCUCUUCUUCCGUUUGUCUUACCAAAAUCUAGCAACACCCUUUAGUUGGUAUGUAACGAAAUCCACAUGCUCACCAUCCGCAACAUGAAUCACCUCAAACACUUUCUGCAACUCUUCCACAAAGUUUUUUGGAUCCUCAAUGAAACUUGAGCCGGUGAAGUCUGGAUGAUUCAUCCUCAAGAACUCAUGGAUUCUGGAUGUAUCAGCCACAUCCUGUCCAACUCCUCUCUAUUGACCCGCUUGGUUGGUCACUACUCGACUCAACAUUCGGAUAGUAUCCCAGAACUAAGAAUUAGUGACCUCUCCUUGGGGUUAAACUUCUGGUUCAUUAGGGACCCCUUGAUCCUUGGGAUCAACAUUUCUCCUAGCAGGAUGACCUCGAACAGCUCUUCGUGGAGGCAUGAUCUGAAAAAUACGUGCAAGCAUGAAUUAUAAAGAAACUUUUAUAGAGUUGAACUCUAUCGCACGAAAAGAGUAUAAAAGAAGUGAGAUAGUUCCUAAAUGUCAUAGCCUCCUAAUUAUAGAUGUGGCACGCUUUACACCGAUAACUAAGACUCUAUAGACAUGACAUCAUAGACACCCUAGGACUCUUGAACUCUGUGCUCUGAUACCAAGGUUGUCAUACCUCGGGCAUACACCCAGGACGUAGCCGGCACUAGAGAGCUAUUGAUGGCCCCCAAGAGAACCCUUGGCCUAGCUCAAUACUUAGCGGAAGACUUAUUCAACAUUAGAUGAACUCAAAAGUAAAUGUAUUCUCAAAUAGUCUCAAAAUAGAUAACUCAAAAUAUUUUAAAGAAAACAUUCAACUGGCCAAAAGAGGCAACUCAAGUCUUAGACAUUUAAUGAUGGAAAUGAAAAGACUACUCAAAAACACUACUGUCUAUGAAGCUUCUAAUACCUCUGAUGGACGUUGGGACAAGACCCAUGACAUCCUAACAAAACCAAACUAAAAAGUAAAAGGGAAUCCUCCGGAAGCAAGGAGGCUCACCAAGCAAAUCUGGAACUCGACUGGAUCAACAGAGCGCCGGUUGAUGACCCUGGUUACCUGUAUCUGCAUCAUGAAAAUGCAGGCUAAAUGGUGUUAGUACAUGGAAUGUACAAUCAUGUAAGGGGAACACUGAAUAUAACCGGUAAGCUUGAACUGAUAAAAUGAAACCAUACUCACAUCAACUCAACUUAACUCAAGGAUACUCAAACUCAGAAAUACUCAAUUCAGUUCAAUAUAAAAGCAACAAUAAAGAUGCAUUAUAAAUAAGCUUUUAAAACAGUAGAUAAUAACUCAAUGUAUUUAAAAAUACAAUAAUAACUCUUUUACUCUUAUUUGAGAGAUUCUCUAACCGACAACCAUCACUAUGAGCUAUGUGAUGAUACAACGUCUCGCCUACGCUGCCAUAAAUGUCAUAUACCUUGCCAGAGUAUAAGACAUCCUCAAAUAAGUGGAUCCACUAAGCUAUGCUUAGAAGCAAUAAGGAAUCAUCUAAAAAGUAUGACCCUUUACCCAUAUUGGCAUACAUGGUUUAUGAAGACUUUGAGUUGUCUGAACUCGUCCCCAUAUCGGUGCUCAAUACUACUCCCAAUAAUAUAACUCAUGCUUAUAUGUUUGAAAAAACAUUUCCUCAUUCUCAUCCUUUGAGAUUAUUACUCAAAAGGUUAUCUUAAAAGAGAUAGUGCUCAAAAACUCCUCAUGAACUCAUUUGGAAAUCAAGGUUUCCUCUCAUUUUAAAUGUUAAAGUAUUUACUCUUGAGAAUACUUAGUUCCCGUAUAUUUAUUUUGAAAAAUGAAACUCAACUCUCCUCAUCCUCAUAUUCAAGUGCUCAAGUCUUAAAACAAAUUUUAAAAGUUUGCAAAAGACUUCUCAAAAUCACUCAAAAGAACUCCCUCUAACUUUACUCUUAACUCUAUCUUGAAUUUGAAAGUGUGAAUUCAAGAAUUAUGAUUUGGAUAUAUGGAUUUUUCAAUAAUUAGAUGUAGUUUGAAUAGUUAUAAUCAGGAAGAGAGCAAGGAUACAUUUUAAAAGGGAAGGGGGGCAGGCGACCCUGGCGCGGGGCACUAGCCCCUAACUUCAGAAACUCUUUUCUCAUGGACUGUAGGCGCGGCGUGCUAGCCUCCCUGGCGCAUCAGUGGCGCGUCGCGCCACCGUUCCCCCAGGUCAUUCUAAUGAUUUUUUCUUCUCGAUGUUUUACCCUAAUUCAUUUAGAAUCGAUUGAUUUCUUCCUAACUCUCUUAGAUUCGUAUACCCAAUAUAAGUAAACAAAAAUCUACUCAAAUCUCAUCAAUAACAACCCUCAAACUCAAACCCUCACCUCAAGAACUCAUCAAACUCCAAUAAUAAAUGUUGAAGAACGAAACUUCAAGAAAACUCAUUAAAAACAUCAAUACAUGGAUUUCAUGGAUAAAUUUUAAUCAAGAAAUUCAUGAUUGGCGUUAGGGUGAACAAAACCAUCACUAUGAAAGCUUACAUACCACGUUAGGAUCAAAUCCUUGGUGAAAUCCCUCGAAGAUCGCAGGAAAAUCUUGAAUGCUUGAAGCUUUUCUCCCUUUUCUCCUCUUUGAACUUUGCCCUAACUUUCCAAACAUUUUAGACUUUAGCGUAAAUUGAUAAUAAGCUUUGACCCAUAAUUGUGUGAAAAACACGCUUAAGGCUAAUGUGGUCAGGAAAAGACCAAAAUACCCCUCCUUAAUUCGGAUGAACUUUCUAUAAUAGGACAGGUUGAACUCAAACGGGCAUAUCUCCCGCAUCUAAACUCAGAAUUUAGAAAACUUGGAGGCGUUGGAAAGAGGACUCAAAGAUCUUUCAUUUGAUAUCUCAUGGACCACCUAACUCACCCUGUAAUGAAAAUUAUGGUCAUUUGAAGUUAACUCAAAACUCACAAGUGAAGACUAACUUGCACAAAUUCUCAAUUUAGCUAUUUCCAAUUUAGUUCUUUCUAAAAUUAGCUCUUUCUAAUACCGAGGUGUUACAGUCGUGAUAAAAAGAUACAAAAGAAAUAAAAUUUAUUCAAAGAAAAACUCAAGAAUGAUAGUAAGAAGCAAUGUGAUAUGAGGGAUAAAAUUUCAAGGAGUGUAUAUAAAUAUUGAGAGAAGUAUUGCGAAAACCCCUGGAAUUGGCGCUUAUUAUUUGUUUUAUCCUCGGACUAUUGUUAGCCCUAAAAAUAUCCAUAUACUUCACUAAAUCAACUUAAAUACACCCUCGAUCUGCCACAUGGAAUAGAAAGUGAUUUUAAACUCUUGUAGGAGCAUGCGACUCUUAAUAAAAAUUUGAGAGAUGUGUUGAAAACACCCCUGAACUUGACAAGAAUUAUUAGUUUCAUCCUAGAACUAUUGAUAGUAUUAACAAUACCCCUCUUCUUAACAAACUAAUCUUAAAUAUACCCCCAUUCUUGCAAGAUGGGUAAAAUAAGAACUCGACCCAUAAGACUUUUUUUCCUAUAAUUUUUUCACCCAAAUAAUAUGUCUGAACUAAGACCCAAAUUUAAAAAAAUAUAAUCAUGUAAUCGUAGUUCUUAUAAUAAAUAUUAAUUAUUAUUAUUAAUAGAAAUAGUUGGAGUAGGUGUAAGUAAGAAUUUUUUAAUAAAUUAAAGAAUGUAAAAAUGUUGAACUAAUUCUUGUCCCCUUGAGACUAAAGACUGUAACAACACUCCUUCAAUUACUUUUUACUUAAUUAAAUGGUGAGGCCCAUAAGCUAUAUUAUAGAAAUCAAAACGAAGUACAUGCCCAAUCCAACAACAAAUAGGGCUAAAGAAAAACGAUACAAAAGUAGCUAAAAAGAUAGCGAAACCUAAAAAGGCAGUCAAAGUGGAAAGGAAAAGAUAUCAGUUUCUCAGAGUUUUCAUAUCAACUUCGCCGCCGUGGCUUGAAUUUGAUCGGUCGCCCACCAAAAUUGUGAAAUAUCAGCUUCCCCCCAUCUCAUAUCGACAUAAGAUCCCUUUAAUGAAGCUCCACUUCAUAUAAACUUCCAGAUCACGUCGAUUGCGACAUUGUGUCGGUAUUUUCUUGAAUCAAUUUGAAAAGUUGUGAGAUGCUAGAAAGAAAAGCUACUAAUGAGGUAGGUUUCCUUUCUUCAUCCAAACUUCUAUUAACUCCAAGUUAUAUAUUUAUAGAAAUGAAUAUAUUCUAAGCUGUGUUAUCUUGUAUAAACUGCACACUAUUCAAUGAUAUUACAAAUCCUUGCAUCUUACUCAUAGACUAGUAGUCAAAAGAAAACUCAAUCUUAUCAUGUUAUUAUGUUAUUCUUCUAAGCAUUUUAUGUUAAUUAUAAAUCAUUUUCUCUAGUAUAAUAUUUAAUGGGUUGAAUUCCAUAAUCUCCAUUCAAAUAUUUGACCUUUUAGUUGAAAAAUUAACUCAAUUUUGCUUAUAUGAUUUAUGGGACUGCACAAACCUUUUAGAGAGAUUGCAUUUGUGGAGAAAGCAAUGGGAUCAAAAGUCAAAUACACUACUAACAACCUUUAAAUCCUGAUUUCAUACUAUUUUUGAAACAUCUAUGCUCUCACCAGGUACGUGAUACUGUUAACCAACAAAAAUAGCUUCAAAAUUUAAAAGUUUGCUACUAUAAUGUAUCAAUUGUGAACUCCUGCAUACUUCUUAUCGAUACUUGUAUAUCUAACUGUUAUUUGGUUCUUCUGAACUAUGAAAAUCUAAUUAGAACUCGUAGAGUUUGUCUGUUUGAUUCUUAUGUAUGAAGUGUUAGAUUUUUCGGAAUUUAUUAUCUUCUUGGUUGUUGUUGGGACUUUAUGACCCAAUUUGUGAUUAUCCAAAGGAAUCUCAUGCGAAAUCCUAAAAUUUUGGAAUUACGGUGCCAAAUUUAAAAUUUUGAGCUCAUAACAAAAUUGACUUAUUUUAUAUUGAUCAGGCUAACGUCAGCCUACCAUAGCGGUAAGCCUUCCGCUAUGGCUGCACCGCUAUAGGACCUUCAUGACCAUUAUGGUGGACUACGUGAAAUCAGACCCUUGUUAAUAUAAUUUAUAUUAUUUUCCUCUCAAUUUUGAAAGAACGAAAUAGAUGAAGACUGCUCUAAAAACCCUUAUGUAGGUACCCAGGGCAUGAGAGCAAUGGAGAGGAGAGAUUACAUCAAGAUAGGUGAAAACCCAAGGAAUUCAAAUCCUUGUUCGUCACAGUUUUCUCUCAUAGAGUCGAAAGCUCAUAGUAAAGGUUCAUCAAUAGAUGUUUGGUGCCUAAGUAAGGUAAGUUUUUUUAAACUGAGAAGUUAAACCCAUCUUUACUUACUCAUAUCUUGUGUAUGUUUAGAGUUUGCAUGCGCAAGCCUUCGUGCUCUGAGUUGGACGGUUAGGCUUGUGCCUAAGGUGGUUAGGCUAAUAAUGGCAGUUAGUAAUUUGAGGUUUUUCUAUGAUAUGGUUGUGUGUUGUCUUGGGAAGGGAAGUAGUGGGCGAAGAAUCUAGGAUGAUGGACUGUCUAGAAGGUUACCUUUCAAUAGGUGAUAGCUGUGUGUUUUCCAAGUUAUGUAUGUAUGCAUGUCUACUACUUUAUAUUAUCACUUGUGCAAUGCAUGUCAGGGAAAACAUAAGAAAUAAUGUGAAAUGACAUUAUGUUGAUAAUCUCAUACAAUGAAUCUGCUUACUUUACUUGUGGUUUCAAGUGUAAUUGAUAAUAUCCUGCAGUGAACCAGUGAUUGCCACCUCCGAUCAUUGGGAGAAUAGUAGUGGAUGGUAAAGCCCUUUAUAGUAGGCCAAAUGAUCUCCCACUCUCUUCCACCAGCGUAUUCUGCAACCAUGUCAUAUGCAUCUUUCUUAGAUUGGCAUUAUAGGCCGGAUUAGAUACCUUUGGCACCCCAGUGCUUCAUUUAUAGACCUGGCAUCUAGGGGGAAGUUCACUUCUCGAAUGCGGAUGGUGGGGUUGGGGGAAUCCCAUAGAACAGUAGGGAGGAUGGCAUAAAACUCCCUUACCCACCCGACCUGAAAUAAGGGAUGAGCCACCACCAAAGGACCCCUAUUGAACUCUUAAAUCCAGUUGUAGAAAACACAAGCUUCUUUGGUUGCUCCUCUCAUCUUGAAAACCCAUUGUAACGGCCUAGCCAACUAGUGAUAUUGUCCGCUUUGGGCAUAGUCCUGCACUAAUUUAAAAUGUGUCACUAAUUGGUAAGGAAUGCUUACUUAUCUAUCAAACAUCUCUCCUAUGGUUUGCCGAUGUUAGACUUAUAAUCUUAAAUUGAGAUGUCACAUACAUCCCAUCUAUGGACUCAGCGUCAUCAAUGAGGUUUUCCCCACCACAUGGGAUUCACCUAGACUAAGCACUAAGGUUUGCCCCACCUUAUAGUGAUUUGCCUAAACUCAGUUGAAAUCUAGCCCACAUAGACAAGGCUAACACAUGAGUGGCUUUACUACAAUUUGUAACAGCCCAACUGAUUAGUGAUAUUGCCCACUUUGGGUAUAGGCCCGCACAGUUUUAAAACACGUCACCAGUUGGUAAGGCUUGCUUACUCAUAUACCCAAAGUCUCUCAUAUGUUUUGCCGAUGUGUGACUUAUAAUCUUAAGUUGAGGUGUCACAUACACCGCCUCUAUGGACUUAAAAUCCUCACUGAGGUUUGCCCCACCGUAUAGAAUUUGCCUAGACUCAGCACUGAGGUUUGCCUUGCCUUACCAGGAUUUGCCUAAACUUAAUUGAACUUUGACCUAUAUCAACAAUGCUGACACAUCAGUGGCACUGAUACCAAGUUUGUUACGUCUUGAGUCUAUACCUCAGCCGAGACACGGCACCUCGGACCAUGAAUGAUCCAGGGAUAACCCUUGACUUAACAUAUUAGACAUAUCAUAUAAACUAUUGCAAAACUUAAACAUAUGCUUAACACAAAAUUCAAUAAACUUUGUGAUACUACAUUACUAAUCUGUAUAAAGUCUCUAUUACUUUAGAAUUAAAAUAUAAGUUUGUCAGGACAUGACCAUCAACUACCUCAAAACAAAGACAACAUGAGGAAAAAAGUUAACAGUCUAAAACAACGGAGUCCCCAAAUGAGAAGGGCUCACCAAAAGCUAACUGAGAGUGCUGCAACCUCACUAACCACGAAUUUGAGUGUGAAUAUCAGAAUCUACAUCAUAAAAGGAUGGAAUGUGUCAGUAAGUGGAAUGUACUAUGUAAGUAAGGGAGGACACUAGUUAAAUCAUUUAAAGAAUCAUGAACAAGACAGUAAAACAAUAUUUCCAAGAUCAUAUGUAUAGUAAAAGUGUUGAAGAGAAAACAGUUGGAGUCAAUGAUCAAGUGUCAUAAAAAUCUCUUUUCAAAAGUACAUAUACAUAUAGUUGAUUCAUUUUAGUAGUCCUGCAUAAAAUAGAAUCAUGGAUUCCAACUUAUCAUAAAAUAGAAUCAACUAUAUGUAUAUGUAGUUUUGAAAAGAGAUUUUUAUGACACUUGAUCAUGGACUCCAACUGUUUUCUCUUCAGCACUUUUACUAUACAUAUAAUCUUGUAAAUAUUAUUUUACUGUCUUGUUCAUCAUUCUUUAAAUGAUUUAGCUAGUGUCUUUCCUUACUCAGUAUAUUCCACGUAUUGACACAUGUAUUUCUCUGCGUUGCACACUUUUAUUAUGAAGAUUAUGAUAUUCACGCUCAAAUUCAUGGCUAGUGAGGUUGCGACACUCUCAGUUAGCUUUUGGUGAGCCCUUCUCAUUUGGAGAUUCCGUUGUUUUAGAGUGUUAACUUUUUUCCUUAACUUGUCUUUGUUUUGAGGUAGCUGGUGGCCAUGUCCCGGUAGACUUAUAUAUUCAUUCUAAAGUAGUAGAUACUUUAUUCAGACAUUAAUAAUGUAGUCUCAUGGAGUUCAUUGAAUGCUUUAUUAAGCAUAUGUUUUAGUUUCUGCAAUAGUGCAUAUAAUAUGUGUCACGACCCGAGUCUACACCCUGGACAUGGCCGGCACUCAAGAACCAUUGCUGGUCCCCGAGAGAACCCUCAUCCUGACUAACUACAAGCGGAAGACUAACUUAAGCAUGCAAAAUCUAAAAACUGAAUAAAAUUCAAUAAACUCAACUUUUCAAAACUUUAACUCAAAUGAACAACUUAAAAUAAAAAUAAUAUAUUCAACUCGCCAUAAAGUAGGCAACUUAUAUCUUUAAAUUAUUUAAUAAAAUAAAUGAAUAAUACAGACUUCUCAACUAUACUGACUAUCUAUGAAGCCUCUAACUGAUAAAGAUGGAAGUCGGGACAAGACCCACGACAUACUGACUAAACUGAAAAGUAAAUGAAAUCCUCAUUAAAAUAAGGAGGCUCACCAUAGCUAACUNNNNNNNNNNNNNNNNNNNNNNNNNNNNNNNNNNNNNNNNNNNNNNNNNNNNNNNNNNNNNNNNNNNNNNNNNNNNNNNNNACUCACUCAACUCAAAGAAACAUAGCUCAACUCAAUGAUAAGAUAUUCAACUUAGAGGUAUACUCAAGGAUACUCAAAACUACUCAAACUUACUCAACUUAGAAGUACUCAAGGAUAAGAUACUCAACUCAGAGAUUAGAUACUCAACUCAAUAUAAAGCAACAAUAAAAGAUGUAAUAUUUAUGGAAAGCUGUAAAACUGUAGAUAACAACUCAAUGUAUUGAAAAAAAUUACAAUAAUACUCAGUAUGUAUAUAAAAAUACAAUGUAACUAUGUGGGAGAUUCUCUAACCAACAACCACCACUAUGAGCCUAAAUGGUGAUACAACGUCUUUAGCAUCACGCUACCAGACUGUCCUAUACUUUGCCGUCAUAUAGAACGCCUUAACUAAGUGGAUCCACUAGUCUAUGCUAAAAAGCACUAAGGAANNNNNNNNNNNNNNNNNNNNNNNNNNNNNNNNNNNNNNNNNNNNNNNNNNNNNNNNNNNNNNNNNNNNNNNNNNNNNNNNNNNNNNNNNNNNNNNNNNNNNNNNNNNNNNNNNNNNNNNNNNNNNNNNNNNNNNNNNNNNNNNNNNNNNNNNNNNNNNNNNNNNNNNNNNNNNNNNNNNNNNNNNNNNNNNNNNNNNNNNNNNNNNNNNNNNNNNNNNNNNNNNNNNNNNNNNNNNNNNNNNNNNNNNNNNNNNNNNNNNNNNNNNNNNNNNNNNNNNNNNNNNNNNNNNNNNNNNNNNNNNNNNNNNNNNNNNNNNNNNNNNNNNNNNNNNNNNNNNNNNNNNNNNNNNNNNNNNNNNNNNNNNNNNNNNNNNNNNNNNNNNNNNNNNNNNNNNNNNNNNNNNNNNNNNUUUAUUCAACUGCAAAGCUUAAGUCUUAAAACAAAGUUUAAACAUUUGUAAAAGACUUCUAAAAAUAUGGUUCACGCCGAAUUAUGGACUUGAACGACUCAAUGCAAGGUUUUCAAUAACCAAAGAUAGACUCAAAUACUUGGAACUCAAGAACUUCAAUGAUAUUACUAAUUUCAAGAAUGCUCAACUCAGAGGAUUCAUGCAGAACUAUGAGCAUGAACUACUCAACUCAAGGACUCAAAGAUACUUCUCAUCUCAAAACUGAUCGACUUAUAGUGUUCAUGCGGAAUUAUGGGCAUGAAAUAUUCAACUCAAGGACUCAAAGAUACUUCUCAAAAGGGAUUAGGAACUCAACACUUAAAGACUUAGAACUUGAAUAUACCACUUCUCUGAAGGAUACUCAACUUACGACAUUCAUGCAGAGUUAUGGGCAUGAAACAACUCGACUCGAUGAUCUACAUAACAAUAUGGAACUCAUGUAUGGGACUCUUCUCAUUUUCUGAAUUACUUCCUCAAAACUUAGUUCAAAUCGAUAGUUGAUCUAAAGGAUUCACAAUUGAACUCAAAGGCUUUCUUGAACUCUACUAUUAACUCUCUCUUGAAUGCGAAUUAUGAAUUCAAGAGUUAUGCUUCAUGGUAUGAAGGAUCUUGUAAUGAUAAAGUAGACUCAUGAAUACAUUCUCCUCACUCGUACUCACUUGCUCGAGUCUUGAAACAAGUUAUUAGAAAUUGUAGAAAACUCCUCAAAAGGACUUAAAGGAUUUUCUUACAAUGUUCGAAAGAAUUCUCAAAAACUUAACUCUUAACUCUACCUUGAACUUGAAUUAUGGAUUCAAGGUUGUGAUUUGUGAUAGGAAAGAUCUCAUGAUGUUUAGCAUUGAUUUUAUAUAGCUAAACAUGAGAAAAUAUCAAAAAUUCACUACUUGGAAGCUAGUCCGCGACGCGGAGACGCAUUAAAAUAAUUGGUUGCGAAAUAACUUUUGAGGCAGAGAGGUCCGUGACCUCUCCGCGAUGCGAAGAAAACUUUAUGAAAUGGGGAGGCAGGUCCGCGACGCGGAGCCAAGUGCCAGAUUUGCCCGACUUUUCUCUUCUUCGUUUUCUAACCCCAAAUCGCCAAAAUUCGAUUCUUUUGCUCAACUUUUCUUUAGAUUCAGAUAACCAUCACAUGUACACAAGAAUCUAACUCACAACUACUUUAUAAAUCAAAACAAUAAUCUCAAGAACUCCUAAAUCUCAGCCCAAUUCAAGAAUGAAAGCAAAUUCAAGAACACAUAUCAAUAACAUCAGAUUUUCAACUUUCUAGAACGAACUUAACACUGAAAUUUACAUGAUUGGCGUGUGGGUGAACAAACCCAACACUAUGGAAGCUUACAUACCUGAAAGAACCAUCUUCUUGAAGAACUUGAAGGAAAAUCUUGAAAUAUGAACCCUAACCUUAGCGUUUCUUGAAUCCCUUGAGCGUAGAAUUUUUGGAGUUGGAUGAGAGGGUUUGAUUUAUGAAAAACUGAUUUUCUACACGUUUGGGGUAAUUUAGAUGACCUCCUAAGGGUUUUUAGGACUAAAAUACCCUUAAAAAAUAAUUAAAACGAGCUGGGAGUCGGAAUAAUUUUUCACCAGGCAGUGAGGUCCGUAUUGGCUCCAUAACGCGGAGCCAUCACGGAGCUGCUGCCAGGUUUGCGCGUCGUUAGUAAAUCAGUCAUAACUUUUUACUCAGAGCUCGAAAUUUAGAAAACUCGGUGGCGUUUGAAAGAGGACUCAAAGGGCUUUAAUUUUCUAUCUUGUAUCUCACCUAAAUCAUCUUUUUCUAGGAGUUAUGGUCAUUUGAAGUUGACCCAAAACUUAAGAAAAACUUAGGAAUGACUUGAAUGAGCUCUCUUUAGUUCUUCUUGGAAAUUAAGGUGCUACAUAUAAUGAUCUUAAUACUCAAGAAAUUUUAAAUUCCUUGCAAAAAUCUCACUCACUACGAAGAACGGUUCGAGUUUUAGCUCAGAAAAUUUCUGGGGUGUUAUAAUAUGCCUGAUAUGUUAAGGGAUAGCCUGAGAUCAUUCAUGGUCCUAGGUAUCGUGUCUCAACUAGGGUCGUAAAAAAUUUGGUAUUAGAUCCACUCUUGUGUUAGCUUUGUCAUGUUGAUGUAGGCCAAAGUUCAACUGAGUUUACAAAAAUUCUAGUAAAAUGGGGUAAACCUUAGUGCUGAGUCUAGGCAAAUCACAUACGAUACGGGCAAACCUCGGUGAUGAGUCUAGGCAAAUAAUAUACAAUGGGGGCAAACCUCAGUGCUGGUUCCAUAGAGGGGUGUAUGUGAUACACUAACUUAAUAUUAUAAGUCCCACAUCGACAAAACAUAUAAGAGAUGUUGGGUAUAUAAGUAAGUGCUCCUUACCAAUUAGUGACGCAUUUUAAAUCCGUGCGGGCCUAAACUCAAAGAAUACAAUAACACUAGCGGGCUCGAAAAUUACACUCACUCUAGACAAAAACCCAUCCGCUAGAUUUUGUGCAACCUUUCCUGGCUAGUUAUGUCGAUAAAUCUCUCAUAGGGGCAGUCUAGUCCCUCAAUUCUGUCCAUUAGAUAACAUGCAACAUGAGAAGUAUCGAUUAAAAAUCUCAACUCAUACUAAAAAGUGUGUGUAAAGUGGAAAUCCAAUAUUCAUACCAGAUUGGAGAUUGUUGAAUUCUACCCCCCCCCCUCCCACCACUAUAGUGCACGUGUAGGUGCUAUUGCAGUGUGGUGCACCAUAGCGGUUCCGCAUGAGCUAUAGUAGGGGGGGAUGGGGGGGCAUAGCGACAACCUAUCAGCUAUAGCGGCCUCCCACCAUAGCGCGAUGCAAGGGCGCCAUAGCGGCCUUCAUCAUCCCAAAAUGUGAAGAGGCGCAUCAAUGACACCUCUUAGCCCAAAAAUCCCAUUUUUCUUUAAAAAAUUCUACAUAUCAAUGUUCCUAAAGUACCCCCACUAUCUAACUAUGCAACAAUCUAGGCAUUUCAACUCCUAAAUCAUGACCGAAUCUUAGUUUUCUACCAAGAAAAGCCCUCCUACUUUCCCACCAUUUUGGAACAGAUCUCGCCCCUAUUUCUCAUGAUCCUUACGCCCAGAACACUCUAGUGGCAUUGUAAAUGUAAGUGUUAACCCCAUAUUUCAACAAUUUCAAUGAUUAAAUACAAUAUUUUUAACUUUUUAGUAACAACCCAAACUCUAUUCUAGUAUAUCAUUUCCUUUCAUGCAAUCACCCUUAUGCAUAAAACAAAGUAAGUAGAGUGCAUGAUAAUUACCUUAGUUUCGACGUUCUGAUUGGAGUUAUCCAAAAGUGUUUGGGGAGAAUUUCAAAGAGUUGAAAAGGAGAGAAAUGGGCAUAAAAACCCAUUCCCCUCCCUCUUAUUUAUGUUUUUGAUUUUGACUAGUUGCUAUAGCGAGAUCUAUCUUAGUGGAUGGGAAGAAAACAUUGUUGUGGCUUUAUGCGUUUGAAUAUUUUUCCCGAUAGUCUUGGGUACGCAGGGACGUGGUAGCAUUGUAAUAAUUGUUUUGAGAGGAGUAUUAUAUUAACAUCAUCCAAACCACACAGUAAACUUGAUUAACUAGUCGAUCUUCCUUCCAUAUAGAUGGUCAUUCGGAGAUGAAUGAUAGAUAAAUUGGUAUCUAUUGGAAUGACUCAAUCUGUCAUUACUUAAAGGCCUUAUGUGUAAAAUCAUAAAUUCUAGAAAUAGGGUGCCAAAUUUAAAAUCUUGAGCACACAAUGAAAUUAUCUUAUUUUAAAAUUGAUUGGGCUAAUGUCAGCCCACUAUAAUGGGAAGCCUCCCGCUAUGGUGGCACCGCUAUAGCCCUUGCAUGACCUCUAUAGCAGGUUGAUGGAAAAUCACACCCUAGUUAAUGAAACUUCUUUUAUUUUCCUUUCACUUUUUAAAGGAGGAAAUAGACUAGGGCUGCUCCAAAAAACCCUCUGAAGGCUCCCAAGGCAUGGGAGCAAGGGAUGGAAGAUAUUAAAGCAUAAGGGAGGUGAAAACCCAAUAAAUUUUUGUCCGCAUUCAUCAUGGUUUGCUCUCACGGAGCAAUAAGCUCAUAGUCAAGGUUCAACAACAGAUGCUUGUAACCUAGGUAGGCUAUAUUUUUUCUUAAAUUGAGUAUUUAGACCCUUAUUUACUUACAUCAUAUCUUGUGCAUUGUCGUAGUUUCAAUACAUAUGCCUUCAGGCACAAAGUUGGGCGAUUAAGCUCGUCGCUAAGGUGCCUAGGCUGAUAGUGGUUGUUAGUUAUUUUAGGUUGUUCUAUGGUGUGGUUGUGUUGUCUUGGGAAGGGAAGUUGUGGGAGAAUCUAGGAUGAUCAAGGAUUGUCCAAAAGGUUACCUUUCAGUAGGUGUUGGUUAUGAAUUUUCCAAGUUAUGUAUGUAUGCAUGUCUACUUAUUUAUAGUAUCACUUGUGUAAUGUAUGUUAAGAAAAACAUAAAAAAGAAUGUGAAAUGACAGUGUUGAUAAUCUCAUGCACAAAACCUAUUUACAUUACUUGUGGUUUCAAGUGUUAUUAUUUAUUAUGAUUGUGAUUGUGCAUGUUGUUUGUGAUUGUUGGUUGGAUCAGGUACCACACCUGUACAAGAAUACUAACGGCUGGCUGGUACCACACCCGGUAUGAAUACUAACACUGGUUGGAUGGGGUACCACGCCUGUACACUAACAUUUUGUGUGUGAAUUUCAUGAGAGGACCAAAAAUUUAUGUGUUGGUUCCAUGAGUGAACCGGGUUUACCUUUUUCAUAAUAUGAUCAAUGCAUAUUGGUCCAUGAGUGGUCGGUAUUUGUGUUUAAAUGUUGGGAUGGUUCUUUUAUAGACCGUGAUUGCAUGUUAAAUACUGUAGAUGGUGUCUUAGGGAUCCUUCAGUGGUCCAGGUUACUUGAAAGGUGAGUUGGACUUAGGUAUGAGUUUGUAUGUGAUCAUGUGGGACAUUUUUAUCUAGGUGAGGAUUGGGAGUUUGGGCUAUGUUAUACUUGUGAUUCUAAUUGUAGGUUAUUUCUUUUACUAAGUUGUGGUUACUAGGUCAGGUUGAUGGCCGGGGUCUGGUGUAUAGUUUAAAUGUUGGGAUUGGUUAUGGUUGUUCUGUGUUUAGGACAUAUCUAAUAAGGGGGAUUGGGUCAAGGACCAGAGUGGUGGCAUGAGAACAUGAGGGGGAUUAGUAGGUUGGUUAACAGAGUUGGAAGUGGUUAGGGUGUUCCUUACAAAAGGACUUGUUUUAAAUCAAGUUAAGGGUAUUUUCAUAUUUAAACAGGAUGUUAGAUUAUGUUUUAUGAAUUUCCGCACUGCCCUUUUUAAAAUUGGAUGAUAAGGGUUCUCCUAUCUAGGUGUUAGAGUAGGUGCUUACACGACCCGAUUGGUUGGAUCAUGACACAAAUAUGGCAAAUGAUAUUAUUUUUCUUCUAAAAGAGCUAACACUACAUAUCUGAUUCUAUUAAUUGAGUUCUUUUUUAUCAAUAGUAUUUUCCCUCUUCUCAAUUGAAUUAUCUAUAUACUCCUUGAUAUUUAAUCUGUCAAACCAUAUUUCUUCUGAACUAUUAUUCUUGUAUUCCUCUUGCAAUUGAUUUUGUUUCUAUUGAAUCUUUUUGUAAAGAUAGUUUCUAAUCUCCAUCUUCAUCUAUGCAUAGAUUGUUUGUAUGAAAUGAAUACUUGUUAAGCCCUAGUUUCUCAUAUGCCAUCAAUUUUAACGAUUAACAGUGUUUUAUGUUUCCUUCUAAGGUUACUUUAUGAGUAAUGAAUUUUUCAUAAAGGUGUGCAUGGAUCGUUUGAAUAAUAUUUUUAAAAAGGGUCAUAAGAUUUUUUUUAUUUUUUUAUAGAAGUUAUCUAUCAAAAAAAUAAAACAAAAAGGAUUGUCUUGAUGGAUUUUAUUGUGGCUAAAUAUCACUAUUUGAAGGAAGCAUAUCACUACUUAAGCACUAUUAAUUGUUGUAAUUGAUGUCAUAUGAUAAACGACAAGUUAUCAUUUCAUAUAAACAAGUCGUGGAUAUAUGAAGAUGAAGAUUAGAAUAUCUUUAUUCGAGAGAUAAAAAAGAAAUAAAAUAUAUUUUUAAAAAAUAAAUCAAGAACGAUAGUUGAGAAGUAAUGUGAUUUGAGGGAUGAAAUAUCAAGGAGUUUAUAAAGAAAAUUAAAUUGAGAAGAGAGAAAAUAUUUUUGAAGAUGAUAAAUAUUCAAUUAAUAUGAUCAGUUAUGUAGUUUUAACUUGUGUAGAAGGAAAAUAAUAUUUGAACAUUUAAUCAAUAUUUAAUUAUUAUUUGUGGAGUUUUUCUAAUAUAUUAUAUUUCAAUAAAAAAAUUGUAUUUUGAGCAUUGCUAAUUGGUCAACAUACCAUAAUAGUUUGAUGUGUUAUGAACCCUAACGUGUGUAUUUUUCUUGACCAAUUCACUUUAUCCACAAUAAAAAUAAUUAUAAGAAUCUCAUAUUAGCUACAUUUUAUAAACAAUAAGUAAAUAUUGACCAAUUAUCUAAAUAUGUCCAAUGAUAUUAUAUUGUUUUUCUUCUUAAACAGCUAAAACUAUGUGUCGGGAAAGGAUGAGGUAUUUUAUUAAGAUUUGAAUGAUGUCUAUUUGUAUCUAAGACAUUAAGAAAUCCAUAAGGACUUUCGGAAUCAAAUUCGGGUAAGUAGAACUCCUGAAAUUGAACUUGACGUGAAAAGUAUGUGUCGGGACGUCAAGAAAAGGAGUUGUGUUAUAAAAAGGGCAUGUUUUCGAAUGUUGAGCAGCAGAUCAUCCAUCUAUCUCUCUAUCGUUGAUAUCCUCCCACUAUAGAUACACACAUAUCGCCAUAGCGACGUACGUUGUCGCUAUGGCGACGACAUCGUUAUAGCAAGACCGGUGUCUCUAUAGCAAGGGAAUCAAGAUUUUAUCCAGAAAACUGCCCAUGCCCCUGUUUUCUGCAAGUUGAGUUCUUGAAACAGAGAAGGACGAUUUUGGGCAGCCUACAUCAGUUUUCCUACGAAAAUCACCGGUAAAGGUAAGAAUUUGACUCCCUGGUCUUGUUAAUUGUUAAUUAAGCCUUAGAAACUUGGUGGUUAACCUUGGGGAAGGGGGAACUUUUGGCAUGAUUUCAUGGUGGGAAUGAGCCCUAAGUGGGAAAAGAUGAUCACAUUUUUUCUGGGAAUUUGUUAGUAAUCUAGGUAAAUUAUUAAGCCAUUUGUGAUUGAUUGAAUAUUUUAUUGUUUGUUCUAGACCAAGAACAAUUCAAGGCACUUCCCAAGGGGAAAGCUCAGACUAUUUAGAGUUUUCAAUGAGCUUGAUUUGAGAUAGGUGAUGGUUGUAUGUUUCUAGUUAUGUGUGUACACAUGUCUACUGCUUUGUAGUGUCAUUUGUGUAAUUCAUGAUAGAGGAUACAUCUGAAAUGAACUGGUGAUUAUAACUUGUGGGUUCAAGUGAUUUUGUUGUAGUUAUAGGUGAAUAUUCAUGAUUGUUGUACUUUAUGAUUGUGCAUGAUUGGUGUGCUUGUUGGUUGGAUCGGGUAUCAUUUCGGUACAUGAUAUUGUUGAUUGACUCGGGUACAACAUUUGUAUGAAAUAAUAUUGGUUGACUUGGAUGCCACACCUGUUAUGAUAUUAUAGUUCUGUUUGGGUCCUGUGAGAUGAUCAAUAUUUGCAUUAUGAUCAUAUGGGACAUGUUUAUGCAUUGGUUGGUUUCUGUUUGUAAUUUUAUGUUAUGUGAUUGAUAAUCCUUAUUGGCGUGAGGGUGAAAGAACCCAUAACUAUAAAAGCUUACAUACCUUGUUAGGAUCAAAUCCUUGGUGAAAUCCCUCGAAGAUCGCAAGAAAAUCUUGAAUGCUUGAAGCUUUUCUCCAUUUUCUCCUCUUUGAACUUUGCCCUAACUUUCCAAACGUUUGAGACUUUAGCGUAAAUUGAUUUUAAUCAGCUUUGACCACUAAUUGGGUAAAAAACUUGCUUAAGGCUAAUGGGGUAAGGAAAAGACCAAAAUACCCCUCCUUAAUUCGGAUGAACUUUCUUUAAUCGGAUAGGCUGAACUCAAACGGGCAUAUCUACCUCAUCCGAACUCGGAAUUUAACAAACUUUGUAGCGUUGGAAAGAGGACUCAAAGAUCUUUCAUUUGAUAUCUCAUGGGCCACCUAACUCACCCUGUACUGAAAGUUAUGGUCGUCUGAAAUUAACCCAAAACUCACAUGUGAAGACUAACUUCCACAAAUUCUUAAUUUAGCUCUUUCCAAUUUAGUUUUUCUAAAAUUAGAUCUUUCUAAGACCGAGAUGUUACAGUCGCGAUAAAUACAUACCAAAGAAAUAAAAAAUUAUUCAAAGAAAAACUCAAAAAUGAUAGUAAAAAGCAAUGUGAUAUGAGGGAUAAAAUAUCAAGGAGUGUAUAUAGAUAUUGAGAGAAGUAUUGCAAAAAACCCUGGACUUGUCGCGUAUUAUUUGUUUUAUCCCCGAACUAUUUUUAGCCUUAAAAAUAUCCAUAUACUUAACUAAAUGAACUUAAAUACACCCUCGAUGUGCCACAUGGUGUAGCAAGUGAGUUUAAACUCUAGUAGGAGCAUGCGAUUCUUAAUAAAAAUUCGAGAGAAGUAUUGAAAACACCCCUGAACUUGACAAGAAUUAUUAGUUUCGUCCUAGAACUAUUGAUAGUAUUAACAACACCCCUCUGCUUAACUAACUGAACUUAAAUAAACCCCCGUUCUUGCAAGAUGGGUAAAUAAUAACUCCUCCCAUUACAGGCUAUUCCUAUAAUUUUUUCACCCAAAAUAAUAUGUCUGUACUAAGACCCAAAAUUUUUAAGAAGAUAAUCUUAUAAUCGUAGUUCUUAUAAUAAAUAUUAAUUAUUAUUAUUAAUAGAAAUAGUUGGAGCAGGUGUAAGUAAGAUUUUUUUAAAUAAAUUAAAGAAUGUAAAAAUGAUGAAUUAAUUCUUGGCCCCUUGAGACUGAAAACGGUAACAAUACUCCUUCAAUUACUUUUUACUUAAUUAAAUGGUGAGGCCCAUAAGCUGUAUUAUUGAAAUCAAAAUGAAGUACAGGCCCAAUCCAACAACAGAUAGGGCUAAAGAAAAACAAUACAAAAGUAGCUAAAAAGAUAGCAAAACCUAAAAAGGCAGUCAAAGGGGAGAGGAAAAGAUAUCAGCUUCUCAGAGUUUUCAUAUUGAUUUCGCCGCCGUGGCUUGAACUCUGAUUGGUCGCCCACCAUAAUUGUGAAACAUCAGCUUCCCCUAUCUCAUAUUGAAAUAAGAUCCCUUUAAUGAAGCUCCACUUCAUAUAAACUUCAAGAUCACGUCGAUUGCGACAUUAUGUUGGCUUCUUCUUGAAUCAAUUUGAAAAGUUGUGAGAUGCUAGAAAGAAAAGCUACUAAUGAGGUAGGUUUCCUUUCUUCAUCCAAACUUCUAUUAACUCCAAGUAAUAUAUUAUUAGAAACAAAUAUAUUCUAAGCAUCUUACCCGUAGACUAGUAGUCAAAAGAAAACUCAAUCUUAUCAUGUUGUUAUGUUAUUCUUCUAAGCAUUAUAUGUGAAUUAUAAAUCAUUUCCUCUAGUCUAUUAUUUAAUGGGUUAAAUUCCAUAAUCUCCAUUCAAAUUUUAGACCUUUGAGUUGAAAAAUUACUCAAUUUUGCAUAUUUGAUUUAUGGAACUGCACAAAUCUUUUAGAGAUCCUGUGAGUACCAUCAUACCAGAUAGGGGAGUCAUAGGUCUAUACACUUUGUUACUUAUACUUACUGUUGGUUCUACUGAAUACUAUGUAUUCAUAUGCAUUGCCUAUCACCAGUAUACUGGUUUGCUGAUUUCACCCUCCGAUUUUAUGGGGGCAAUUUGGUUAUGUUUGUUGUUUGUACCUACCGAGCUUAUGUGGGUUGGGUUAGAUUAUUGUUUGAUUAUAUUCUCUUCUAUGUUGUUGAUCUGAUAACUAAUAGGUUGUGACUUUCGAUUUGUGGUUGUUAGUCCUCUUGACCAUGGGUAGUUGGCUCUUGUAUAUUAGUUUCUUGUGAGUAGGUUGUUAGUUUGUGUUUCGGCUACGUUCUUGAAUUAGUUCCUUAUUUCUUGUACCCUACUUCUGUUCGUUAUUUCUUGUCUAUCAUAUUAUCUCAUGUUUAGUUAUUUGUGCUAUGCUUUCCUUAUUACUUGUUGUUUAUACUUGCUUUAUCUUUGGAGCUCAAUCUGCUGAUGCCUAGUGAGUAUCGUUUUUGGUACUCAUACUACACUUCUGCUCCCCGCACAACAUAGUUUGAAUUUUUGCCGUUGAUUUGGAGUCAUGUAGAGCAUCUUGGAGUUUGGAGACUAAGGUGAGCUCCUGGCGUUUGGAGUUACCAAUUUCCUUAUGUUUUGGUUAAACUUAGUCUUUAUACUUUUUCAGAGAUAGCCCAGACUAAUUUUGUAUUUGUAAGAAGUUUGUAAUCUUAUUUUGAUUAGAUGCUCGAUUAAUGAUUGAUGUCAAGUCUUGGGGAUGGUUUCUGGUAUUGCAUUACGUUGAUUACCCUUUCUUCGCUUUAUUUCAAGCUUCAUGUGUAUUAUUGUUCACUUCUGCUUGAUAGCCCAUCGCUUAUGGCUCUGGGUGAUGGGUUAGGCUUACCUAGUGGUGGGGUGUAUUAGGUGCCAUCAUGAUCUAAAAAAUUGGGCAGUAACAAGGUGGUAUCAAAGCCAGGUUGGCCGACAUCGUUGGUAUGAGGAAAAUGCCUACUAGAGUCCUACAUAUCGGUGUGGAGACAUUUGUAUCCUAUCUUUGGGAGACUAUAGGACAUUCUUAGGAUAUUCUAUUCUUGAUUCCUUAUCGUGCUUUCACUUUGAUUAACCUUUAAAACCACUUCUUUGGAAUCUACUCUCUCUUAGAUGGAUAGCACGAUGUUUUCGAUGGAUCUGGAUAGAGCAUCAGCAUAGCCUAUAAGAGUUUCAGCAUGCAGUGACCUUGAGGUUAGUGUCAUGACCCAGGGGUACCCCCCUAGAUGUAACACGGCGUACUCAACCCCGAAGGGGUUUCAUACAAGCCCUUAGCAUAUCAUAAGAUUAAAGAAAUGACGCGGAAUUUAAAACUUUUCUUUACAAUCGAAGUCUUUCAUAAAAGCAAAUGGAAGUCUAGACAUUAUCUCAAUAAGCCAUCUAAUACAAUCGAGUAUCAAAUAGGGUCACAACCCUUAACAACAAUAGUCUCAAAAGAGAAUGUAAGAAAGAAAUUAGAAAUGAACAACUUCCGUCCUCGAACCAUGAGGACUCACCAAAAGCGUGGAGAAUAGUCGAUCCAAGCUUUGAUCAAGAAGGAAGCACACCUCAACAACCGGGCCCUACACUUAUAGAAAAAUGUAGAAAAUAUGGGUUAGUAAAAAAAUGCACUAAAUAUGAUAGUCAUGCAUAAAAACUUUUAAAACAUGCUAAAAGAGACAUUUUAGUUGAAACCAUGCUAUAUGCCAAUUUUGAACAUCAUCUUUGAAAUAGUUGGAGAACGUAACUUAUAAGACAACUCAUGUAUAGUUCAUCAUAGCAUAAAGGAUAUCAACAUAAUCACAAGCAUAGCCUCCAACAUAGACAUAAUGCAAACAUCAAUCAUCAUAAGACAUAGUUGAAUACCAAGAUCAUCAUCAUCAUAAUAGGACCAUCACAUAAGUAACCCUAAGUUAUACUUGGGCAAUGCAUAGAUAAGAUCCCAUAAUCCCAUCUACACUAAGUACCACUUUUAGGCCACCAUGCUCAUGCUUGUCAUGCUUUGAUCUCAUACAUAGUUAAUACUUAUAAAAAAGGAAAACAUUCAUGUUCAUUAACUUAUAACAAGGAAAGUCACUCUUAGCAAUAAUCCAUAUAAAACAUGCAUUAACUCAUAUAUCAUCAUAGCAUAAGAGAAACAUACCAUGACCACUCUCAAAGCAUACUUGUGCAAUGUAUGAAUGAAGUCACAUACCCCCACUCACACUAAGUAGAUACUCUUGAGGAACCAUAGUACAUAACUCAUGUUCUUGUUCAUGGAGGGAAAUAGCCUUAACCGACAUACACCAUGUGAGCUACAUGGAAUCCGGUGUACUGCCCUACACCGAAAGGGGGUGUCCUUCUUGCCUAAGGUAGAACUGAAGUUUAUUAGCUUAGGUGGAUCCACUAGCUAAAGACCUAUGUGGGCACAUAGUUAUGGGAUAUGAAGAUUGUUACUAGAAACCCAGACUUCUAAGGUAGAAGGUUUCAAUCUCAUGAGAUAACUAUUUUGGGAACACGGACUGUUGUAGUUAAAGGAACCCAUUGGAAAGCCGGACUGUUGGCAUAAAAGCUUCCAUCUCAUAUUCAUAUCUACUUGGUGCUAGGAAUAUUUCCCAUUAAGUUCAUUUUAAGUCUUGACUUAAGUUCACGUUUAUGGAAGAAUGUCUUAACACUCAAUCCAAUACAAUAUCAUGGUAUAGCUCAUAGAUUCAAGGGAUGAGAAUAGCCUUUCAACCUUAGAAUCAUUAUUAUGUGAGGAAACCUUUCACAUCAUGUUCAUGUGUUUUCAUGAGAAUAGCCUUUCAAUCAACACAACAAGAUCAGCAUAGUCAUAGACAAUUCAUACAUAGUCAUGUACUCUUGAGGAACCAUAGUACAUAACUCAUGUUCUUGUUCAUGGAGGGAAAUAGCCUUAACCGACAUACACCAUGUGAGCUACAUGGAAUCCGGUGUACUGCCCUACACCGAAAGGGGGUGUCCUUCUUGCCUAAGGUAGAACUGAAGUUUAUUAGCUUAGGUGGAUCCACUAGCUAAAGACCUAUGUGGGCACAUAGUUAUGGGAUAUGAAGAUUGUUACUAGAAACCCAGACUUCUAAGGUAGAAGGUUUCAAUCUCAUGAGAUAACUAUUUUGGGAACACGGACUGUUGUAGUUAAAGGAACCCAUUGGAAAGCCGGACUGUUGGCAUAAAAGCUUCCAUCUCAUAUUCAUAUCUACUUGGUGCUAGGAAUAUUUCCCAUUAAGUUCAUUUUAAGUCUUGACUUAAGUUCACGUUUAUGGAAGAAUGUCUUAACACUCAAUCCAAUACAAUAUCAUGGUAUAGCUCAUAGAUUCAAGGGAUGAGAAUAGCCUUUCAACCUUAGAAUCAUUAUUAUGUGAGGAAACCUUUCACAUCAUGUUCAUGUGUUUUCAUGAGAAUAGCCUUUCAAUCAACACAACAAGAUUAUCAUAGUCAUAGUCAUUUCAUACAUAGUCAUGUGUAAGGGUGCAUAUGAGAAUAGCCUUUCAACAACACCUUAGUUACAUCAAAGUCAUGUUCAUGCAUGGAGUGUGUGAGAUUGUCCUUCCAAUGACACAACAACAAUAAUAUCAUCAUGGACCCUUCACUCUUAAAGUGUCCAUAAAACAUGUACAUAGUAUCACAAUCAUGCAUAAUUCUCAUAUCUUGCAUUCAAGGAUCAUAGAUCACAUCAAAUCAACACAUCUAGCAUUCGUUAUAUUAGACAUGGAUACAAUCAUAAGUCAAGUAGUUCAAUGGCUACAUGCACAAUCUCAUGUACUCAUAAUAUAGGUCAUGUGGGUAAAGUCCUUCCAUAAUAAUGCCAUAUACAAUUCAACAUACAUAGUAGCUUCCCUCUUAAAGCCUUAACAUCCCUAGCUCAUUCAUAUUAGCUUUUACCCUUAAAGCCCUAGAAAUCAUUUUCAUACUACAAGUCUUACUCUCAAGCAAUACCUCACAUGGUCAAUCAUGUAUACCUAGUUCUCAAGGUAAUCUAACCACAUGCUUCAUUCUUAACCAAUUAUAGCCAUAUAUUAUCAUGUAAACCAAAUCUCAAUACUACUCAACCAUGAUCCAUCAUAUAAGCCCUAAUCUAAUCUACUACUAGAAAACAGUAAGUAACUUGGAUAUUUUACAUGGGAAUUAUUUCUGCAGAAAAUUCCUACAAAUUUUCAUGCGGAUUCCUAAAUUCUAAAAAAAAUUACCUAUAUUUUCCCAGAAAAAUUGGUAGGUAAAUUUGGCGCCAUUUUUGCAAAAUUAUUACCUUGGAAAUUAUUUGGGAAAACUAUUUGCAAGUAUCAUUUUCAUAAAUAAAUUCGCAAGUAAUGAAAAAGAAUAUUUUUUUAAUCUAUUUAGUAUGAAAAUAGCUAGAUAAACUUAUUUUCAAAUUUAGCAAGGAAUAAUUACUUGAAAAUUCAUCUAGAAAUAAUUUUAUAUGUGAUAUUACCUAGGGAUUCAUGUUCUACAAAUUUUGUAGGGGAUUUAUUUCUUGAGGAUUUACUUGGUAAUUUUCCUACUUGAAGAAUUACUUGGAGAUUUUAUUAGUGUGAAUUGGGUUAGACAUUUUUAGAGGAAUUUACUUGGAAAUAUGCAUACUUGAAUUAUUAUUUUUGAUAUAAUUUAACUAGAAGGUUUUUUUUAAAAAAAUUUAAGGAUUAUUUUUAUUUGGAGUACUCUUCUCAAAAUAUUUUCUCAAAAAUAAAUUUAACAAAAUAAAAAAAUUAUAAUAAUAUAAAAAAUGAUAAUGACAUUAAAAUGAAUUUUAUUGUUAAAUAUUUACUCUACUUUUAGGUGAAAAAUAUAUGGCUAGUUAUUUAUCCAAUAGAAAAAUAACUAUCAUAGAUGCAAUGAAUUUUGAUUUAAUAUUAUUUUAUAUUAAAUAGUGUAUUAUUGAAUAAGUCAAGCACUAUUUUAAGUAGAAAAAAGUCGAUUAUAUACAUUACUAAUGUGAAGUUUGAGUACCUCGAUCAUUGAUAUACUUUAUUAAAUGACAAAUAAAUAAAUUUUACUUGUAUAUCCAAUUGAUAUAUCUUUUUUUGCAAGCAUUAAAUGAUAUAAUUCAUCUAUAGUAAGUUAUUAAAUGAUAUUUAUUUGUAAAUAUAUAAUUAAGUAUGUUAAAAUUUAAUAAUUAAAAGAUAAAUUAAAAUAAUAAUGUCACAAAUACUAAAUAAGAUAUACUAUCAAUUAUCGAUAAUAACUUUUGCGCACUUUAAAGUUAUAUAAUUUAUUUGUAUUUUCAAUUUUUUAUUUAUAAGAUUUUUGUACGUAUAAUUUAAAUUUUGUUAUCUCAUAGGAAGUGUUAGCACAAACUUUUCAUGAAAGGUUAAGUGGGAAUAAUUUAAUUUAAAUAUAUAAAUAGUUGUUAUGUUUCACUUUUUAAGAAUCAAAUUAUAUGAACAUUAACCUUAGUCAACAUUUUAGGAUAUAUUUUGUUACCAUAUUUAUAUGACAUGAAGUUGUAAUAUUUUUUUUUGUGUAAUUAUGAAUUUUUAAAUUGUAUUUUAAAUAUUUAAUUAAUUUCAAUAAAUUUAGUUUUGAAAAUUAAUCAUUGAAAAAGCACACCAAAAAUUGGUAGUGUCAAAGGUACUUUUGUACCACAUCGGUGGAAAAUACCAUAUAUUUGGCAUUUAUAAUGUUUUGAUUAAGAAAACUGAUAGAUUGAAAUUUGAGGAAAUAUGUAAGGUUGCGCAUCGGUCGGUUCAGUUUUAUGUGUUAUUGGUUUGAUUUAUCGGUUUUCAAUUUGUAAAUACGUCAAAUCGAUAACCAAACCAAUAACAUAUUUCUUAUUGGUUUAUGAUACUUAACGGUUCGGUUUUCGGUUCAAUCAAUAAGAAAUAACUCAUAUAUAUAUAUUGAUAUAUACACAAUAAUAAAAUUUUCAUAUUAAACCAUAUGAUUUUUCCAGCAUUUGGCAUGAAAGUAAUAAUCAUAAAAGUAACAAUCAUUUUUCUUGCACUUUAGACACUAGAGUCUAGACACAUUCAAAGGAAAAAGUGUGAAAGUACAAUCAUUUUUCGGCAAGUCUAGGCAAUUGGCACAUUCAAGUUAGAAGUGUGCUUGCAAUUACAAGAUAAACUGAGAUUAAAGUAAUAGGAUUUGUAAAAUGUUAUAUAAUUUGGGUUUACUAGUCUAGGGAUAAAAUAGUAAAUUUAGUAGAGGCAAAGAGGUAAUAGGUUUUAAGUAAUACCGAGAUUAAAGUAAUAGGGUUUGUAAAAUGUUAUAUAAUUAGGAUUUAUUGGUCUAGGGAUAAAAUAGUAAAUUUAGUAUAGUCUUAUUGGGUUAUCGGUUUAACCAUUAACAAAAAUCAUAAAACUGGAAACCGAAUCGAUAACCCAAUAAUUUUUUUUGCAAAACCGUUUAAAACCCACUAGCCCAAUAACCCAAUAUCAAUAAAUCAAUAGUAUUUUUUUCGAUUCGAUUUAUUGGUUAAAUCGGUUUUUCACACCCCUAGAAAUAUGUACAAGGUGGUGGGCGUUGGGUUGUGGGCUGGGAUUAAUUAAGUUGUGUAGUUAUGUCAUGUGUGUAAUAUAAUGGAUGGGCAGUGGAGUUCAAGGCUAGAUAUAAAAAAUACGUGUGAAUGUGGUUGAGAAUUAAUGAACAAAAUAAAAUUAAUAAAUAAAUAGAAGGUAAUAAUAAUUAAUAUUGUUUAUAAAAAAUUAAGAAAAACUCUUUUUUGUUAUUUUUUACCAAAAAUAUUCGAAAUAUUUUUAAUAUUAUUUUCAAGAAAAUCCCCAAGUAAUUUACCUGCGAAAUUUAAUUUCGUAGGUAAAUUAUUUGCGGAUUUUAAAUCCGCUGAAAAGAAUUACCUAGGAAGGUUUUACCAUCGGAUUUUUUUGAUAGGAAGUUUCCUGCGAAUUUUCGUAUAUAAUCCCCAUGAAAAUUCUCAUGUAAUUGACACUUUUCUUGUAGUGAUCAAUUCAUAUCUACAAGCUUUACUUUUAAGCAAUUCAUAUCUAGGUGUUCUAAUCUAAGGCAAUUCAUAAAGGAGUUCAUCAAUCUUAGAAGGUCACAUCUAAGCCCUCAAUUUCCUCUUUCAUGGCAUAACACUAGACUAUUUCAAUUUCACCCUAGAAUCUUAGGUUAAUCAAGACUACAUGUAUAAUCAUACUAAAAUCAUGCAAUUUCAUCAUAAUCAACCCACAUCCACUCAAUUGGAUCAACUACUACAUACAUAAUUCUAUCACAUUCUACUAGUAUCAACCAACACCCAUACUUGAGAUCCAAUUUGGGGAAAAUACGAGAAUUCAUGGAUUCUUGGGUAAUUCAUCAAUUUGAUCAUAAUAUAAAGCAAUUAAAUCAUUUAAAUCGUUUUUGAAAAGGAAUCCAUGACUUAGAAUAAAAUCCUAACUUUUGGGAACUUGAAAGCUUUGAAAUCUAGUUUUGGAGGGGCUCUAUGGGUGAAGGCUACCCAUAGAUGAAAAACUACCAUACCUUAUUGAAGAAUCUCCACGAAAUUGAGUGGAAAAGACAGUCCCCUUCAACCCUAGACUUCACCUUCUUCUUCUAUGGAGUUUUACAGAGAGAAUUAUUGUGUAGAAGAACUUUGGGAUCUUUUGGGGUUUUGGAAUUAAUGACUUAGUUGGGGUGGUUAAUGAGUUAAAAUAUUAUAUAUAGGUGUAUAAAGUCCAUAUAAAACGACCCCCACUUAAAAUCAACUAAAAAGGAAUUUACUAAAAUAUCCCUCACUAGGCAGCCUACUCCCAAGCACCACGACUGGACUUCACGAGUCGUGGUCAAGACCACUGGUCGUGGUCCUGCCCGUGGUCCUGGCCAUGGUCCUUGGGCAGUGGCUUGGCUAGUGAGUCUUGGCCUCUACAAUCCUAAGGCAAGACCACGAGCCUUCUCACAACCGUAGUCAAGACCACUGGCCGUGAAGUGGCUCAUGGUCCUUAGGCAGUGGCUUGGCUCCAAGGACCUACCUCCCACGAGCCGUGGUAAAGACCACUGGUCGUGGUGAUGGUCGUGAACUUGGGGCAGUGCCUUGCCAAAGUUGGGGCAUCCUUGGCCUUUGGCUUAGGCUAUACCCAUUUGCCUUGGCAGUUGCCCUUGUUACCCUCAAUUAAACCCUAGAUGGCCUUCUAAACUAUGGGGUAUGACAAGUGCCUUGACGUUUAACCCCUAAACCCCUCAUUCUAAGUACAGGAAGUCUUGUCUACGACUCUAACCCUCAUAUCAAACUCUAGAACCCUAACUUAAGGCUCUAGUUUAGUCUACUAGUUUCCGGAGUGUUACAAUCAGAGGCAUUUCUCAGCAUUAAGAAAGUUUGGGGGCAGCCCAGGCUUUAACACAGUCAAUGACUACCUGGGUUCCUCGAGAUUCCGUGUUAGAAGGUUCGAGAUUUUUCAAGAGUUCACCAUAGACAUAUGUGGUUCUUGGUCCAACAAGUGCUUCUCAAGAAAGAGUUGGGUUGAUUGUCCCCAGCAGGGUUCAUCGUCUGUUUCUGAGUACGUAAUGGGAUUUUUGGAGUGGGCUGGGCUUAGUACCAGAUCAUUUCCUUCGUACGGGCCUAGUACAAUUGGUUGGGGGUGGUUUUGAGCUUGACAGAGGUACGUAGGGCCGAUCGCUCUGUUCUUCACAUCGGGCUUCAGACUAUAGAGGUUAUUAUGAUUGUAGAGAGUUUGCUAACUGGUCCAGGGAGUGCCCCAUGUGGGAGUUGAACUCCAAGGCAAUGUCGGCAUCUAGUACCCCCAAGAUAGGGUGGUUGAACCUUAUUGUACUUGUAGGGAGCUUGUCCAUUACUCUAAAGCGUGUCCCCUGCAUGGACCAUGAUGAAAGGUAUGCAUGUAGGUCAGUCUCGCGGAUUGAUGGCACCUUCGGUCAAAUAUGGUACCUUUAGUGUUCUUGGUACUACUUAAGGUGUUUCAAGUUGAGGUCAAGCGCGAUCCGUUUUAUGCUUAUGUAGGCUGGCCAGAGGACAAGGCUCUAGGUGUAUUUUUCCUUUGUUCUUAUCACCUGUGAUCUAAUUUUUUCAUGCCCACUCAUGUUUAUUUGAUUUGUUAUAUACCACUAUCUUGUUAUAACGACUUGAUUUGAGAAAUGUUUAUGUGAUUUACCUUCUGUAUUUGAUUUCUUUUAGUAGUGGAUCAACUAGGCGGUGUUCCUUUGAUUGGGAGUAGUUGUCGAGUAAAUCCCCAUGAUUUUUCCUUGGUGAAUUUUGUCGUGUGUUCUCGCUGUAAUAUCGAUCCUCGUUAGAUAGGUGGCUCAGCAUUACGCAGUUUGAGGUUUAUGUAUUGUUGGGCCUAGUCAGCUUAGAAGGUUGCCUUAGUUGUAUGUCAUUCUUUUGGAGUAAUAGUUGGGAUAUUGCUAGUUGUAAGAGGGGUAGUUUGGCCUUUUAUAGCUCUGUAGUAGUCUUGGUUGGCCACUUUCUUCUUUUUCCUUAGUCUUAUUAUCGGUUGUGAAGUUGUGUUUUUUCUCAUUUGAUCUUUUUGGACUCGUCUUAUUCUGGUGAUCUUGGAGUUUGGUUAUGGCUAACCGGAAUUAGAAGGUACCAUUUCUUAUUGUGCCUUGUUGCUUCUUUCAUUAUUUCUCAGUAAUUGUUCUGAUAGCCCUCGAGGUUUGUUGGUGAUUUGGAGUUGGAGUGGUAUUGUUCAUCGGUGACUUCAGACUUUAGCUUUUGUUGGGGAAUGGUACUUUGCUUAGAAGAUUUAUCUGAAGGAUGUGAUCAAAGUAAUUCGUGGAAUCCAUGAUUCGUGUUCAAGGUGCGGGAUUUGGUUUAAUAUUGCUUGGUAAUUUUCGUGGUUCAUGAUGGGAGUUGGUCCCCUUGUGCCACCACUAACUAGUUAACUAUGUUGAUAUGUUGCCUACCAACUUGGUUUCCCUUAGGCUGGGGUGGUUGGUUUAGAUUUCCAGUGACAAAGUAGCCUGUGGGCUCAAAGGGUCAGUUUUUCAGAAGCUCUUUUUGAAGACAGGGCUUAGCUUUAGAAAGUUGUGUUCCAGUUGAGAUUGUUAGUUUUUGAGAGUUAGGAGUGGAUUUUGGGCUCUUUUGUGGGGUGAAUUCCUUUUAUUGGUGGUAGUCGUUCCUCGAUGUUUAGGCAUAGCAUGUAGUUCUCUCGAGGUUUGUGUUGUGUGGGUUUGUAGGCAGGUUUCAGAUGGUUCUGGAGAUGUCCAGGGUAGCUAAGGACCGACAUAACGCUCUUGAUUGUUAGAAGAUGUUUGGAGCAUAAGGUGAGUAUUUUGAUUUGUGAGUUGGGUUGUUCUACAAUUGUCCUGUAUUUGCUCGAUUCGGUGGCUUCAGUGUAGUGUUGGUUUUCUUAGAUUAAUUUGGUGUUUUCAGUCAUGUUCGGUUAAUCGGAGCCCAAAAAAGGAAAUGGAUGAGUUUUUGGAGUUUAAAGUGAACUUGAAUAUUUUUCUCUUAGACUGAGUUCUGUGUUGGCGUCAUUUGAUUCGAGAGGGUGUCUAAGGGUUUGGCAGUGCAUGUGAUCCUAGUAUCCUCAUCUUUCGUGCCUUCAGGUUGUAACUAUCCUUCAACUUUUGUGGAUGAAAGUUCUUUUAGUAGUGGAUGUUGUAAUGACCCUUCAAGUCAUUUCCUCUAUUUUUCAAUCUUUUCAAUGUUUAGAGAUUUCCUAUAUCGACCCCCAAGUAAUUUAUGACUUGUUGGGAUUGAGAGUUCGGUCGCCGAGUCAUUCAUUUGUGUUUUGUGCAAGUUCCAGUAUUUUGGAGCCUUUGUAACUUGAAUGGUUGACUUCUAUCAAAAGUUCAGGCACAUGGCCUCGGAAUGCAAUUUUGAUAGUUCCAUCAGCGUUGGAAGGGCCAUUUUAGGCUAGGGGCAUGGUUGGUUAGUGCCCCGAUGAGACUUCUAGUGCAAGUUUGUGUCAUUAGGCGUUUUAACUUUGAAAGCUUUGGCCAAGGGUUGACUUCGGUUAACUUUCUUGGUUAACGUGCUCAGAUGAGAAUUCUUUCAGAUGGUUAGCUCCGAAAUGUCGAGUUUAUUCUAGAAUAAACUUCCGUGCAGUUGUCAAGUCCUUUUGUGGAUUUUAUCUUAGAAUGGAACUUGGUUGUGGGACCCAUUUUUCAUCUAUAUCUCUUUGGAUGAAUGUUUUAAUGGUUCCAUUGAAUUUGGAAUGCUGAAUUUGAUGGGGUAGCAUAUCUCAUUCGCAAGAACGGGGUUUCGAAUGAAUCAUGGGCGCCCCGAUGAACAUUUCCUAGUUGAGCAAACUAGCUGAUAUUCAUCAGCUGGUAUAGUUUGAUUUCCUCAUCACGUUUGAGCCCUAGACCUGUGUUCCCGGAGCUUCACUUCCUGGAGUGGCGCGAUUCCAAGGCCUAUGGCCAAUCGCGAAGGCAUGGGGUCCCAUCCCUCCGCAUUUGCAAGGAUCUCCUUUACAUUCGUGAAUGUCUUUUUCGGAGUGGUCCGCGAUCGUGAUGGCUUGUGAAGUCUGGUCCUUUAAUUAAGACCAACAAGUAUUUCAACUAGAGGUCAUUUGUUGUUUUUGCAAUUUUGGGAGUUAGAAUACUCCAAAUUGAGCGAUUCCAAGUGCAAGAUGUUUGUAUUGUUUGUGGCUAUGUGUUGGAAUGUCCAGAGCAGUUGAGGGAGCAUUGGUUUUAGGUAAUGCUUCUCCCAAAAGGGCUACCUUAUCUCUUUAAAUGGCGAUUUUUCUGCAUCUGUUGGUUUUGGGCUGUUCCGAGCAUCGAAUUGUAUCCCAUUUUGAGACACAAGUUUGGUAAGUCAUUUGGAACCUUUUGACAGAGUCAAUUUUGGGAUUCUCGGUGUGGGUCCCACAUUCUCGUUUUGACUUCCCACUUCCAUGUAGGAAUGUUAAUCUCUUAAGUCAUACCUCCUGGUUUCUGAUGUUUUACCUUAACAUGUUGACAGUUAGGACACUAAGCCACAAAGUCUGCUAUGUCCUUCAUCAUGUCGUUUCACCAAAAGACUCCCCGUAGAUCACGGUACAUCUUAGCGGCACCUGGAUAAAUAGAAUAUCUGGAAUUAUGGGCUUAAGUAAGGAUUUACUGCCUCAACUCACCCACAUUAGGAACACAUAAGUGACCCUGGUAACGAAGCACACCAUCUCCCCCUUAGGAGAAAACCUCAACUUUCGGUUGAUGAACUACACCUUUCAACUAAAGUAAUAUAGGAUCACUAUCAUGUUUUUCCUUAACAUCCCCUACCAAUGAAGAUUUUGAUCCAUUCUGAACUAUCACACCACCAUUUGAUAUGUCUAUGAGGCAAACUCCUAAGCGAGCAAGCCGGUGAACAUCUUUGGCUAACUCUUUCUUUUCUUCCUCAACAUGUGCUACACUACCCAUAGACAAUUAGCUGAGAGCAUCAGCCGCUACAUUGGCCUUACAAGGAUGGUAAAACACAUUUAUGUCAUAGUCUUUGAGGAAUUCAAGCCAUCUCCUCUGACGAAGAUUCAACUCUUUUUGGGUGAACACAUACUGGAGGCUCUUAUAAUUUGUGAACACAUCAACAUGAACAUCAUACAAGUAAUGUCUCCAAAUCUUUAGGGUGAAUACUACGGCUGCAAGCUCGGGGUCAUGAGUGGGCUAGUUCUUCCCGUGGACCUUAAGCUAUUUAGAAGCAUAAGCUCUGACCUUACCUCGCUGCAUCAACACACAACCUACGCCAACCCUGGAGGCAUCACGAUAAAUCAUAAUCAUUUGAACUAUCUGGUAGAGUUUGGACGAGAGAUGUAGUCAACCAAGUCUUCAGUUUUGAGAAGCUUUCCUCACACUCAUCUGACCACUGAAAUUUGUCCUUCUUUUGAGUCAACUUGGUCAAUGGGGAAGUUAUGGAUGAAAAUCCUUCAACAAAUCUCCGGUAAUAACUGGCAAAACCCAAGAAACUUCUGAUAUCUGUUGGAGAGUUGGGUCUGGGCUUGUGCUGUACUGCCAUAAUUUUCUGAGAAUCCACUCGGACCCCUUUACUAGAUACCACAUGACAAAGGAAAGCGACAGACUGUAGCCAGAAUUCACAUUUGUUGAACUUAGCGAAUAACUGGCAAUCUUUGAGAGUCUGUUGGACAACUCUCAGAUGAGUCGCAUACUCCUCCUCACUUCGAGAAUAAAUGAGGAUAUCAUCAAUAAAGACGAUGACGAACAAGUCAAAAUACUAUUUAAACAGCCUAUUCAUUAAGUCCAUGAAAGCUGAAGGAGCAUUUGUUAGUCCAAAAGACAUAACUACAAACUCAUAAUAACCAUACCGAGUUCUGAAGGUUGUUUGCAGAAUGUCACUAUCUCUGACUCUGAGUUGAUAAUAGUCGGAUCUGAGGUAUAUCUUAGAAAAACAACUAGCACCCUGGAGUUAGUCGAACAAGUCAUCAAUCCUGGGGAUAGGAUAUUUGUUCUUGAUUGUCACUUUGUUCAACUGCCGAUAGUCAAUGCACAUCCUGAGAGAACCAUCUUUCUUUUCAAGAACAACACUGGAGCACCCGAUGGAGAGAUACUAGGUCUGAUAAAGCCCUUUAUCUAAAAUGUUUUUCAACUGCUCUUUCAAUUCCUUAAGCUCGAUUGGAGCCAUUUUAUAAAGAGGAAUCGAAAUAGGCUGGGUAUCUGGAAGGAGAUCUAUUCCGAAGUCGAUUUCCCCUUUCGGGAGGAACUCCAGGAAGAUGUUCUGGAAACACUUCUGGAUACUCAUUUACUACAAGGAUUGACUCAAGAGUUGGGGUUUCGUAGUUUGAAUCCUUAACCCGAACAAGAUGAUAGACACACCCUUUGGAAAUCAUUUUUCUGGCCUUAUGGCAAGAGAUAAACCGACCUAUAGGCACUGAUCUACUACCCCUCCAUUCUAAGACUGGAUCGUUUGGAAACUGAAAUCGAACGAUCCUAGUUCUACAAUUGUCUGAGGCAUAACAAGAAUGUAAGCAAUCCAUACCUAGAAUGAUAUCAAAGUCUACCAUUUCUAACUCUACAAGUUCUGCUGAGGUGACUUUCUGAGAAACUGUGACAGGGAGAUUUAUGUAUACCCGUCUAGCUAUAACUGGGUCACCAACUGGAGUAGCGACUGAGAAGGGUUCUGGUAGAGUUUUUGGACUGACACCGAAGUUACUACUAUAUAGGGAGUUACAAAAGACAGUGUUGCCCCUUUAUCUAACAAUGCGUAAACAUCUAAAUGAAAGACUCGUAACGUACCAGUGACCACAUUAGGAGAAUCUUCCUAGUCCUGGAGAGUAUAUAACUUGUUCUCGCAUUGACCACCACUUGUACCAGACGAAGUACCCUCUGGGUUGGGAGACCUGCUGGAGCUAUAGACUGAGCCCUAUUGUUGUUACCUCGUUUCCCUUGCUUGGCAGAAGGGCAAUCCUUCAACCUAUGGCCAGACUGACCACACCUAAAUCACCCUUCAGACACUCGCCCGAAUGGUUCUUACCACACUUUGGUCAAGUUGGGAAAGUCCAAUUACAUGAAGUACUCCCCAGAGACUUAGAGCAUGAUGCCCUACCUUCUGAUCCUAUCAAAACCUAGGGGAUGGAGCACUAGAUAAUGAAGGUGCUGGCGCUGUAGACCGUUGCUGAAACUGUGAGCGAUUCCCACCGCCCGACUUUUGCUAUGAGUAUUUAUAAUUUCCUGUUCUGGCCUUUUUGUUAUCCUUAGCCAUUUCCCUAAACUUAUCUCCAUCAACCUGCUGCGCAUGAGUCAUUAGUCUGGAGAUAUCUAUAUCCCCUAGAAGUAUAGCAUUCUUAGACUCGGUCUUUACCAGAUCGGAUACCCCAAACAAGAACUUACUCAUUUGUGCUCUUGGAUCAACAACCAUAUGUGGAUAAUACCUGGAGAGCUGAGUGAACUUCAGUCCGUAUUCUUGGACUAACAUUGAGCCCUGCUUCAAGUUCAUAAACUCUUGGGCCUUAGCCUCUCUCAACUCUCUCAGGAAGAACCUGUCCAGAAAAGCUCCAGUAAAAUAAUCACAUGUCAUAGGAGCUGCAUUCUCACCCCCUAUUUUCCUUCCACUGCAUUUCCAAAUAUAAGCUACAUAUAGGAUGCUAACUCAACACUCUCAGUACCAUGCACUUCUAUUACUCCAAGAAUCUUCUUAACUAAUCAAUUAAGUUCGUGGGUCCUCACCAACCUUCGUCCCUAAAAACUCAGGAGGAUUCAUCCAAACAAAGUCUCGAACCCUAGCUGAUUUGAAGUUGAUCCACCAUUAGUGUUUAGAGGAACUGGGGCCUGAUUAUUGUUCUGAUUGGCCAAACUUUGAGCCAAGAGUUGGACCGCAUUCCAAAAUUCUACAUUCGUAACCUUAUGAUUCGGGACUGGAGAAACUAUGUUAGCAUUGCUUGUAUUAGCAUUCGGUGCAUUAGCUCUACGAGGAAGCAUGAUCUAAAACAUAUAACGACAGAUUAGAAAGGAGAAGUUGGAUCAUACCUCACACACAAUAAGAAUAGCAAAUAAAGUGAUAUUUUUCUUAAAACACUUUGUAGCCUCCCCCUUAUAGGUGUGGCACGCUUCACACUCAUGAAAGGGACUCUACUUAGUGCAGCUUUUAGACACCCUAGGACUCUUGAACUUAAUGCUCUGAUACCAAGUUUGUCACUCCCCGAGGUUACCCCCUUGACGUAACACGGGACCUAGGAUCACGAGUGACUCCAAGCUAACCAUGAAUCUAGCAUAUCAUGAACAUAUUGAAUAUAGCUAAGUAAAAUAAACUAAGCGGAAGCUAAAUCAAUUGAUAUCUGAAGAGGAACAAGCCCAACUAGUCUGAAUAAUAAGUGAAAUAACCUAAGAAUUUAGUGAUAACUGAAACAACCACUUAACAACUUAAGUUGAAUCUACUACUAUGUCUAAAAAGCUUCUAACUGAGUUGAGUUGUUGGGACAUGCCCUUAGCUAACUCUAACAAAACUGAAACUAAAAAUAAUGACUAAAAUGAAAGCAUGUAUGUUGUCCUCGGAAUAUGAGGACUCACCACUAAAGCUACUGAAUGCGGACUGAUAAUCGAUCUAAGCGUGAUCUGGAUGAUGAGUACCUGAACCUACAUCAUGAAAAGAUGUAGUGUAGAGUAUGCGUUAGUAAUUGAAAUGUACUGAGCAUGCAGGAUAUAGAUACUAAGCUGAACAAAUAUAUAUGAGCUGAACAAAGCAUAACUGAGCAAUGACAUAAUCUGAGCAAGAAUAUAAAUACUGAAACAUAACUGAAAAGCUAAGAUGAAUGCAAUGACCAAGUACUAAUCAUGAAGAUAACAGGUUGAAUUGUAUACUGAUAUAAAUGUUGAAAACCUGGUCAAUGCACUAAAUACUAAAUAACUCAAAAUACUGACAUGCUAACUGAGAAUGCAACAUUUAUAUAUUGUGAAUGUGACAUUCAAAAUUUGGAGCAUGAUUUUCUGUUUAACUGACCUAGCAAGUAUAAUUCAUGAACUAAGAGAAUUUACACAAACUAGGGUUCUGAGUUUUAUACAAGGAAUUAAGCAACAUUUCCAAGAAAACAUGUUAUUUAGAUUAUGGAUACUAUAGCAACUGAUAUCAUAACAAUUCUCCAAGAUUUUAAAAACCCUAUGUCUAAACAAGUUAUGUAGAAUCAAGGAACUAACUGAAUUCUAGGGACCUAGUGGAUGAAAGGAACCCACUAGUGAAAUCCAACAUACCUAGCGACGAAAUCUACGAAGAAAUCCUUUCGAUUUUGGGGCUGAAACUUGAUGAACAUUGCUGCUUGUUCUUGAAAGAAACUGACGCCUAUUUCUCUUCUUUGCGUUUUAAUUUGGAUGAUUUUUGGAGAAUGAGGGUUCUCGGUAUGUCUUACUAGGUUAUUAGUCUUAUACUGAGUAAAACGAUAUAGUUUAGGCAUUAAACGACUUAGUUUAAGAGCCCCAAUGCAUAGGGAAAGGACAAAAAUGACCCUGACUUAAAAGCUGACGAAGGCCAUCUACUACGGGACUGACGGGCCAUCGUUUGAACUACCGAUCGUGGUUCAUGGUUUUCCCGACAUGGCUACACUAAAACGAGCAUAACUUUUUUAUCUGAGCUUGGAUUUUAGCAAACUCAGUGGCGUUGGAAAGAUAUUUCAAUUAUCUUUAAUUUGAUAGGUCAUGGGCUACCUAAUUGAUUUUUUGCUAAAAGAUAUGACCGUUUGAAAUUGACCCAACAACCAUUUUCCUCCAAUAGGCUGCUGACCCUUACCUACGGUCCGUGAAUCCAACCACGGACGUACUGGUCGGUCGUGGGUGGGAUUAGAGAUCCCUAAAUUGUGGACCCCACCUACAGACCGUGUGUCAGACCACGGACCGUUGGUGGCUUCCAUGGUUUUGGCACCAGGUCCUGGAAAGCCACAUUUUUUCCAUUUUCUCGAAUUCGAGGUGUUAUACUUAUGUUAUUCUAUCAUUUCUUGACAUCCGUGGGAGCGUCAGACUUGUGUUGUCGGGGUCAGGGUCCUUAUUUCAGGUUGUAGCCUUACUUGUAGUAUGCCUUAGCACGUGUAUCAUAGUUGGAAGUGGUAAUUUAUGGCCUUAGUCUAGGUUUAAGCCUUAGGUGCUUUAAAGUGUGUAUUUUCACCCUUGGAGUUUAAAGUUGCUUCUGGUAUGGCUUGAUUUUGGGUUGUUGACCGUGUGUUGGUGUUUGAGACUUUGGAGGCUUGUCAUAGUCGUAGUUUGGCACUAGUUGUGCUCAUUCAUAGACUAGAGCGGUGUGAAUGGGAUAAGGUGUCAAUCCUUGAGCUUUUCUCCCUUUUUUUUGAUUUGGAAGCUCUUCUUGAUCCCUUCGCUAGUCGUUUAAUGAUAGGCUUGUUAUGAUCCUUUGAGUUAUGCUUAUUAUUGUUGGGCUCGAGGUCAUGUUUGAGCACCAGUUGGAUCCCAGAUUAGUACUCUCCGCCUUGAUAGCAUAGUUUGGUUAGACUUAUAUUUAUACACUAGUUUCUAGGAACAUGCGUUGCACGUUUAAUUGAAAGUACUUAAUACAAUGUUUGUAUUGCAAAUAAUAAAUUUAAACGGUACAUAUAUUAUUCGACUUUCUUUGUAUAUAUAUCUAUUAUGCAUGAAAAACAAAAAACUAAACUAAUAGAUAUGUUGAAUAUUGUCAUGAUCAACUCAAAUACGGUCAAUAUUCAAAUGAAUCUUUCUUUUAUUCAAACAUGAAUAUACAAAAAAUAAAAUAGUAAAAAGAACUAAUUGUACAAUAAUUGUUAGAAAUCAUAUAAAAAAAAUCUAACAUCAAACUCAUAAGCACAAACAAAAUCGUCAAUAAUAACUAAAAAAUUUGAGAUGUAAAUGAGGAAUAUGUGGAAGGAAAAGAAGCAUGAAAAAUAUAUAUUUAUACGAAUAAGUGUAGUGACUCAUAGAAUUCUUUUUUCAGCAUUAUUAAAAUCAUUAAUGGUUUGAAUUUUGGUUUUCUCAUUCUAAGAAUAGGAUUUUUGAAAGAUUGAAGUAAAUAUGAUAACUUCUAAAAUAUUAUAAAUUAUAAGUAGUGAAAAAAUUUACUUAUUAAUUAAAAAAUUACAAAUAGGAUUAUAUAUAUAUAUCUAGGAGGUGAAAAGACUUUAAAACAUUUUUAUUAAUAGAUAUUUAAUAUAUUAAUUAGUUUAUAACAAUUAAAUUUAAUAUAGGGGUAAAAUCGUAAAUUAACUUUUACCUAAAUAUUUUCCCACUUUUAAUAUAACUAGUACUAGUAUUUAGGCACUGUGUUACACGUGUGCUCCAUAACGAUGAAUAUGAAUUAUUAAAAAUUACAUAAUAUCCUUUAAAUUUGUAUUUGAGUUACAACAAAAAUAUAAAAAGUAAAAUGAAAAUGUUUUUAGUGUAUAGUUAACUCAUAAGAAGAAACUCUUUUGCAUUUAGUCCCCCCCUUAUUAUAAUUUCGAUAUAUAAAUUUUAUAUUUGUUUUAAAAGACAAAAUAAAGUAGCAAAAACAAACAUAGAGGCACACUACCUUAUGAUUAACUUCCUUAAAAUAUCUUUCUUGUCUCAUAGAAUAGAAUAAAAAUGUUGAAAUUAAAUUAAUAGUUGCACAUUUCAAGAAGAUAAAAUGUUUUAACAUUAAUUAGUAGAAGAUGAAAUUCUCCUUCUCAUUACUAAUGCAAUUAAGUAAUUCAAAUUUAUAAUUAAGGAAACUUAAUUAGAACGAAAUAACUAUAGAAUUAAAGUGCAACAGUUGGUAUUUUGAUUUUGUCAUUAUAUAAUUAAAAUAUUAAUAUUUAAUUAAAUAAAUCAGAUUUUAAUUUAGUGGAGAGUCAAAAUGACAAUAUUAAUAUUUUUACAAUUAAAAGUUUGUUAAAAUAUAUUUUACGAUUUUUUUGUUAAAAAUAUAAUAGGAGCAAUAUUUGGUCGGAGGUUAAAAGAUCUUCUAACUUCUUAAGCAUUUUGGGGUAGCAUUUUUUUUUACUUUGGGAUUUGAAUCUCUUAAUAAUUUUAAUAAAAAUUAUCUAAAAAAUAUAGAUUUUAUCCACAAGCACAUAUAAGAAUAAUUCUUUACAAAUAUUUAAAAUUAAAGGUGGAAAAAUGUAUUAUUAAUAAUUUUAUAUAAGAAUAUCUUGCAGGCGUUAAUUGUCUGUUUUUACAUGCCUUAUAGGCUAUUAUGAUGAUUCUAUUUGUUUUAUUUUCUAUAGGAAAAACACACCCUUCAAUCAUAUACAUUCUUAAAAUGAAAUUACAAAUAUAAAGAAAAAAAUAUCACAGGAGCAAGCUUAGCACAAGGCAAUCAACGAAAAUAGAAAAAUUCUAAGACAAUCACUUUUUAUUGAUAAUGCAAAUUGAAACAAAGCUAUAGUAAUAAACAUUCAACCUUUGACCAUAAAAAAAUAGUUAAAAAUCUUGGAAGAUAAGUUAACGGAAGUGGCAUUCAACUAAAUAAAUGGAGGGGUCUUAUCAUAGUUCUAAUCUCGGCAAAUAAGUAAGAAAACAAAUACAUCAAGCUCCGAUAUUCUAGUAAUUGAAGUGUUACUCAUCCCUAUAAUCACAUUAUGCCUUAUAAUUUUGACACAAAGUCUCUUGUCUUGAAAUUUUCUUCACUUGAUUAAAGCUUCUCUAGUCUUCCACAUACAAAAAUUGUAUCACAUAUAAAUCUUUCUAUGGAAAUACUAUUGAAAGAUUUGUAUUUAUACGAAAAAAUAUAGCUUUAGAUUAUGAAGAUUCACUUACAAAGUUGAAAGGUCAAGAGUUACAACAAAUUAAAGACAAAUAUUAAUUAAGAACAUAAAUUAAUUUGGAAGAGGAAACAAGUACAUGUAUCUAUUUAAUUUACGUACUUCAAAUACAACUCUUUGACUUUUCCGAGGCAUGACAUACCAAUUACUUAAGUGAACUUGAUUUGGAUUCCAAAAGAUACACAUUUUCAUGAGGUCAAACACUACUAUAUUAAGUUAUUUAAAUUAACUAAGAGAAGUGGAAAAGGCUUAGUGGAUUUUCUUUACGAAUAAAUGUAAUACUUUCUUAUGAUUAUUUUUAUUUUUUAAGUUUUGACUUAAUAUCUCCUCACUUUUAGAAUUUAUAAUUAUAAUAAUAAUAAUAAUAUAAUAUUGUCACGACCCGAGUCUACACCCUGGACGUGGCCGGCACUCAAGAACCAUUGCUGGUCCCCAAGCGAACCCUCAUCCUGGCUGACUACAAGCGGAAGACUAACUUAAAACUGAAAUAAAAGUUCAUAAAACUGAAAUACAAACUUUAUGUCCAAAGAAAACUCUGUAUAACAAAAUAUAUACAACUUACCAUAAAAAGGCAACUUUAGUCCUUAAAACAUUUAAUAAAAUGAAUGAAUAACACAGACUUUUCAACUAUACUGACUAUCUAUGAAGUCUCUAACUGAUAAAGAUGGAAGUCGGGACAAGACCCGCGACAUCCUAACAACUGAUAUAACUGAAAGGUAAAUGAAAUCAUCCGGAAGCAAGGAGUCUCACCAUAGCUAACUCGAACUCUCGGAUGUAUCAACGAAACUCCUGUUGAUGAUCCUGAAUACCUGUGUCUGCAUCAUGCGAAGAUGCAGGCCAAAUGGCUCAGUACGUGGAAUGUACAAGCAUGUAAGGGGAAUUCUAAAACAUAACAUAAGCUUGAACUUUGAUAGAAAGGAAACUUACUUACCUCUUUUCAAACUCACCGAACUCAACUCAACUUAAGAAUAAGAUACUCAACUCAAGGAUUAGAUACUCAACUUCAAAGAUAUGUUACUCGACUCAAUGAAGCACAAAUCAACUCAAGAUACUCAACUUAAGGUACUCAACUUGAAAUACUCAACAUAACUAGAAUCAUUUCAAUAUAAAGCAACUUUUAAAGCAAAUGCAAUAUAAAGAAACGCUAUUUAAAAAAAACAUGAUGUCAACUAUAUGUGUAUGCAAGGAUACAACAUAACUAUGAAAUGUAUGUAGAAAUACAAAUAACUGUGUAUAUAAAAAUACAACAACUUUUGUGAGAGUUUCUCCAACCGACAACCAUCACUUAAGAGCUAUAGUGAUGAUACAACACUUUACCUCGCGUUGCCAAGGACCAUCCUAUACCUUGCCAUCGGUAUAGUACCUUACUUAACUUAGUGGAUCCACUAGCUUAACUUACGUGAUCAUCUAAAAAGUAUGACCUGUUAAAUCCCAUGUUGGCUAUAUGGUUCUUAUGGAGAGUUGAGUUAAUAUGAACUCGCGUCCCCAAUUCGGUGCUCAAUACUAUUCCCAAAAUAUACUUUAACUCAUAUGUGUUUUAAACACCUCUUUCUUUAGUUUGAGAUAAUUGCUCAAAGUUUAGCCCAAAGGGUCUCUUGGAAUCAAUGUUCCCUUUAGUGAAAACUAGCCCAAAGGCUCUUUUGGAAAUCACAGUUCCUUUCUUGCUCAAAUGUGAAAUCAUUUAUAAACUUAUUUGGGAAUACUUAGUCCCCUAAUAACUUUUGAGAAACGAACUUAACUCUUUACUCUUUACUUUACUUGAAACUUGAGCCUUAAAACGAAGUUUAAACGUUUAUAAAAGACUUUACUCUUACUCUUUACUUAACUUCAAAGAUUAAGUCUUAAAACAAAGUUAAAAAAUUUGUAAAAGACUCCUUAAAAUAUGAUUCAUGCCGAAUUAGGGACAUGAAUGACUCAAUGCAAGGUUUUCAAUAACCAUAGAUAGAACUCAAUACUUGGAACUUAAGAACUUCAAUGAUACUUCUCAAAAGUGCAUUAGGAACUCAACACUUAAAGGUUUAAAACUUGAAGAUACCAGUUCUCUGAAAGAUGCUCAACUUAGGAAGUUCAUGCAGAAUUAUGGGCAUGAAACAACUUGACUCGAUGAUCUACAUAAAAACAUGGACUCAUGUAUACGACUCUUCUCAUUCUCUUACUUACUUUCUCAUAACUUAGUUCAAAUCUAUAGUUAAUCUCAAAGGAUUCACAAUUGAACUCAAAGGCUUACUUGAACUUUACUCUUAAAUCUCUCUUGAAUGUGAAUUACGAAUCAAAGAGUUUUGGUUCAUGAUAUGAAGGAUCUCAUGAUGACAAAGUAGAUUCAUGAAUACAUUCUCCUCAUCCUCAUACUCACUUGCUCGAGUCUUGAAACAAGUUACUAGUAAUUGUAGAAGACUCCUCAAAAAGACUCUAAGGGACCUUAUCAAAAAGGUUUGAAACAACUCUCAAACUUGACUCUCAACUCUACCUUCCAUUUGAUUUAUGAAUUCAAGGUUAUUAUCAUUUUAGGAAUGAUUUUAGGUGUUUAGAAGUAGCUUAGAGUAGUUAGAAUCGAAAAGGAGUGAAGGUGCACUUUAAACGAACUCAAACGGGGCAACCGACGACCAACUGGGUGGAGCAGGCGACCCUGGCGCUAUGGGUGGCGCCAGCCCCUAAACUUCAGAGGUGGGUUUGGGGAGCUCUGGCAGGCGCCUCGUGCCAGGCCCCAACCCAGAAAAUUCAACAAGUUUCUUUUCUCGUUUUCUCAUCCUAUUUCACCUAGAAUCUAAUGGUUUCUUCCCCAAUCUCUUAGAAUUGAUUACUUAACAUAAGUACACUCUAAUCUACUCAGUACAUCCCUUAAAACACUCACUUUGAUCUUAAGAAAUCAUCCAAAACCCAACACAACAAGAUUUAGAAUGAACUUCAAGAACACCUAUCAAGAACUUAUCAAGAACUCAAAUCUUUCAACUUCAAGAAUGAAAUUUGCGCUGAAAAUAACAUGUUUGGCAUGUGGGUGAACAAACCCAACACUAUGGAAGCUGACAUACCUCUUAGGGAUUAAACCCAUGGCGAAAAUCCACAACAAGACGCAAGAAUCUCGACGAACGCUUGAUCCUCUCCUCUUUUUCUCCUCUUUUCUCUUCUUCUUUUCUCUUCUUUUCUCUCAACUAAAACCCUAGGCGUAAACUAGGAUUAUAAAACUGAUCCUAAUCAGAUUAUACCCUUAAAAUAUUACUAAAAACAAAUUAAAUCUGAUUGGGUAAGGAAAAGACCAAAAUACCCGUCCCUAUUUUCGGCUAACUUUCCUUAACUGGACAGCCUAUCUUCAAAAGGACAUAUCUCACUCAUCCUACCUCGAAACUUAGCAAACUCGGAGGCGUUGGAAAGAUAAUUCAAAGAUAUUUCCUACGGUAUCUGGUAGAACACCUAACUCAUCCUGAGCUAGGAGUUAUGAUCGUUUGAAUUCGACCCAAAACUCAUACUUAGCUUAACUUGCAAAAUUUCAGAUUUUGCUAUUUCCAAUUUAAUUCUUUUUAGAACUCAAGGUUCUACAUCUAGUGACCUUAACACUUACUAAAUUUUAAUUCCUCGGUAAAAUCCUACUCACAAUGAAGGAUGGUUCAAGUCUUAGUUCAAAAAAAAUUCUAGGGUAUUACAAUAUCUCCCCCUUGGGAUCAUUCAUCCUCGAAUGACUACUGGACUGGGUAUGGAAUGGGUUACUCUUACUAAGGUCUGAGUCUAAUGGUACACUCUCACUAUAUUCAAGCUUAACCCAAAUCCUUAGGUUCAGGUUCUAUACCUCUCUAUAGGGAAUCUCAUCCCAAGACCAUUACUCCUUACCACCACAUUCAAGCUUAGUACUCUAGGAACUCCAUGGACUCCUACUAACAAACUCCUUCAGAGCCAACUAAAGGCUCUCAUUUAAAUAUUUCUCAUAUUAAAACCUCAUUCUAAUCUUCCUCCUUAUUUACAAUCUUAGAUGGAACUAUCACACCAUCAUCAUCAUGAUAUGAUCAUUAACCUCCUCUUUCUAACAUCACUUCAUUACUAAAAUGGCCUCUAAAAAGAUAUCCCCCAAACUAUUUGGAAUUCAUUACUAUCUUACUCUCAAGCACUUGACUUUAUUUCUCAUCUUAUCAUCUACCCCUUAGGUCUAAAGCUAACACUUGAAAAGUAUGGACAUAUUCCAUCAUCUCUAAAUAGUCUACCUCUUCUUUUAAUCUAACACUUGGGAGAAGUUUAUAUCAUGCCUACCAAACUCUCUAUAAGCGGUACUAAGACCUCUUUCUAAGGUGUUUCCCUUAACCUCUUCUGGUUACAUACCCUCUCGGUACACCUCUUAACACUCUUAUUACUCUUGUGUCUUAGCCACACUAUACUGCCCUUAUCUAAACGUUAGGGUCUCUCACUUGUCCUACUCACAUUCAUUGCAACAACCAUAUCAAAUACUCACUUACUCUAUGUCAAGUCUACCAUAUCAAAUCUCAAGACUAACAUCAUCACCCUCAUACUUUCAUUCUUUGGAUCAUGACACUCAUCUCAAAUUCAAGCUUAAUGUUUAUUACUAAACCCGAAUAUCAAUAUGAUUGCUCGCCUACUAUACUAUACCUCAUUACUUAAUCAGUUAUAUAACCUUCUGUACAUCAUGACCCUCUUAAACAUAUCAUAAGCCUAGUUUAUAUCUAUCCCUUCAUGAAUACUCUGUGCUUCUAUUCAGUAGAUACACUUGGUCAUUACCUACACAAUGACACUUCAUCACAAACUCCUUUAUAGCUAAAAUACACUCUACAUCCUAUGAUGGAAUCUUCACAACUCAUCACUUCUUAGUCUACCCAUAAGGGAAAACUCUUCAUUAAUAACUUACUAGGUGCAUGACUAUAGUAACAUAGCUUGCCUCAUCACUAUCUCCCUUUCUAGGAUUACUAAACCUACGCAUACUUUCCUCUAACUCUGGGCUCUUUCACUACAACUUCUAAUGAUCUCGUCAUUCAUACCAUCUUUUAGGAUAAGAAUACUACCCAAGCUCUAAACAUACUUUCUCAUGAGGAUCUCAGUUGAAACAAGACUUAAAGAAGAGAGUACAACUCUCUUUUAGCUCAAAUGCAUGAUUCAUAUGAAGGCAUUACUUUGAAACUGAACACUUAACUUGCUUUUGGGCUUCUCUUAAGCCCCUCUGGAGUUUCUUGACUUUCUCAAGACUCUUGCUAAGAACAACUCAUCCAAAAGGAUAAACUUUACACUUUACUUUUCAACCACCUCUAGUAUGAUGGGUAGUCUAAUGAAUUCUGAGAAACGUAGGAGUACGAAUAAAAUCUCUAGGACAUAGCUCUAUUGCACGAAUAAGAGUAUAAAAGAAGGGAAUUUUUUCUUAAAUGUCUGCAGUCCCUCAUUUAUAGAAGUGGGGCCCUCACAAUCAUAAACAAGAUCCUACUUGAAACGGCUUCAUAGACACCCUAGGACACUUAAACUCUGGGCUCUUAUACCAAGUUUAUCACGACCCGAGUCUACACCCUGGACGUGGCCAGCACUCAAGAACCAUUGUUGGUCCCCAAGCGAACCCUCCUCCUGGCUGACUACAAGCGGAAGACUAACUUAAAACUGAAAUAAAAGUUCAUAAAACUGAAAUAUAAACUUUAAGUCCAAAGAAAACUCUGUAUAACAAAAUAUAUACAACUUACCAUAUAAAGGAAACUUUAGUCCUUAAAACAUUUAAUAAAAUGAAUGAAUAAUACAGACUUUUCAACUAUACUGACUAUCUAUGAAGCCUCUAACUGAUAAAGAUGGAAGUCGGGACAAGACCCACGACAUCCUAACAACUAAUAUAACUGAAAGGUAAAUAAAAUCCUCUGGAAGCAAGGAGGCUCACCAUAGCUAACUCGAACUCUCGGAUAUAUCAACGAAACUCCUAUUGAUGAUCCUGAAUACCUGUGUCUAUAUCAUGAGAAGAUGCAGGCCAAAUGGCUCAGUACGUGGAAUGUACGAGCAUGUAAGGGGAAUUCUAAAACAUAACAUAAGGUUGAACUUUGAUAAAAGGAAACAUACUUACCUCUUUUCAAACUCACCGAACUCAACUCAACUUAAGAAUAAGAUACUCAACUCAAGGAUUAGAUACUCAUCUUCAAAGAUAUGAUACUCGACUCAAUGAAGCACAAAUCAACUCAAGAUUCUCAACUUAAGGUACUCAACUUGAAAUACUCAACAUAACUAGACUGAUUUCAAUAUAAAGCAAUUUUUAAAGCAAAUGCAAUAUAAAGAAAAGCUAUUUAAAAAAAACAUGAUGUCAACUCUAUGGGUAUGCAAGGAUACAACAUAACUUUGAAAUGUAUGUAGAAAUACAAAUAACUGUGUAUAUAAAAAUACAAUAACUUUUGUGAGAGUUUCUCUAACCGACAACCAUCACUUAAGAGCUAUAGUGAUGAUACAACACAUUACCUCGUGCUGCCAAGGACCAUCCUAUACCUUGCCAUCGAUAUAGGACCUUACUUAACUUAGUGGAUCCACUAGCUUAACUUACGUGAUCAUCUAAAAAGUAUGACCCAUUAAAUCCCAUGUUGGCUACAUGGUUCUUAUGGAGAGUUGAGUUAAUAUGAACUCGCGUCCCCAAUUCGGUGCUCAAUACUACUCCCAAAAUAUACUUUAGCUCAUUAUGUGUUUUAAACACCUCUUUCUUUAGUUUGAGAUAAUUGCUCAAAGUUUAGCCCAAAGGCUCUCUUGGAAUCGAUGUUCCCUUUACUGAAAACUAGCCCAAAAGCUCUUUUGGAAAUCAUAGUUCCUUUCUUGCUCAAAUGUGAAAACAUUUAUAAACUUAUGUGGGAAAACUUAGUCCCCUAAUAACUUUUGAGAAAUGAACUCAACUCUUUACUCUUUACUUUACUUGAAACUUGAGCCUUAAAACGAAGUUUAAACGUUUAUAAAAGACUUUACUCUUACUCUUUACUUAACUUCAAAGCUUAAGUCUUAAAACAAAGUUAAAACAUUUGUAAAAGACUCCUUAAAAUAUGAUUCAUGCAGAAUUAGGGACAUGAAUGACUCAAUACAAGGUUUUCAAUAACCAUAGAUAGAACUCAAUACUUGGAACUUAAGAACUUCAAUGAUACUUCUCAAAAGGGCAUUAGGAACUCAACACAUAAAGGUUUGAAACUUGAAGAUUCCACUUCUCUGAAAGAUGCUCAACUUACGAAGUUCAUGCGGAAUUAUGGGCAUGAAACAACUCGACUCGAUUAUCUACAUAACAACAUGGACUCAUGUAUACGACUCUUCUCACUCUCUUACUUACUUUCUCAAAACUUUUAGUUCAAAUCGAUAGUUGAUCUCAAAGGAUUCACAAUUGAACUCAAAGGCUUACUUGAACUUUACUUUUAACUCUCUUUUGAAUGUGAAGUAUGAAUUCAAGAGUUUUGGUUCAUGAUAUGAAGGAUCUCAUGAUGACAAAGUAGAUUCAUGAAUACAUUCUCCUCAUCGUCAUACUCACUUGCUCGAGUCUUGAAACAGGUUACUAGUAAUUGUAGAAAACUCCUUAAAAAGACUCUUAGGGACCUUAUCAAAAAGGUUUGAAACAACUCUCAAACUUGACUCUCAACUCUACCUUCAAUUUAAUUUAUGAAUUCAAGGUUAUGAUCAUUUUAGGAAUGAUUUUAGGUGUUUAGAAGUAGCUUAGAGUAGUUAGAAUCGAAAAGGAGUGAAGAUGCACUUUAAACGAACUCAAACGGGGUAACCGGCGACAAACUGGGUGGGGAAGGCGACCCUGGCGCUAUGGGUGGUGCCAUCCCCUAAACUUCAGAGGUGGGUUUGGGGAGCUCUGGCAGGCGCAUUGCGCCAAGCCCCAAUCCAGAAAAUUCAACAAGUUUCUUUUCUCGUUUUCUCACCCUAUUUCGCCUAGAAUCGAAUGGUUUCUUCCCCAAUCACUUAGAAUUGAUUACUUAACAUAAGUACACUCUAAUCUACUCAAUACAUCCCUUAAAACACUCACUUUGAUCUUAAGAAAUCAAUCCAAAACCCAACACAACAAGAUUUAGAAUGAACUUCAAGAACACCUACCAAAGAACUUAAUCAAAGAACUCAAAAUCUUUCAACUUUAAGAAUGAAAUUUGCACUAAAAAUAACAUGUUUGGCAUGUUGGUGAACAAACCCAACACUAUGGAAGCUCACAUACCUCUUAGGGAUUAAACCCAUGGCGAAAAUCCGCAACAAGACGCAAGAAUCUCGACGAACGCUUGAUCCUCUCCUCUUUUCUCUUCUUCUUUUCUCUUCUUUUCUCUCAACUAAAACCCUAGGAUUAAACUAGGAUUAUAAAACUGAACCUAAUCAGAUUAUACCCUUAAAAUAUUACUAAAAAUGAAUUAAAUCUGAUUGGGUAAGGAAAAGACCAAAAUACCCGUCUCUAUUUUCGGCUAACUUUCCUUAACUGGGCAGCCUAUCUUCAAAAGGCCAUAUCUCACUCACCGACCUCGAAACUUAGCAAACUCGGCUGCGUUGGAAAGAUAAUUCAAAGAUCUUUCCUAUGGUAUCUGGUAGAACACCUAACUCAUCCUUAGCUAGGAGUUAUGAUCGUUUGAAGUCGACCCAAAAGUCAUACUUAGCUUAACUUGCAAAAUUUCAGAUUUUGCUAUUUCCAAUUUAAUUCUCUUUGGAACUCAAGGUGCUACAUCUAGUGACCUUAACACUUACGAAAUUUUAAUUCCUCGGUAAAAUUUUACUCACAACGAAGGAUGGUUCAAGUCUUAGUUCAAAUUUUUUUUUGGGUUAUUACAAAUAUAAUAUAAACAAUUAAUAAAAGGAGAUAAGUUGAAAAGUGAAAAGGCUACCAUUAGUUUGUAUCGUGAACCCUUCUACUUAACCAUGCUUAUACUUGCAUGAUUUUGUAUCGUGAACCCUUCUACUUAACCAUUUAUCAACUAAACCAUUAAACUCAAUAAAAUACAAUAUAUCAAACUCCUCUUACCAUUGACCAUGCUUAUGUGGCAUUAAGAUGGUUGAGUUGGCAAGAGAGUGUGACUACACGCAUGUGAAGGCGGGUGAACUUCAUAUUUAAAUUUUAAAAAUAUAAUAAUAUAUUUUUUUAGAAAAACUAAAAAAAAAAUAAUGAAUUAAAAAAAGAAAAAGUAAAUUUUUAAAAAAGUCUUCUUCUUCCUUCAACUCCACCUAAUUUUCGCCGCCAUCCCCAUUCCUGCCCCAACCCCUUUUUCUUUCUUCUCCACACUUAUUAUCACCUUUACCAAGACAUUGGCACCUCCUUGUCGUCAUAUUUCAAGUUGUUAUCAUUGCAGGGAGAAAGUGACGGUGAUUUUAUGGUGGUGCUCGUCGGAGUCUACUGAUUCAAAGUGGAGUAAGAGAGAGAGGCGGCACUAAUCCUUUUUCACCCGAAUGAGAGGCAACGAGGGGCAUUAUAUAUUGGUAUGACAGAGAGGAUGGAGAGGAGAGGCGGUUCUUGGUGGCUCGCAGUGUCGCCAGUGGUGUUUCGACUUAGGGUUACUAAUUUUUUGGAGGUUGGAGAAACAGGAAAGGAAAAUAGUGAGGUUUGCAACGGAGAUGGAGACUGGUACAAGUAUCGCCGGCAAGAAGAGCGGUGGCGGCGACGACUUUUGCCAGUGGAUUUUAGAUUUACAUGGUUGAAAUAAGGAGAGGAGGUGUGGAGUCCCAAAUUUUACUUAAUAAAUUUUAAAAUUUAUUAUUUUAUAUUUUAUUUAAUAAAACUUUGUUUAAUAAUUUUUAAAAAUAAAUAAUGAAGAUAAUUUUGACAUGUUAUUAAUUUAUGUGACAUGGAUUUGACAUGUCAUUUGUUCAAGGGCGAGUGAACUACACACAUGAUAAGAGGGGUUUAAAAAUAUUCGUUUGAUUGAGUUUAAGGAUUUAAUUGGUAAAUGGUUAAGUAGAAGGGUUCACAAUACAGACUCAUACAAGUACAAGGGUCCACCAGACUAUUUCGCCUAAAAUUUAUAAAGAAGAUAAAAAGGCUACAUGUAUAAGAAGAUUAAAAAUUCUUUCAAUUAAGUAGUAAGCUAACAUUAAAACAUACAAAUUAUUAUAUUUAAUAGGAGGAAUUUACUUGAUAAUAAAUUAUUAUUAUUAUUUUAUUUAAUUAAGUAUAUGUUUUAUUAUAUUUUAAUUUGGUGUAGAGGUAAAAUGGUAUUUCAACUUUUAAAUUUGUGGCUUUCCACUUUUAAUAUAACUAGUUUCUGGGUACGUGCGUUGCGCGUGUAGCUUAUGUCAAUAAGUAUAAAAAAAAAUAAAAAAAAGAGUUACAUCUAUUAAUAACAAAUUUGUGCUAUAAAACAAAAUAAAAGUUUGUUAUAUUUUUUAUAUCCAAAACAUGAUGUUUGAUCUCAAAGUUGAAAAAGAACAGAGAAAGAAAAUGUUAAAUUAUAAAGCUUAUUAAAUUGAAGGACCUUGAAAACACUUUUCAAAUUGUUUUAGUUUAUACACAAACAGCAACAACAAAAAUAAUGACAUAUCUAUAUAUAGUACCACAAAGUGGGAUGAUUUUAUUAUUUUAAAGUGUUUAAAUAAAUCUCUAGUGUAGUCCAACAAAGUAUUCUAAAUAAGAAAUUUAUAUGUUUUCGUAAAUUACAAAUGUCACUUAUACUGUAUAUGUAUAUAUAGCAUUCAAAGAACUAGCUUUACAAAUGUAAAGGUUUCUCAAUGCAAAUUCAUUGUGAAUUCUUAUGUAAUAGUAAGAUAUCAAUCCCAAAAAUAUACUAUAACUUUCUUUAAUUAGUUAAGUUAAUAUGAAUGGUUCUCAUAUUUGUAUUUCUUUUAAGUUCAACUUUUUAAAUCUUUGUUAGAAUGAAUAUUAAUAUUUUAGCAUAAAAAUUGUUGUUAGAGGAGUGUUAACAAAAAAUUUAAAAGUCUUUCAAUUUUUUGGUGAGUGUUUAGUAUGCAAUUCAACUUUAUAAGUGGCAAUUUCCCAUUUUUAAAACCACCUCUGUGAAUGAAAAAUGCACAACUCAUGAAUAUUGUUAAACUGGGAAGAAAACAACUAAAACAAAGAACCUGAUAACAAUAAAUGGUAACACUAAUCUUAGUGAUACAACGUGAGAAUAUGUAAGACCACCUUUAUUUAGGACAUCUAUUAGUAUUAUUUAUUAUAGUAAAAUGUUCUCCACUGCAUCACAUUAAUUACAACAUAUAUUCAUAAUUGGAUACUUUUAAGAUAAUGUAAAUUUUCUAGCCCUUUAUUCCUACAUAAUUACUAUUCCAUAGUAUUAAUUAUCUAAAUAUAAUUACUAAUUAGAAAGUAUAUGCAUAGAUUCUUUGAAUUGGGAAAAUCUAAUCCUAAAUUUUUUUAAAAAUCAUGAUAAUUUGAUCCAAAAGGGAAUGAAUUAUAUAUCGAUAAAUAAAAAAUCAUGUCAUUGUUUUGUAAAUAAUAAAAUAAAAUAGAGAUGAAAAAAAGAGAAAGACAGUCUUAAAAUUAAAUAACAAUUACAUGGAGAUUCAAAAGGGAAGAAAGAAUGUGAUCAUGACAACUAUGAACUUCACAGUAUCCGUAUACAGCGACCUUGCUCGACAUCAAAAUUAAAUCAUCAUUGUUAAACAAGAAAUAUAGAUAUCAAAAGAUAUGUUCAUCACAUUUUUCAUACACAAAAAAAAUAUUCAUAAAAAUUUAAGUACAGACUAAAAAAUUCUCUCAUUGUUAAAUUACUUUACCUCGUCUGAUAUUUAAUUUGAUAUAUGACAAAAGUAUUUCAUGUGCACAACAAAUCUAAUCUUAUUUGUGCUUGUGUACAACAAUCCCCUUUAUAUGACUGGAAAAACAAUUCCUUCAAAUAGCCUCUAACCUCUGUUUCUAGUACCCAUAUUUUCCUACAAUUUUAUAUCGAAAUUGAAUAUACAUAUGUAAAUACCUAAAACUCUACAGAAAAGUUAGGAAAAAAAGACAAGUUUCUAAUAGAGAAAUUUUAAGAGCAGAGCUCGAAGAAUUAAACAAAACAUUAACAGAGAGGAAAUGAAAAAGAAGUUCAAACUCUAAAUAAGACUAACCAUUUUGACUUAUAAACGAUUGUAAGAUCAAUUGUGAUCUUUGAACUUUUUUAUAUAAGAUGUUAUCCACAUUACAUAGACUUUUGGACUUCUUAUUAAUUAAAAUGAAAAUAAUUUGUGAGAAAAGAUAACUAAAAGUGGGAAAAUCAUUUUAUUUUUUUUACCUUAAAAAUGGCAAUAGAGUCAUUUAAUUUUACGAGGGCAUUUUGAUAUUUCAACUAUUGGGAUAUACUAUUAACCAUAUGGUUGAGUUAUAGUAUUGAUUUUAAUCCUUUAUAAAGACUUUACGUUUUAUGUAAAUUGAUACAAUAAAGUUUUUGUUUGAAUAGAUCAUUGUGUUUAUAUGUGUGUCCAUUGCUUAUAUAGUAGACGAUUUUUGGGUAUGGAGUUGCUUAACUCAUACGCAGAAGAUUAAAAUUGUCGGUUCUUAUAAGUCAUAAAUUAAAUGUUCACAAUCAAAGAUGAAAUUGGACAAACAUCUUGAUGAUUGUAACACAAGAUUAAAAGUAAUUCAAUCUUAAUUAUGGGAAUGGUAAAAUUCCAACUUCUUGUGUUAGUACAUUUUGCAUGUAUUGAACGGACCAAAUUGAGAUAUGCAUUUAGGUUCUGAAUUUCAAUAAAUAAUAUCUCUAGUCCAUUACAUGAGCUUAUACUCUUAAUCUUGAUGUAGUUAUUAUGAUCUGUGUAGUUUGCUUUAUUAUUUUCAUCUAUUAAAAGGUGAGACUCUAUGAUGAGUCAAAAAAUUCCUAAUGGAUUGGAUAAUAACAAAUUACAUACGUGGAAUAAUAAUUAGCUGAUAGAACCAUAUCUCGGAUAUGAUAAAGAAGACACCCCUUUAUGGUUGUUAUAAAUAGUCACGUGAAAACCUUGCAGGUGGAUUAUAUAUGUAUAUCCUUCACGUGAAUUAAUUUAAGCAUAAAGAUAAAGGAUUAAAUUAAUCAAUGGAUUAAAUUUUUCAGAAGUUUAAUUUAAUUGAUUGGUGUCGGUAAUUCUAACACGGGGAGUUAAAUAAGUUGUAACGAAAAAAAAUUGAAAUUAAUUAGAGGAGUGCAGUUGCAGAUUUUUAGUGGUACAAUCUUUGAUUUAUUAUGAUAUGGUUAAUUCAUGCUUUUUACGAAUUAAAUAUUAUAAUUGGAAGCCUCUCCUAAUAAAUUUGUGGUCCCUACUAUGCCUAAUUAAUUGAUCGAGUUCGGAAAAGAAAAGGAUUGUUAGUAUUUUUAUUCAGCUUAGGAAUAAAUUGUUUUUGACUUUUAUUAGUUUAAAAGAGAAAAACGUUUUCUUUCCUUAAAAGAAGAAAAAAAGAAUACUGCAAUGUUUUAAUUCCUUGGAAGAUGAAAGAAACAAAUAAUAGUGUUUAAUGGUUAUUAGUGGCUAUUAAUGGUGUUUAAUGGUUGUUGAUUACCCUUGGUGUUUAAUGACUUUCUAAAUACACUUAAUGAUAUUUAGUGGUUGUUGAUAACUAUUGAUCAUGGUUGUUAGAUACUCUUAACCAUGUCAAAAUACACUUAAUGAUAUUUAAUGGUUGUUGAUGACUAUUGAUCAUGGUUAUUGGAUACACUUAACAGUGUCCAAAUACACCUAAAGGUAUUUAAUGACUAUUAAUGACCAUUAAUUAUGACUAGAAACAUUUCUUCUUUCAAACAUUUCCCUUAUACUGAAAAGUAUAAAUAGGGGUGGUGUUUCUCAAGGAAAGGAUAUCUUUUUUAAAAAAUAAAAUUCUUGCCCACACAAGACUUGAUUAAGAAAGUUAGUCAGGAAUUAGUAGAAGACUGCAAUUCUGGAGUCCCAGUCCCUGAACGAGUUGUGUGAAUGCUACAAAAGGUUAGAGUUUCACAAUUUAUUUAGAUUACAUUAUUAUGCUUUUAUGUAAGUUUGUGAUUCUGAAAAAUGCUUCCGCUGUGCAUAUUCUAACAGUUCCCACUUAUAAUAAUAUAUGAUAUGAUAUGAUAUAUAUAUAUAUAUAUAUAUAUAUGAUAUAUGAUAUAUGAUACUUAUACUCAUAUAAAUGGUUAGAGUUAUACUUCCAUAGUGUUGGUAUACAGUGUUCUUGCUCUGUACAUUGGUGAAUGGAUUGUGGUAUGUUAGAAAUAUGAUGAUUGUAACUAUAUCUAUUUACACAUAUAAUUGUUAGUGAUUUCUGAUGACUCUAUUGAAUUGUGACUUAUGUGUUUGACUAUGUGGAAUUACUUGUCUACUUGCUUUAUAAAUGUGAUUAUAUAUCUGUUACUAAUCUUAGUCGACAUAUGAUGUCUACAGAUACAUAGUAUUAGUAGGGAUGCGACUCCUACACUUUCUUUUGAGCGCAAACUAUGAUCCAGAGGAGUCUACUAGACCCCGUAUUUAGGUAAGUUAUUUCCAAAUCUGAGGGUGAGCUACUUCCAUUGGACUGCCGCAGAUCUUCCUUAUUUUGAUGUAAUUCCCUUCAAACCUUGAGAUUACUUAGUAUUUAUUCAUUUUCUACUCUUAGAAAUUUUUGAUUAAUUGUUUUAGUAUGGUGACUUUUGAAUUCUGGGGAUGUAAUAGUUUAGACUUCUGCUAUUUAUUUGAUUUUUUUUAGACUUAGUAUUAAUUGUUGUACUUGUUAUUUUCUUACUAGAAUUCUUGGAUGUUGGGUAACUUAGGAUGUUAAGCGUUGGUAGCACAUAGGGGGGAUUGGUGUGGUUUCCAGUCAUGAUGCUUUGGGUCAUGACAAGGUUGGUAUCAGAGUUUUAGGUUCGUUGAUCUAAUCGUACUAAGAUAGGUGUAGCGGAGUCUUACUAAAUAGUACAGAGAUGUCUAUACUGCUCUUCGAGAGGCUAUAUGUUGCUAGGAAAACUCACUUUUUAUUUACUUCAUGCUAUUACUUGAUUAUAAUUGUUAUAUGGUGAUCCAAAUUGGUAUCUGACUCAUCACUCUUUUCUCUCACAAAUGGUAAGAACACAUUCGGGUGAGGCAAAAGCCAAGGUUCUUGAGCUAGUUGCCGCUCUGUGACUCACAGUUAAGGAUGGGCGGCCAGAGGUAGGAUGAGAGUAGCAAUCCAAUCGGGACUAGAACUCUAGUUGUUUAACAGGUGAGAGACAGAAGUGAUUCCCCUGCACCUCAAGAGGCUCUAGAGAUUGUGAAAAAGAAGGUAGAUGUACUAGUUCGAGAGGUAAUUGGCAAGUAAUGGGACUAUGCCCACAGUUCCUGCAGUUCCCGCAGACUAGUUUUUGGGAGUUCAGCAUGUUGCAGCUAUGGCUCUGUGGAUGGAUCAAAUUUCUAAUUCAGGUAUGUUUCUGAGGCCUGUGACUGCACCAGUGAUGACUAAAGGAGAGCAUGAUCUAUUAUAGAGGUUCACCAAGGUGAAGCCUCCUAUUUUCUAUUAUACUGAGUCUGAGGACCCUUAUGAGUUUAUCAUUAACUAUCAUGAAAGGUUCCAUAAGAUGUGGGAAGUGGAGAGAUAUGGAGUGGAUUUUGUAAUUUUCCAGCUGAUGGGAAAUGCUAAGUUAUAGUGGCAGGUUUAUGUUGAGUGUGGACCUGUCGGUUCACUUCCUUUGAUGUAGACCUAGUUUCACUACAUCUUUCUAGAGCAGUAUGUUCCUCGUACCUUGUGAGAGAAGAGACAUGAUGAUUUCACCAGUAUAGUGUAGGGGAGUUUUUCAGUCACAGUUUAUCAUGCCCUAUUCCAUUCUUAUCCAAGCAUUCUCUGCAACUACUGCCCACCGAGGAGGAGAGGAUCAGACAGUUUAUUAAAGGUCUGAAUGUGGGACUUAAGCUUGCAAAUCUACGGGGCUUCUCCUAAUUCAAAAAUUCUCUCCCUUUGUGCAAACAUAGCAAUAUUUUCAUAUUGAAUUUGUGUUCUUUGAUUUACGCACUUAUCUCAUAAACUUAAUUUCUUAAAGAAUCCUUCUUGCAUUUUGAAUCUGUUUUACCCCGCCGUCUGAUCAACAACCAUCUCUAGUCAGUUUACUAAUUGAGACUUCCUAAGGACAUGAUUUUUAUAUAGAUGUUUGUAGAUCAUCAAAAUUAGUUUCUGCCUAAAUCAAGACCUUCCAUUUUUUUUCUUUAACGACCUUGCACCAAAAAUACAUGCUAAACAUAUAAGUUGAGCAACAAAACAAUUUUAAAAGGAACUGUUCAAGUGUAAGAAGAACAUCAAAUUUUGUUCACUAUAUUCAUAUCCAAAUCCCAACGGUUGAGUGUCGUGCAAUAAGGACUCAAUCUCCUCUGAAUGUUGAUCAGUUUGAGCCCACGAGUGCUUCAAUUUUGAUCCAGCUUCCAAUUCAUAGUAGGUCGAUCAUCCCCUUAAACAUUUAAGCACCUUUGUGCAAGCACGGCAACAUUUUUCAAUUGCCCUGCAUUUCCCUCAUCACAGACUAUAUUGUCGUCAAGAAUAUCGAACAAAUGACCCUUUUCCACUGAAGAUAUGAAAUAUUGAGCUAGACUUCUCUCUUCUUCUGGUCUUUCAAAACAUAGAGCCUUUCUACCGGUUAGGAGCUCUACAAGCACUACUCCGAAACUGUAUACAUCACUUUUUUCAGUGAGCUGACUUGUUUGCAAGUAUUCAGGAUCUAGAUAUCCUAGAGUUCCUUGAACCAAUGUAGCUAGCUCUGUUUGAUCAGCAGGAACCAACCUGGAUGCUCCAAAAUCAACACUUUGGCUGUGUAGCUUUUGUCUAGAAGAAUGUUGACUGACUUAAUAUCUCUAUGGAUAAUAGGAGGGUAAGCUGCUGAGAGCAAGUAGGAAAGUACUCCAGCAGUUUCUGCAGCAACUUUCAGACGAAUAUCCAAAGAAAGAGUUGACGCCUUUAAUUUAUCAUGCAAGUGUUCAGAAAGUGUUCCAUUGCUGAUAAAUUCAUACACCAAUAGAAAUAAUUAAUGUAAUAACUAUGAAAUUUAUAAUAUUAUCAACUUUCCUUCGUCUAAAAUACUGAAAUAUUAAGAAAUAGUAAAUAAGUAAAACAAAAGAGCAAUGUUUAUAUAGUAAUAACUAUUUUGAAGCAAAACUUCCUGACAAUCUAAAUUACAUAAGUAGCAUUGAUAAAUAAAGUCAUUCUUUUAUCUUGAGCAUAAAAAAAAAAAUCAUGACGAUUCUCUAAAUUUUGGAAAAGGAUAUUCAGAAGCAUAUAUCUACAUCACAAGAGAAAUUGUUAACAAAAACAAAUAAAUUUAGACUACAUCAUGUUAACUUCAUAUAUUGGAACAUUACAUACUAAAGUAUAUAUUAAGCAAAAAAAUAAUUAUUAUAUUAUCAAAAUUAUUUUCCUCAAGUACUUAAAGUUAUGGAAUAUACCCUCUUAUGAUAGAACGAUUUACUUUAUCAGAAGAGUGGUACCUCAUAUUUCGCUAAACUUCGAACUCACUCAACGACAAUAAAUCACACAAAAAUUUUAAAAUGCAAGAAGAAGAAGAGUAGAAGAUUAAAAACUUGUGGUUGAAAAAUGAGAGGAAGCCCUUCUAUUUAUAGUCAACAAAGGGUAGUAUAAACAAGUGUUUUUUUGUGCCUUAUCUAAAAAGUCAUGACCUUUCCGAAAAAUCACAACCCUUUCGAAAAGUCACAACUUAUUGAAAAAGUCACAACUCUUUGGAAAAGUCACAACUCAUCGAAAAAUCACAACCUGGUAGUAUGAACAAGUGUUUUUUUGUGCCUUAUUUGAAAAGGCAUGACCUUUUCGAAAAGUCACAACCCUUUCGAAAAAGUCACAACUUAUUGAAAAAGUCACAACUAAUCGAAAAAUCACAACCCCUUGAAAAAAGUCACAACUUAUCGGAAAAGUCACAACUCAUCAAAACAAAUGUUUUUUGUGCCUUAUCUCAAAAGUCAUGACCUUUCCGAGAAGUCACAACCCUUUGGAAAAGUCACAACUUAUUGAAAAAGUCACAACUAAUCGAAAAAUCACAACCCCUUGAAAAAAGUCACAACUUAUCGGAAAAGUCACAAUUCAUCGAAAAAGUCAAAAUCUAAGUUAGGGAUAUUAUAGUAAUUUAACAUUCAAGUUUAGGAGUUAAUACUUUUAAGAUAAUAUAUAAAUAUAAAUAUAUAUAUAUAUAUAUAUAUAAUAGAAUAGAAUAGAAUAUAGAUAGAUAGAUAGAUAUAGAUGAUAAGUAUUUGUUUUCUAUUCUAUCAUUCAAUUAAUAGAGAAUAUUAUUCAGAAAAUCUUAUGUCUUUCUAGCAUGGUAUCAAGAGCCAUGUUUAAUUUUCUUUCUAGUGCUCUCUGUUUUCUCUACUUAGUUACUUUCAUGCGUUCCUCUUGUCUCUUUGUUUUCUCUACACAGGUAUUUAUACUUUUUUUUUCUUUCUACUAUGUUAUAUUCUGUCUACUCGAUGAAUUCACAAUCAUCCUCGCGCAGUUUUCUCUCCACAAAGUUGGAUUGUUCUAAUUUUUCUGUAUUGAAAUCCACUUUGAAAUCUUUGUUCAAGGAAAGGGCUUUUUUGGGUGAUUAGAUGGUUCUACUCGUCUGCUAAAAGAUGCAAAGGAGUUGGAUACUUGUAAAUUGAAUAAUUUAAAGGUAAUCUCUUGGAUGUUGAAUUCGGUACAUGCUAAUAUCCAUAUGGGACUUUGACCAUUUAAUUUUGCUUCAGAGAUGUGGCUCCACCUGCGUAAUGUCUAUCAACAAAGAAAUCUCAGAUGAGAGUUUGAAGUGGAACGUAGCAUUGCCGAAUACACAUAGGGGGACAAAAAUGUUCGUUGUUUUUACAUUGGCUUGCAGUUGCUCUGGUUAGAAGAAAUUCAAUUUUUUGUGCGAAAUAUAUCUACAACAGGGCUCAAGGAGAUGCUGGCAGAACGACAAAAGACAAGGAUGGUGCAGUUCUUGAUGAAACUUCGGGCUGAAUUCUAGUCGAUUCGUGGCAGUUUGUUGAACAGAGAAGUCACACCUGCUCUUGAUGUUGUAUUGGCAACCAUCUUGCGUGAAGAGACCAGGCUUUGAACUCAGGCUGCCGUGGAAUAUAUGUCAUUACCCGUUGUUGCAUUACUUGCACAAAAAUCAAAUGUCGUUGCUUCAAUAGGAAAUACUAAGAGAAGUGUCCAAUGCUAUGAAUUCCAUGACUUUGGUCAUAUAGCAUUCAAUUGUCCUAAGAAGAAAUUUUUUUGUGCUUAUUGCAAGAUUACUGGCCAUCAUAUUUCAGACUAUCGUCAUCAUCCAAAUAGUUUGCGGCCUGCUCACCAAGCAUACCAGACGAACGUCACUAAACCAUCUGGUUCCUUCCCUGCUGGAGAUGAUCUUGAAAGGCUGAUCUGAGAUUCUAUAGCAGUUUUCCUUCCCAAAGCCAUCUCCAGUGCACUCUCGACAUCCUCAGGUAUAAGUAAUUCAGUUAAAUCAACUUGGCAUCUAGAUUCAGGUGCUUCCAAUCAUAUGAUCAGAGAUUUGUCCUAAUUUUCUACAUUGUAUGAUGAUGUUUCUAAACAUGUUAUUCAUACGACAAACAUGCAUACAUUUCCUGCUUCGACUAUUGGUUCUGUUAGAAAAUUGUCUAAUGUUCUUUAUGUACCAAAUUUAAAGGCUAAUUUGAUUUCGGUAGGUCAACUAGUUGAUCAAAAUUGUGUUGUAAAAUUCUCACUCAAUGUUUGUGUUGUUCAGAAUCUAAAAAUCGGAUGACCAUGGCCAAGGAGCAUAGAGUUGGUAGAAUGUUUCUUCUAGAGUUGGUUCAUCGUCAUUUGCAUCAUUGUUUUCUUUCAGUUUCUGGCGCAGAUGUUACUCGCUUGAAUAAGUUGCUCACUCUUUGGCAUAAUAGGAUGAGUCACCCUCAUUCCUCUAGGAUUCAUCACAUUCUCAAAUCAUGUCUUCCAAAAACAUAUGACAUUCAUUCCAGUCUCCCUUUGGCCUGCUCUAAUUGUGCCGGUUUGAAAAGUCACAAUCCUUUUUUUUCAUUCGGAUCAUCUUCUUAUGAAGAUCUGUUUGAGUUGGUGCAUAGUCAUGUUUGAGGUCCUUCUCCUAUUUUGUCAAGGAUGGGAUAUAAGUACUUUGUGUUAUUAUUGAUCAUGUAUCUAGAUACACAUGGGUGUAUUUUAUUUACAAUAAUUCUGAGGUUUCGACUAUUAUGAAUUUUAUUGAGUAUGUUUAUACACAAUUUCAUAAAACUAUAAAAAUAUUUCAUUCUGAUUCUAGAGGAGAGUACAUUAAAACUAAUCUUGUUGAGUUUUUUUAAAAAAACAAAGCAAUUCUUUCCCAAUGCACUUGUCCUCAUGUUCCGGAACAAAAUGGAGUCGUAGAAAGGAAGAAUCGAUAUGUUUUGGAAACUACAAUGACUUUAUUGGGUACAUCUAAUAUGCCUAAGAGUUUCUGGCCUGAAGUAGUACAUACUUCCGUUUGAUUAAUAGACCACUUUCCCUAGUCAUUGCCACUGAGACACCGUACUUCAAAUUAUUUCAUAAGGAGUCUAAUAUUUCUACUUGCGAGUUUUUGGUUGUGUAUGCUUUGUCCAUCUUCUAGCACAUGAAUGACAAAAGCUUUCAGCAAAUGUAGCACAAUGUAUUUAUAGGCUACAACGACACACGAAAGGGGUAUUCUUUUAUGAUGCAUCUCGUCGUCAGGUUCGUGUAUCUAGGGUCAAUUUUCUUACAAACACAAUUCUAAACAUGCUUCAGAAUCUGUUUGUUUUUUGUACAAGUUUGAUGAUGAUGUGGUAGCUACUGAUCCUCCGGAGCAGCCGAUGAACUAUGUUCACUAUGAUCUCCAGCCCUCCUUUCCUUCAGAUAUUGACUCUACAUCCUCAUCCUCAUCUUCAGAAGAGGAAUCAUCUCAUUCAGUUACUCCCCCACGCCGUUCUAGUAGGCAGAUCACCAUGCUCUUGAACGACUCGAUUACUCUCCGAGGAAAUUUGGUAAGUCUUAUGCCAUGCAUACCACACUUCAUUUUGUUGAUGUACCUACAUCUUACCCUCAGGCUUCUACAUAAACUUGUUGGAAAGAGGCAAUGUCGGCAGAGCUUCAUGUAUUGAAUGAAAAUUCUACUUGGGACCUUAUUGAUAAACCAACAUAUGGAGUUCCCAUUGGAACUAAGUGGGUGUAUUCCAUUAAACUUAAGGCAGAUGGUACAAUUGAUCGCUACGAAGCUCGAUUGGUUGCUCAAGGGUACAAACAUGAGUAUAGGGUGGAUUAUGAGGAGACUUUUGCACCAGUUGCUAAGAUGACAACCGUACAAACACUAUUGGUUGUGACUUCAAUGAGAGGCUGGACCUUAUGUUGACACCCAAUUUUGGACCUCCACAAUAAAAAUUAAUCAUCUCGAGUUUCUUCAAUUUUAAACGAUUUAAAAUAAUUAGUUUUAUAAAAUUUCAAAAAAAUAAAUGAUAAUAAUAAUAAUAAUAAUAAUAAUAAUAGUAAUAAUAAUAAUAUAGUUUGCAAGAUUUUUAAAUAGUUUGUCACUUUUCAUAAAUUUUAGAUGAUAUAUAUGUUUUACAUAAUUAUGUAUAUAAUUAGUAUAUUUUAUGAUUAUUCGAAAUAUCGUCUAAAAGAAAAAAAGAUUUUUUAUAUUUUAAAUAUUAGGGAUGGUUAUAAUUUUGAGUUAAUGAGUAUCAUGAAAUUCAAAAUACUUUCAAGUUAUUUUUAAAGUAAUUUUAUCACUUUUUAAUAAUAAGUAUGUAUAGUUUUGCAAUCACGCUAUUUUAUAAAUAUUUAAAAAUUAUCACAAAAGAUUUUACAUUUUAGUUAAAUAUUUUAUCAAUUUGCUUUAAGUUAUAGCUAUAAUUUCGAGUUAAUUAGUUUUGUAAUUGAAUUAAUNNNNNNNNNNNNNNNNNNNNNNNNNNNNNNNNNNNNNNNNNNNNNNNNNNNNNNNNNNNNNNNNNNNNNNNNNNNNNNNNNNNNNNNNNNNNNNNNNNNNNNNNNNNNNNNNNNNNNNNNNNNNNNNNNNNNNNNNNNNNNNNNNNNNNNNNNNNNNNNNNNNNNNNNNNNNNNNNNNNNNNNNNNNNNNNNNNNNNNNNNNNNNNNNNNNNNNNNNNNNNNNNNNNNNNNNNNNNNNNNNNNNNNNNNNNNNNNNNNNNNNNNNNNNNNNNNNNNNNNNNNNNNNNNNNNNNNNNNNNNNNNNNNNNNNNNNNNNNNNNNNNNNNNNNNNNNNNNNNNNNNNNNNNNNNNNNNNNNNNNNNNNNNNNNNNNNNNNNNNNNNNNGAAAAUUGGUACAAUGGAAAAUUUAUUUCUUAUCUCUUCAAGAUUUUGAUUUUUCAAAUUGGAUUCGGAUCCAUCUUUUCAACCCGAUUUCCCCUCUAAAUCGACCUCAAAUCCCCCUAUAUAUAAACCCCCACUGCCUUCAUUCUAUAAGGGGGGUUAGGAGAAAAUUUUAGAAGAGCUAUAGAGUUGGCCAGAAUUUACUCACGAAAUAUAGGUUAUAAAGGUCUGGGAAUAGUCAAUUUUACAUUUUGAAAAGUUCUUGGAAGACUCUAGUUUAAGAGUUUAGGAAAGUUUAUUAUUCGGGUUUCAUUUGGAUUCUCUUGGUGUGUUGUUCGAGCUUUGAAUCCGUGUGUUGGAAAAUUUGAAACCAAGCUCCCAUCUGUCCCGGAACGCUGCUCCGAAGAAGGUAAUUCUGCCUCUUCUUACAUUUUAUUUCGGUAUGAUGUGUUGUAUGUCCAAGCUUUUACUACAGGUCCUACUAUUAAGUGUGUUUGGUUCCUCGUCUUGUUGGUUUCUUUACUGUCGUUCUUAUGAAUUUCUCGGCACAUGACUCAAGUUUUGAUAAAGUUUCUUUGGUAGUAAGAUGCUAGUCGUUAGAUUCGCUGGUUCAAUGGGGUAUCAAAAUGAUGUACUGUUCGAUUGGUUUCGACUUUGAAUAUGCUAUAUGUAUAAGUUUGAUUGGUUAUCCUCUCUAUCGUUUUAUUCAUUAUGAUAGACUCUCAUUUUAUAUUAGCUCAAUCUCAUGCUAUAAUUAAAUAAAAAUCUCUGCUUUUACAUACUUGAGUGCUGUCCAUGUCUUGUUAUUGUUUUGUUUCUUCUGGUCUCAAGGCAUGGUGUCAUUAUAACUCGCUUGUUUCCAUGAUCCACAACCUCGAUGCUAAAACCUCUCAUCCUUUCCAUGAAAAACAUUGUUUCCUGACCAUGUGAGUGUAUUAGGCAUCUACAUUCUAUUUUAUUAUGUUAAAUGAAGUUUAUCUCCAUGAUAAGUAUCGACUAUUUGUACGAUAUGAUUAACGAGCUCAAUAGUCGAAGUGUAAGGUUGACCUCCUUGGCUUUCUCUGUUAAGUAUUUUACUUCAAGAUUGUUGAUAAUUUCAUUAUUGUGCAACGGUAGAUGAUUUCUAGCAUUUAAAGUUGUCCAGCUUCAAUUUUGUGUAGCAUUAAUCAUGUUUGAGAGUCUGAGUAAGUGCUCUAAAUUUGUUUGUUUGUUUAUUAGUAUCUAAUGUAGUCCUUAUAUUUUGCUAAAAAAGAAAUAAUAAAAAAAUCAAUAAAUAAAUAUGCUUUACUUUUCACAUGUUGCCAGUUGUUGAUGUUGAUUGUUUAUGAUAUGAAUAAUCACGGUUCCCUUUCAAUUAUCUCUUUUAAAUUAUUUACUUUCCGAAUUGAUAUCCUUCGUUUCUUGUCGGUGGGUGAUACUUGAACCUAAUGUGUAUGAGUACGGUUGCCUCACAUUACUCGAAUGAAGCUUUAAAUUUGUAUGUCUGUGAGUUCAUUAGCUACUAACGUAUAAAGAUAGAUAUCACUAGAGUUUCCCUUUUAGUGUUGGCUUAUAGCAAUAUUUGUUGUUCAAAUGCACUUGUAAACUUGUCCUUAGUUGCUAAUAAUUUGUUCGUUGAUACUAGUUUGCAUAAUGUGGUCACUGCCACAUAGAACUUAUUCACUGAUUUAGUUGUAUUCUUCCAUUUCAGCUCUCUUUUGAGUUAUUUGUAUUGUAUAAGUAGUCUUUCAUUAUCUUUAAAUAGGCCUUAUCUACAUACACAUCCUCCUUGCCUUAUGUAGUUGUGAUUAGUAAUCAAUUUGUUUAGUUCACUAUUUAUCUUGUUUCAUCUCUUUAGUAGAUAUUAUGUAUAUUUUGUUUAGUUAGGAAACUUUCUCUAAUGGCUUGUCCCAUUCUUAAUUAGUUUCCACAAUUAGCUCUCAUUUUUUAAUACAAUAUCACCAUCCUUUUGUCUAGAAAUAUAAUGUUAUUAAUUAGGUUCUCAUCUCUUAAAAAAUUUAUGUGUCUACCUUCGUCUAGAGUUAAUUACUUGAUCAUAUAUUUGAUGGAAGUUUUACCUUUUCUUUUUUUUCUAAUUCUUCUCCUCCUCUUUGUGUGCAUGUAAACCCCUUCCGAGUCCAUGGUGGACUUCUCCUCCUAGCAUUCUCGAGUUGAGCCAUAAAGGCUUAAUUAAAAAAAUUUCUCAUCAUUCGAGUCAGCUGGGCACAUAAAACAGAAGCACAGGGCUGGAAACCCAGAGACAAGCCUCCAAAAGUCCUAAGAUGGACUAUAUACAUUCAUUAUACACUGUAUACAUUCAGUAUACAUCAAUAUACAGGUCAAAAACGCAGGGAUACAGGGCUGAUGCGAAAUACAUGUGUUUGGAAGCAAGAUAUACAUGAAAAGGGCUGAUAUACAUGUCGAUAUACACUGAUAUACAUCAAGUGUAUACAAAAACGGGAUUGAGUAAAAUCCCCAGAAAUUGCAGCAAAAUUGGCCCAAAAAGGAGGCCCAAAUUCAAUUUCUAACUUAUUUAAUUGUGUGAUUAUUUAUUUAUUUCUUUUCUUUUAAAUUGCGACUUAAUUUAAUUAAAUUCCCCAAAAGAUAAACCAUGUUCUUUAUGUUAGUUUCUUUAAAAAUAAUUUGUUUUUUAUCAACUCUUAUGCUUAUUCAAAUAUUUUUAGUCAAAACUUUCACUCAUCUUUAAUUAGAUUAAAAUAAUGUCUUGGUUUGUCUACCGAGUUGGUUCGAAUUAUUUGUAACAUCCGGCAAUACGAAAUAAUUGAAGAGNNNNNNNNNNNNNNNNNNNNNNNNNNNNNNNNNNNNNNNNNNNNNNNNNNNNNNNNNNNNNNNNNNNNNNNNNNNNNNNNNNNNNNNNNNNNNNNNNNNNCCCGCCCAGGGUGUAGGCUCGGGGCGUGACAUUAUUAUUUCUAAAAAAUGACGCAAAUAAAUCUUAAUUAAUCUAGUUUUGUUAAAGUCCUAAUUGACCAAGUUGUUUCAAUUAAGAUCCAAUUUUCCAAAAUUAAAAAUUAUUCUUUAUUUAACUAUUUUUAUCAAAGUUAAUCGAAUAUCGUAAAAUAUUAUAUAUUUUAUGUUAAAUUAUUUUCCUAAAUAUUUUUUAAAGAUAUGUUCUUUAAGGGUUUUCUUCAUUUAAAUCAUUUUUUUUUACUCAUUUCAAAAUUGUUCUAAGUUGAAGUAUUUUUUUUAUUCUUUUUAUUUUUAAUAAACUUUAAAAAUGUGUUAGUCAAAAUCUUUUCAAUUGAUUAAUAAUAAUAAAUAAUAAAAAAUAUAUAUAUAUAUACUUAAGUCAUUUUCUCAAAAAAAAAAAAAAAAAAAAAGGUUAAUCAAUAAAAAAGAAAUGGUUUUCAUGUUUUAAUUUAUCAAAUUGGUCUAAAAAUGAAUAAAAUAAAUUCUAAUUAAUCUAGUUUCAUUAAUAUACCAAUCACUUGUAUUUCGAGUCGAAUGUAUCAUUUUGGAUCCCUUCCUCUAAAAAAUAAAGAUGAAAUAAAAUGCGUCAUUUAUUUAAUUAUUUUCUUAAUCAAAUAUGUUAUAAGUUAUUAUUUUUUUAUGUUAAAUUAUUUUAUUUUUUCUAAAAAUAGUCAAAUAUAUUUUAGUCCAGUCGCAAGUCAACCGCAUGUUAGCGGACACUUCGAAAUGCUUAAACCCUUCUCGAAGUGUAAAUUGAACCCCGAACCCUCUUUGGUAUUUUCAAAUGAUUUUUCUGUUUAAAUCUUUGAAAAUUAUAAGUUUUCUUAAUUUCUUUAAAAAAUUAAGUGGCGAUUCUUUUCUAAGUAUUUUUCUCAAAUUGUUUUAUACUUAGAACAUUUCAAAAAGUGAUUUUUCUAAAGGUUAGUAAAAUUACGACACAACACCUUAAAUCAGAUGAACGUGAAAAACGCAUUUCUUCACAGCGACCUGGAAGAAGUUGUGUUUAUGAAACCACCACCUGGGUGUGUUCUGCCAAGACCAAAAUACUUGGUCAAUCAAUUAGUAAUAGUAAAUUCUAAUUAACUGUAAAUAACAGGUCUCUGCUUGUGAGUUAGUAUAUUACUUGGAGAAAACAUAGGGUUGGCUUGCAUAUGCGUUUGGAAGUAAUAAGUCGUUUGCAUCAUCGUCAGUGACUUAAAAUUAACUAUUAUUUUAUUUAUUAUUCAAAUAUUAAUGUUUUGAUCUUAGCUGUUGUUAACACUGUGUAAUGCAAAGGCCUCCUAACUGCAGAGAUGGAAUAAGCUCAGCGGAAUGUCAAUGGGUAAACCUCAAAUUUUCCUAGUAUGUGUGGACCUUGCACCAAAUAUAGUUGAGCAACAAAACAAUUUUUAAAAGGAACUGUUCAAGUAUAAGAAAGACAUCAAAAUGUUUCGACUAUUAGUGGGAUACAUAAAUAAGUACACUUGACAUUAAAUUUAUUAUCUCUGGACAAAUAAAAGAGAAAAGAGAAAUUCAUGUUGAAGUCGUGGCCGUUCUGAGUUUGUAUUGCUAGCAAAAUCAUUGAUCACCUUCCUCCAGGAAAUGGUAUAGUUACAUGGCUCGUUAUACUAUCAACAUGGAUACUAUGUUCACUAUAUUCAUAUCCAAAUCCAGGCAGUAGGGACUCAAUCUCCUCUGACUGUUGAUCAGUUUGAGCCCAUGAGUGCUUCAAUUUCGAUCCAGCUUCCAAUUCUGCUGCAAGUUCCUUCAUUGUAGGUCGAUCAUCCCCUUUAACAUUUAAGCACCUUUGUGCAAUCACAGCAACAUUUUUCAAUUGCCCUGCAUUUCCCUCAUCACAGACUAUAUUGUCGUCUAGAAUAUCAAACAAAUGACCCUUUUCCACUGAAGAUAAGAAAUAUUGAGCUAAACUUCUCUCUUCUUCUGGUCUUUGAAAACAUAGAGCCUUUCUACUGGUUAGGAGCUCUACAAGCACUACUCCGAAACUGUAUACAUCACUUUUUUCGUUGAGUUGACUUGUUUGCAAGUAUUCAGGAUCUAAAUAUCGUAGAGUUCCUUGAACCAAUGUAGAUAGCUCUGUUUGAUCAGCAGGAACCAACCUGGAUGCUCUAAAAUCAGACACUUUGGCUGUGUAGCUUUUGUCUAGAAGAAUGUUGACUGACUUAAUAUCUCUAUGAAUGAUAGGAGGGUAAGCUGCUGAGUGUAAGUAGGAAAGUACUCCAGCAGUUUCUGCAGCAACUCUAAGACGAAUAUCCAAAGAAAGUGUUCCAUUGCUGAUAAAUUCAUAUACCAGUAGUGGAACUUCCGUCUCAAGGCAACAACCUAAGAGCUUAACCACAUUUCUAUGGUUGAUUUGUGAAAGGACAAGGACUUCAUUUAUGAAUUGUUCAAUUUGAUUGCGAUCAAUUACCUUAGAAUUUUUUAUGGCAACGAUGCAAUUAUCUUUGAGAUAUCCUUUGUACACAGUUCCAUAACCUCCUUGACCAACAACUCUAUCUUUGUCAAAGUCAUUAGUUGCCCUUUGUGAAAAUGUUUACUGUAUUGGUAUUACUUGAUCCCUCUUCCCCUACUUUGAGUCGUUGCAAUAGAACUAAUCCACCAUUUUCUUGGAAAAGCUUCUUCUUCAUCAUUAACAUUUUUCUCCUUUGGAAUGCAGUAUAUGACCAGCCAAAUAUUAUAAAAACCAUUAAAGCAACCCCUACUGUAACACCUGUAAUAAAAAUAUAUUACUAACAUAUAUAGAUGUACCCAAUAAAGCCAUUGUAUUAGCCAUUUAGGCUGAUGUAUGUAGUUCAUGAAAAUAAAAUCGUUGCCCAUAUUAAUCUCCACACUUCCACAAUCUGUGGUCUUCUUUUUCCGUUCAGUUGUGAAAGAAAUAAUUAAACAAGUAGUAAUAUUUGACGGAAUUAACCUCUUGCCUGCAGAAUUCCAAACAAGUUGAGAAAGGUACCUAUAACAAGAUAAAUAUUCUGAAUUUUUCUCUGAGGAUUGUCACGAUUGCAUUCAGUAUAACCAUCGCCACUGAAAUCUGGAUGGCAUGUGCAUGUAUAACUCCCAUCUGUAUUGUUGCAAAUGGCAUUUUUGACACACCUAUAAUCUGGUUUCCGAUUUACACAUUCAUUGAUAUCUGCAGACUCAUAGAGCACAACCGUAAACAUUCAUUUGCAAAAUGAUAGAUUUGAUAUAAAAUCAUAUUAGGAGACUCACAAACAUAUACAUACCUUGACAACCAUCUAUCAGGUAUGGAUUCCCAUCAUAUCCUUGCAUACAGGAACAUCGAUAUCCAUUUGAAUUAUCCUGACAAUCACUGUUUUUACUCUUACAUCCAUAUGUAGUCGAAUUUCUCUUAGCUAUUUCACAUGUUUCUUCACCAAUUGCCCAAUCUAGUACGAGAGGAAACUUCUCUUCUUUCUGCAAACUGCUGAGGUAAGUCUUAGAAAAGCUAAAAUUAGCUUGAUCGACCACAAAAGCAUAGAUGCAACUAAGGUCAUCUUUCAUAUCAGUAUCAUUAUAAUUAUAAUAGCUGCUUAGUGUUAUGGUGACAUUCCAUGCUCCCUUAGGGAUGGAUGUCUUGCAACAACCGACCCCAGAACAUGUGUCAUGAACAACAUCAUCAAUACUAUUGCACAUGGACAUGCAUCCUGUUAUGUAGGGGAGAUACUCGAUUUUAGUUCCAAACUUGGUAUAAUAACCCUGAACAAUUGCAUACGUGUCACAACCGAACGACAUUCAUUGACUACCAAGUCGGACACUCCCAUCACAAAUUUAUUCAUUCUAGACCUCGAGUCCGCCACUAUGGUUGGAACAUACUUGGAUAGUUGGGUGAACUUUAAAGCAUACUCUUUCACACUCAUACCCCAUUGACGAAGGUUUAUGAACUCUUGCAUUUUUCGUUCCCUCAACUCUAGGGGAAUGAAUCUAUCAAGAGACUCCGAUUUAAACGAUUCCUAUCCUAUCGGGCCCGCUCCUAUGGGUCCCUCACCUUUCCAUUGUUCAUAUCAAACUUGAGCCACAUCUUUUAGUUGGUAGGCAGCUAGCUCUGCCUUCUCCUCUGAAGACACCCUCAUAGCAUCAAGCACCUUACAAACCUCAUCAAUAAACCUUUGGGGAUCCUCUUCCACUUUGGAACCAAGAAACUCGGAAGGGUUCAUCCUUGCAAAAUCCCUCAAUCUAGAAGCCAAGGAAUUCAUAUUAGGGUUCACACGAGUCCCAACAUCUCUAUUGGCUUGGGCGGUCAUGGCUUGGGCAUGAGUUGUCAAGGCUUGAGCUUGAGCCGUCAUAGCUUGGGUCAACAUUAGAAAAGUCGACCUAACCUCCACAUCUGUCAUAGCCGGAGGAUUAAUCAGUGCUUGAUCAGCUUGAGGAGCUUCCUCAUUCACAUUGUCACCCUCCAUUCUUCUUGCAUUAGCCCUUCGUGUAUUCAUUUCCUGAAGACACAAGAGAAGGAUUAGGAGAGGGACUUUUAUAGAGUUAAACUCUAAGGUACGAGUACAACUUAAGAGUAAUGAAAGAAGUGUAGUUUCCUAAACAUCUUAUAGCCUCUCACUCAUAAAUGUGGCACGCUUCACACUCAUGAACAAGACUCUACUAGAGGUGGCUUAUGAGACAUCAUCCUAGAAUCAUUCUAAAUAUUUUGCUCUGAUAACCAAGUUUGUAACGACCCAAGGGUACCCCCUAGACGUAACAAGGCACAUAGAACCCCGAAAGGAACCAUGUAAGACACUUAGCAUAUCAUAACAUAAGUAAAGAACAAUAAAGAGUAAAACACAUUUUCAAGUCUUAAGAAGUUUUCAUAAAACAAAGCGGAAGUCUAGACUUGUCUCAAUUAGCCAUCUAUUACAAUUGAAGUAUCAAAUAGGGUCAUAGCCCUUACAAUAAAAUCUUAAAGUCUAGUACAAUGAAAGAAAGGAACUACAAGACAUCACUCGUCCUCGGAUCCAUGAGGACUCACCACAAGCUAGGAGAAUAGUCGAUCCAAGCUUGUAUCGAAGGAAGAUCACCUCAAACACUAGAACCUACACUUUGUGGAAAAUGUAGAAAAGAAAUAUGGGUUAGUACAAAAAUGCACUUAGUAUGAUAGUCAUGCAUAAAAUCCUUGAAACAUGCAAAAAGGGACAUUUUAAUUAAAUGCAUGCAAUUUGUAAGUUAAAACCUCAUUUUUAAGACAAUGGAAGAGCAUAACUCAUAAGCAUGUUCAUUACAUAAAUACUCACAUCAUAAGAAGACCAUACCAUUUGUACCCUCAAAGCAUACAUGUGCAAUGCAUAAAUAAGAUCCCAUAAUCCUACCCAAUGCUAAGUAAAGUUUAUUGAGUAACCAUCAUUCAUAUUUCAUGUUCUUGUUCAUAGUUAAUCAUAGUGGGAAUACGCCUUAACCGACAUAGGCCAUGUGAGCUAAAAUGGAAUCUGGUGUCAUGCCCCACACCGAAAAAAGGUGUCCUACUUGUCUAAGGUAGAACUAACAUGUGUUAGCUUUUAGAUGGAUCCACUAGCUAAAGACCUAUGGGGGCACAUAGUUUAUGGGAUAAGGAGUUGCUACUAGAAACCCGGACUCAUUGAGGUAGAAGGUUUCCAUCUCAUUAGAUACAUAUGUUAGGAACCCGGACUCACUGAGGCAGAAGGAACCCAUUUAAAAAGCCGGACUCACUGAGCUAGAAGCUUUCAUCUCAUAUUCAAUAUCCACUCGAUGCUAAGCAUGAUUCCCAUUAAGUUCAUAUUAAGUUUUGACUUAAGUUCAUGUUUACGGAAGAAUGUCUUAACACUCAAUCCAAUAUAUAUAAUUCAUAAGAUAGCUUGUAGAUUCAAUAGGUGAGAAUGGCCUUUCAACCUUAGAAUCAUCAUAUUGUGAGAAAACCUUUCAUAUCAUGUCCAUUAUGUGUUUAUGAGAAUGACCUUUCAAUCAACACACAAUUAGACUAUAAUCAUGUUCAUAAAGAAUAUACAAUAAGUCCACAAUCAUGUAUAAUUCUCAUCGUUCACCCCUCUUAGGUCAAGGAUCACAUUACAUCCAACACAUCUAGAUUUACUACGCUAGAUAUGGAUAAUAACAUGAUUCAAUUUACUAAAUUACUAUAAGUAUAAUCUCAUAAUAUUCUCCCUUCAUCAAGUCACCCACAUCACAAAGGUAUAAAUUGGGAAAUAGGGGGUUUCAUGGGUUCUUGGGGGAAUUCAUCAUAAAUCAACAAUAAAUCAUCAAUUCAAUCAUAAUCCAUCAUAAAUCAACCAUUAAAAACGUUUUUGGAAAGAACCCAUAAGAUUGAAGUCAAACCCUAACUUUUGGGGAAAUCAAUAGUUUAGAAAUUGAGUUUGAAAGGGCUCCAUGGAUGAAAACUAUCCAUGGAUCAAGGACUGCCAUACCUUAGGUGGAGAAUUACCACGAAUUUGAGGAGAAAAGAUGGAUCCUUCAACCCUAGUUUCACCCUUCUUCUUCUUCUUUGGAGUUCGAGAGAGAAUAUUUUGGAGAGGGUUUUGGUUUUGAUUUAGGAAGUUGGUAGUUAUGAUUUAAGAAGACUUAGUUUAGGGACUUAAAACCUUAUAUAGUUAGCUUAAUUAAGUGUAAAACGACGUCACUUAACAUUAACUUAAAAAGGAAAACCCUAAACUACCCCUCCACUAAUCCCGAAACCGACCUUCAGGCAUGACCCACGACCCCCCCCCAACCUACGGACCGUGGCAGGACCCACGGCCCGUGCUGGUGAAGCAUCGGUCAGGGUUCUGCAACCUGUUUUGGAGGGCUUGGUCUAUGGAUACCUACCCACGGAGCGUGGGUUGACCCACGAGGCGUGAAUGCCCUCCGUGGGUCACUGCCAGGUAGUCCUUUAGGGGCUUUUCCUCAAGGAGCCAUGGUUGGUCCUUAGGUUUUAAGCCUUGACGUUCUAACAUGAAAACAUGAAUUUUAAGGUACGGGGAGGUACAUCUGCGACUCUAAACCCUAACGUCAAGCUCUAAUUUAGUCUACUAAUUUCCGAAGUGUUACAUAUAUAUAUAUAUAUAUAUAUAUAUAUAUUAUAGUGUAAUUAUUUAGUGAGGUAUGAAUGUAAAGGGAUAUGUGUUUGUAAUUAUUUUUCUUUUAUGGGUGUUUGUUUAGUUUCUCCAUACAUAAAUAAAUACACUUGACAUUAAUUUGUUACUCAAAUUUAUUAUGUCUGGACAAAUAAAAGAGAUGCAACUAAUUAAACUUAGUUCCUAUUUCUAAUAUGCCUAAGAAAAAAAGAAAUUCAUGUUGAAGUUGUUGCCGUUUUGAGCUCAUGCUUCUGAGACAAAUUAACAUGCAUGAUAGAUCACCUUCCUCCACGAAAUGGUAAAUGUUAUAUUCUAGGUUUUUUUUAUGAUCCUCACAAAUACAAGGACCCGGUCCCUGGCAGAGUGCUCUCGUCCAGAUUCAAAAUAGGGUAUAGUUGUAAAGCUGUCAUGUCAGGUUGGUUGGUGAAAAGUGCAGUGUACUUCACCAAUAGGAAGGGCGGACGAGGUUGUUUGUUUCAGUGGUCAAAACUCUUGUUGGUGACUGAUUUAUACAACAAUAAACAAACAACAUUAUUCAUUCAAUAAAGAGAGAGAGCUAGCAAGUCUUUUCAAGAACUUACAAAGAAAACACUGCAAGGGACCUGGUCCCGAAAAGACUGCAUAUGUGAAAAAGUCAAAUGACAGCUGUCUAAAAGCUGUCACAUCUGACAUGGUUGGUGCACAACUUUUCAAAAUAGCAGACUCUCAGCUAAUGGUGUCGUCCCAUAGAGUUUGUGUCUAUUUGAUAUAGUCUCUUCUCACAAAACACAAACUUAAGAUUUGGCAAACGAAAAUUCAUAAGCUUACAAAGAGAGGGCCAUCUUCAAGGAAGAACUCAAGCACAACAUAACACAUACAUCAAGGGACCUGAUAGACCAAAGAAGAGCAAUCUUUAUCUGUUGGUGUUGUUGAAUGCUUGUAAUGUGCUAAACUUGUAGGAUUCGUUUCACUCUUUUAAGAAACGUUUCAAACCUUUGUGUGAGUUAGUGUAAGAGCAUUGUUAGAGUUAACUUUGAUUCUUACGGUUUGAAGUCUAUAUUAAUUAGUGAUAGUUAAUAUAGUGGGCAAUAAAUGCAUUGUUUUGACUCAGUAAGUAAUAGGUGUAUUACUUAGUGUGAGAUUAAGAGUUUAGUCUCAUUGGUGUAGUUGAAAACUGUAUUCAGUUUUACUUGGAGAUUAGUGAAUGCAGUUGAAAAUCCUGUGUGACAGGUCGUGGUUUUACUCCUUUGAGCAAUGAAAUUUCCACAUAAAACUCUUGUACCUGAUUUACAUUGUGCUAUUUAUUUUCCGCAUUUUUAUUCUGUCGGGGGACCUGAUCCUGUGAUCACUAAGUGGACGCGUACAUUCCAUCAAUUGGUAUCAGAGCUUGGGCUCUCUAUCUAGUUAACACCAAGAAAGAGAUUCCUGCGAAGAAUGGCGAACCACUGAACUUGCAAAAAGGUCUGUCUCAUACAAGGCCACCUCUUCUUGAUGGUUAAUUCUAUAGAUGGUGGAAUAUUCGAAUGAGGGACUAUCUCAUGGCUGAGGACAUUCAAGUGUGGAAUAUUAUUUUUGAAGGUCCUUAUGUGCCAAUUAUGGAAGUAAAAGAUGGAGAUGUCACAAGAGUCAUUCCCAAAACUCGACAACAAUAUAAUGACUCCGAUAGAAGAAUGGUUGAGAAAAAUCACAAAGCCUGGAAGCUAUUGAUGUAUGGCAUUGGAGUAAAUGAAUAUGAUAUGAUUUCAUCUUGUGAAUCAGCCAAGGAAAUUUGGGAUCGGUUGAGAACAACGUAUGAGGGCACUGAGGAAACAAAGAAAUCUAAGCUAGAUCUCUUUACUACUCAGUUAGAAAGUUUCACCAUAAAAGAAGGUGAAUCUAUUCAUGAAAUGUGUACUAGAUUCUCCACCAUUACAAAUGAGCUUAUGUUCCUGGAAGAACCUAGCAGGUCUCUAAGAUACUGGAAAUUCUUCCUAGAUCUUGGACAAAUGAAUUUGUGGUUGAUGAUGAGACAAGGGAUCCUGAAGUAGAGAUGUUGGAUGCACUGUUUGAACAUCUUCAAGUUUAUUAGAUGCACAGAAAAAGGGAUGGUCUCUUUCUCAAAGGCAAAGACAGAAGGUCAGAUUCGAUUAAUGAGGCUAAUCAGAAGAAAGAUAAAAAAAAAGGGACAAAUCACGGGCUCUCAAGGUGUCACAAAGUGAAACCCCUGAAAUAAAUGAGAACAUGGGCUAUUUCACUCAAAGAUUUCAAAAAAUCGUGAGAGAACGUGGAGGUUUCAUGAAAGAAAAUCUUGACAGGGCUACAAGCUCAAAUGACUUGUGUUACAGGUGUGAUAAACCAGGUCACUUCAUUAGAGACUGCCCUAUGCACAAAGUUGACCACAGGGUAUAUGUCAAGUCUAAGUCUGGAGAAGGCAAAGACAAAAAGGGGGACCAGGUCCGUGACAAGUCAAGCAGAAGAGAAACUACUGAUCAUGUGGUGAAGAAGGAUCUGACUGCCAAAAUAAAUAUUCUGAGUUAUUCUCUGAGAAUUGUCACGAUUACAUACAGUACCAUUACCACUGAAAUGUGGAGGGCAUGUACAUGUAUAGUUCCCUUGUGUAUUCUGGCAAACGGCAUCUUCCGCACAUCUAUAAUCUGGUUUCUGAUCCAUACAUUCGUUGAUAUCUUCAGACUCAUAGAGCACAAACGUGUUUAGUACAGUAAACUCUCUUAAGAUGUGAUGGUUGGGGGUGGGGUGGGGGAGAGGUAGUUCAAAAGGAUAACUAAGACUGUUGAUAGUUAAGGGGAAUGCGAUGAAAGCAGGACAAAUUUAGAGGGUGUUGAGAUAUUCUACCCAAGCUCUAAAAGUAAACUGAAGUAAUAUGAGAGUGAUCAUGUAUGCAUGCAUACCUUGGCAGACAUCAGGUAUGGAUUUACAUCAUAUCCUUGCAUGCAGAAACAUCGAUAUCCGUUUGAAUCCUCAUCACAAUAGUUGUUGUUACUCUUACAUCCAUAUGUAGUCGAGUUUGUCUGAGCUAUUUCACAUGUUUCUUCACCAAUUACCCAAUCUAGCACAAGAGGAAGCUUCGUAAUGUUCUGCAAAUUUUCCAAGUUUUUCUUAGAAAAAUUAGCAUAAGGGCUAGUAUUUUCGACCACAUAAGCAUAGCUGCAACAAGUGUUCUCAUCUUUCUCAUAAGUAUGAUUAAAAUAGCUGCUUAGUUUUAUAGUGAACUUCUUUGCUCCAUUAGGGAUGGGUGUCUUUCAACAACCGACCCUGGAACAUGUGCCAUUAUCAGCAUCAUCAAUACUAUUGCACAUGGACAUGCAUCCUGUUAUGAAGGAGUAUUCGUUAGUUGUUGUAUUCUCAAACUUUGAAUAAUUACCAUAAGCUAUGGCUGAUGUGUCACAGCCAAUUGCGAUGAACAUAUUCGCUGUGUGGCUCACAGUUAACAACGAUGGUAAUUUUAUUUUUGGCGUGUUAUUCUCUGUGUUUAUCCUGUUGGAAAUGUAACAAUCUCUGGAUAUGUACUUUAAGAUGUUAAGUUGCCCAGCGAGAGAUAUGUUUGUAAUUUCAAUACUGUUGUUUCCUAAAAAAGGCUGGGGAGUCGGAAAGGAGUAAUCACAAGUGACAAGGAACUGAUCACGUAGAGUGCAAUCUCGGGACAUACCAAUUACCAAAUGGGAAAGGGAUGUUGACAUUGCCACAACUUUCAUUGCAGUUAGAUUUGGCUAUGAGAUUGUUUGUGCUGUCAUUCUCAUGCUUAGUAUUUGUUGGAAUAUUAUGCAGGGUUUAAACAAGAAAAGUUCAGACAGUAUUAGGGUGGUUUAGUAGUUGGUUAGAGUUAUACACAUAUUACUAUUGAAAGAAUUAGCUAUGAAUGAAUCCAUGUAUUGUUUUUUUUUUUCCAAUUAUUAGUUAUUUCACAUUCUAUCCUGCAUAAAAUAAUACAUAGAUUCUCUCAAAAUGUGUUGAUUUUUACUCGGAUACAUAAUAAAUAACUACACUUGACAUUAAUUUGUUACUCAAAUUUAUUAUGUCUGGACAAAUAAAAGAGAUGCAACUUAUCAAACUUAGUUCAUAUUUCUAACAUGCCCAAGAGAAAAAAGAAAUUCAUGUUGAAGCCGUGGCCGUUUUGAGCUCGUGCUUCUGAGCAAAAUUAACAUGCAUGAUUGAUCACCUUCCUCCAGGAAAUGGUAAAGUUACAUGGCUCGUUACACUAUCAAUAUGGAUACUGUGUUCACAAUAUUCAUAUCCAAAUCCAGGCAGUAAGGACUUAAUCUCCUCGGACUGCUGAUCAGUUUGAGCCCACGAGUGCUUCAAUUUUGAUCCAGCUUCCAAUUCUGCUGCAACUUCCUUCAUAGUAGGUCGAUCAUCCCCUUUAAGAAUUAAGCACCUUUGGGCAAGCACAGCAACAUUUUUCAAUUGCCCUGCAUUUACCUCAUCACAGACUAUGUUGCUGUCUAGAAUAUCGAACAAAUGACCCUUUUCCACUGAAGAUAUGAAAUAUUGAGCUAGACAUCUCUCUUCUUCUGGUCUUUCAAAACAUAAAGCCUUUCUACCGGUUAGGAGCUCUAUAAGCACUACUCCGAAACUGUAUACAUCACUUUUUUCAUUAAGUUGAUUUGUUUGCAAGUAUUCAGGAUCUAGAUAUCCUAGAGUUCCUUGAACCAAUGUAGAUAACUCUGUUUGAUCAGCAGGAACCAACCUGGAUGCUCCAAAAUCAGACACUUUGGCUGUGUAGUUUUUGUCUAAAAGAAUGUUGACUGAUUUUAUAUCUCUAUGGAUGAUAGGAGGGUAAGCUGCAGAGUGCAAGUAGGAAAGUACUCCAGCAGUUUCUGCAGCAACUUUCAGACGAAUAUCCAAAGAAAGAGUUGACGCCUUAAAUUUAUCAUGUAAGUGUUCAGAAAGUGUUCCAUUGCUGAUAAAUUCAUACACCAAUAGUGGAACUUCCGUCUCGAGGCAACAACCUAAGAGCUUAACCACAUUUCUAUGGUUGAUUUGGGAAAGGACAAGGACUUCAUUUAUGAAUUGUUCGAUCUGAUUGCGAUCAAUUACCUUAGAUUUUUUAUGGCAACGAUGCAAUUAUCUUUCAGAUAUCCUUUGUACACAGUUCCAAAACCUCCGUGACCAACAACUCUAUCUUUGUCAAAGCCAUUAGUUGCCUUUUCUAGCUCUUCCGCUGUGAAAAUCUUUAUUGUAUUAUUAUGACUUGAUCCCUCUUCCCUUGUAAGUCGCUGUUGUAGAACUAAUCCACCAUUUUCCUGGAAAAACUUCUUCUUCAUCUUUGACAUCUUUCUCCUUUGGAAUGCAGUGUAUGACCAGCCAAAAACAAUAAUAAUCGCAAAAGCAACCCCUGCUGUAGCACCUGUAUAAAAAUAUUUAAACUUUAUUAGACAUUUUAGGUCGAUGUAUAUAGUUCGUGAAAAUAAAAUUGUUAUCGAUUUGAAAGAAGUUAAGAGAGGUACCUAUAACAAAAUAAAUAUUUUGAGUUAUUCUCUGAGGAUUGUCACGAUUGCAUACUGUACCAUUACCACUGAAAUCUGGAGGGCAUAUGCAUGUAUAACUCCCUUCUGUAUUCUGGCAAAUGGCAUCCUUGGCACAUCUAUAAUCUGGUUUCCGAUCUAUACAUUCGUCGAUAUCUGCAGACUCGUAGAGUACAAACGUAUGAUAACGUAAACAUUCAUUUCCAAAAUGAUAGAUUUGAUAUAAUUAAAAUCAUAUUAGGAAACUCUCAAACAUAUACAUACCUUGACAACUCAGGUAUGGAUUCCCAUCAUAUCCUUGCAUGCAGGAACAUCGAUAACCAUUUGAAUCAUCAUGGCAAUAGCUGUUGUUACUCUUACAUGCAUAUGCAGUCGAGUUUCUCUUAGCUAUUUCACAUUUGUCUUCACCAACUGCCCAAUCUAGCACAAGAGGAAGCUUCUUCGUGUUCUGUAAACUGCUGAGGUAACUCUUAGAAAAGUUAAAAUUAGCUUGAUCGACCACAAAAGCAUAGCUGCAGCUAGGGUCAUUUGUCAUAUUAGUAUCAUUAUAAUUA